CUAUCCCUAGGUUCAAAUGCCAUAGUGUUCCACUACACUAGAUUUGAUGCCACUUAUUUAUGUCAUGAUGUUAUAUGUGUCUCAAUACACUAAAUUGACAUGCCACUCGUUCUUGUUAUAGUGUCUCUAUUACACUAAUCCAGAUGCCACUCAUCUAGGCCAAUUACAUGUCCAAGUUCAUCAUCAUUCUUGUCACUAUAGGAUUCUUGUCACAAGACCUAAUCCUCAUGCAACCUAAGAUCAAGUGUCAAGCCCAUAAUACUACACAACCCAGGUAACAUGCAGGAAUGGAAAUGCGAUUAUCUACUAAUCCUAUAAUGCACAAUGUAUCAAUAUAUGAGAAUAUGAUCAAAAUAGAACUUAGAUAUAAAAGAAAACUCGGUUGAUAAGGGAUGGACACCCCCAACCUUGUAUCGCGCUCCAAUUGCUCGUAGCACUUGCAAUCGGCCUCCCGCGGCACACGCCGCCCGGUUCGGCUCAAACUCUCACUCGACUACCAAACGGCCACCAAACCACAAUCCGGAAAUUAAAGGUCUUUAACCUAAUGCCAUGAUGCUCCAGAUCCGAUCUCGUAAUUUUUUGACAUCGCAUCGGCCCUCCAGUCGGAAACGAAGCUCUAACAGUCUAUUUCCUCAAUAUCUUCAUGUAGGCUCGACGAAUGCUCAAACCGAGUGCACGAACGCGUUCAGGGACCUAACAAUUAGGUUAGAGAAUGGUCAAUUGAGAUCAAAAGCCCUCAUGAGCAAAAGCCCUCUUUUGGAUGCCCUAAAUCACCAUUGUUGCAAUUAGCUUCAUACAAGCUACUAUUCUUGCAAUAAAUGAGAUUAACUACUCUUAGAGCACCAUUAAAUUCCAUUUCUAAGGUAUUUAAAUCUAAUCCAAGCCAUUCACCAUGAGAGGGGUUUAAAACCUUACCUCUACUAAGCUUUUUCCCAAGCACAUGGAAGAAGAAGAUGAAGAAGAUGAUGAAGCUCCUUCUACUAGCUCCAAAUCUCCACCAAUCCUCCUUCUUGUCCCACUUUUAGAGAGAGAGAGAGCUUCUAGAGAGAGGGAGAAAGUGUUUUGGUGUUUAGAAUAUGAGGGACUGAGAGAGAAGGGCUCAUAUCACCUCCCUUUAACCCCUACUAACACCAAAUUGCAAGAAACCACCUCAACUUUGUGUUUUAGUGCACAGCCCACGCGGGGCAAUUUUUUGUAUAAGGGACCGGUCCCUGGACUUGAGGGACUGGUCCCCGUAGGUCCAGAAUUCCAGCAUUUUAGGGCUUAGCCAAAUUUCAGCCUUUUUUGUUUCUUCUCCGUUUUUGCUCGUUUUCGCUCGUUUGGCCUCCGAUUCUUUUCAAAUCGAACCGAGACUCUCCAAACAUGUUUUCGAGCGUAUUUUCAUCAUCUUUUCAUCCGUGCUAAUGCCGGAUUUAGUCCAUGGUCCAACAUAGCCUUUCGGGUCCCAUUUUCGCGCCUACGCACUCCGAAAAUGCCCGAAUGCUUCCAAACUUCACCGGAAUCAUUCCUAUGGCUUUCCAAACCAACAUACCCCGCAACUUCAUAAUUUUAGAAGUUCGGUACCUUGCAAGGGUUAUGAUCUAAAUUGCUCAUGUGUUAACCUAAUUACUAGGUGUUUAAACGCGUUGAAAAGGUCGGUUCGUCGAUUCGUCGAGCCGGUGCGAAGAUAUCGCCGAAACGAGUGUUCGUGACUUCGUGUUGACCCGAAGAGUCGAAGCGGCGACUACGGAUCACGAAAUCAAGUUCCUAACUUCUCUACAUCGCCGAAAGGUAGGGGGUGUCAUCCUGAAGCAACUGGGCUUCUCCCUAUGUCUAAGUAUCUCAAUGUUGAUCAUACUUCCUAUGUGGUAUUAUGCAUAAUAGGGUGUCUAGUAGUUACUUUUACUAUUCUUGCAUGCUCCCUUGUAAUGCGGCAUAUUAGGCUUGGCAUGUGAACUUAGGGUGCAUGAGAAUGAGCUUCGUGACAUAGAACCCUAUAGAGAUAAGUUAAAUAAUAACUUGAUCUUGCUUGACGAAUAUGAUAAUAUAUGACUAGAAUAGUCGAGAUAUUGCAUCGUAACGAGUGGCAUAUGAACCAAGUAAAUAACGUGAUGAGUGGCAUUAGAACUUAGUGUUAAGAGAACACUUGUACAUGUUGGCCCUAGUGACUGAGUAUCCUUAAUGGACGAGGAUUGGAUCAUACUCACACUGUCUGUUCAGCGCUUGUGGCGGUUGCUCCGUACAAGUAGUGCGAGCUCCGGAGUCUUGGUACGUGAAACGAUUGGGAUAGCCUAUGUGAGGUCCCAAGGGAUAGCCUAUGUGGGGUCCCACAGACGAUCCCUCGGGUGGUUCGAGUCCCCCUUCAUAGAUGGAUUUGAGAUGUGAGUUGAGGACGUGCUUACGGGCCAGCCAGACUGUAAUAUACCAGAUUUUGGUAUAAAAAUAAAAGUAAAUAAAAAUAGUGUGAGAUACUAUUUUUAUUUGGUUUUUGAGAAACAAAGUAUAAGUCUAUAAUGACUUGUGCUGAAAUCGGAAUGAAAACAGAAGAUUUAUAAUUUUCUGUUGAAAACGAGACANUCAUAAAAAUAUUCCUGACUUAUCCUCCAAUUUUCAUAAUUUUCUGAGACUGUGCAUUUUCUGCUAAUUUAUCUGUCCCGUUUCCAACAGAAAAUUCUAGAUCUUCUGUUUUCGCUUCGAUUUCAGCACAGGUCACUCCCAACCUAUAUUUCGCUUCUCUAAAUCCGAUAAAAUAGUAUCUCAUACUAUUUUUAUUUAUUUUCACUUUUAUAUUUAAAAUCCGGUAUGUCACAUUCCACCGCAACCUCACCGGAACCGUUUAAAUAGCUUUCUAAUCAAAUGGACACCGUAACCUCAUGAUUUUAGAUGUCCGGUACCUUACAACUAUGGCAGUGUGACUAGAGGCUAUGAAUCCUCAAGACGAGGAUUGGACCGAGGCUCACAUGGACUUUGGCUUGUGGGAGGUCGCUUCCCCUCAAGCGGUGUACUCCGGAGUGUAGACACCACGGGGUCGAACCCCGUCGACAAAUCCCUCGGGUGAUAGCUCUAAAAGCCUUCCCCGGUAGACGGGAAACAAAAUUAAAAGGUGAGCUAUUGGGGUUAAUAAAGUUAACCGGAAAGAUUGGGUGAUGCAAAGUAAAGUAAAGUAAAGGACAUGCAUGCAUACAUAUCAUGUAUUAUUGAUUAUUAUCCACUGACAUUCUUUCUUGCAGGCAUAGUAUUAGUUGCAUUAGUAUGGUUACUAUUUCCGUUUUUGAAAUACUUAUGCCUGGAUAGACCUAGUGGGUAAGUCGGCGAGGUGGGUUGCCGAACCCACUGGGAACUUCGAUUUAGUUCUCAUUACCACUAACCCUACAGGUCCUAGCACGAGCGGGGCGGCGGAGGACCGAGGCAAGGGUUUAGCGCCGUAGAUAGCGGCCUUGGGACUUAUACAUUUUGUAGUCAUUCCCGUCUUGUAUCAUGUAUAAACUUUAUUUUGUUGAUUUAGAGUUGUUUAAAGUUGUAAACAAUGAUGUAAUAGGUGAAUGGCUAAAGUGUAAAAAGAAUUAUGAAUGAAGGAAAAACUAAUGUAAUAGUUUAAUUACUUUUAUUUGAUGCAAAAGCAAUCAAUUACCAUGUUUGUCUAUAAUUAUAGCUUAGAGCUUCCGCUAUUAUUGUUGCUUGCCCUCGUGCAAGACUUGUAUAAUUGCUAAUCUCAUUGCUUGAUUGCUUUAUUAUACAUGUUGUUAGAGCCUUGGGCGGACAGGGGAGGCUUUGUCCGUUCGGCGUCUGUUGAUGUGACCCGAACCCGACCAAAUUGGCGGGGAUUGGGGCGUGACAUUUCUAUAAGCGGUUCUAGACAUUACUAGUUUUCUCUUUAUAUGUUUUUAAUAUAAUCAACAUUAAUUUAAUGCAUAGGGAACAUAUUGAAGAGGUUCAAAGCAAGUACGAUAGUGAUGUGGAGCUGCGGCACGAAGAACAAUUUGUUGGUUUGUUUCAAGCUAAAAUAGCGGAGAUGUUUGAUAACCGAGAUAAAACAGUGUCAUAAGAGCUAUUACACCUUGCUCGAGGUCCAGAUAAACGGGUGAAUAAGUAUACUGGAUAUUUAAUUAAUGGAUUCAGAUUUCACACAAAGAAGCAUGAAAAAUAUUUGAAAACACAAAAUAGUGGUGUGUUUGUUCGGGGAGAUGAUGGCCUAAGCAACAAGGAAUACUAUGGGUUAAUUUUAGAUAUCAUUGAACUCCAAUACCAAGGAUCAAACAAAAUAGCUUUAUUUAAAUGUCAUUGGUGGGAUGUGUACAAUGGAUAUAAGGAGGAUGAAAAUGGAUUUUUCUUAGUUAAUGUCGAUCGUGAAUUGGCCACUAAUACAGCUGAUCCAUAUAUCUUGGCAUCACAAGCUCAACAAGUAUAUUAUGCCAAAGACAUAAGAGAUUCUAAAUGGUUAGUUGUUGUCAAGACACAACCUCGAGACCUUUAUGAUGUGCCUACAAUAGAAAGAAGUGCAAAUGAUCAAGACGAGUCAACAUCAACACCAAUUCAAGAAAAUGAGAACAUAGGUGAUUUCUAUAGAAUUGAUGGUGAUAAAGAUCAUGGUGAUUUAUGUAAUGUUGAGUUGGCUAGAGCUAAUGUAGAAGAGAUUGUAUUUGAUGUAAGUGAGUUCAAUAUCAAUGUAGAAACAAACGAAGAGGACCUCUUAAACUAUAAUGAUGAUGACAAUGAUUCCUUUGCGAAUAAAACUUGAGCCACCUUGCUCUUAGGUAAUGAUUUAUUAUUUGUUUGUCUCUUAUAUUUUUAUGCGUAUUUGUUGCUAAUACUUGAUUUGCUUGUAUAUUUUAUGUGUAUUUGUUGCUAAUACUUGAUUUGCUUGCUUUGAAUUCAUAAUAUUUGUUUAUUUAAAUAAUUAAUUAUCUAUUGUUGAUAGGUAAUGGUGGGAGAAAGCAAGAAGUCCAUAGUACAAGAUAACAAGUCUAAUAGAGCCUCGACUUCAUCGCGAAGAACUGUGGAGUGUCGAUCUGAAAAACCAUGGCUUAGAUCACAAUCCCAAAAACCAGAACCUACUCCACCUAUGAGUGAAGAUCCGCAUGCUUCCACUCAUCUUCCUUCAACUAUAACUGAUCGACCGUCAUCUCCAACUAUUGCUAAUCCGGACACUAACACUACAGGUUUGUUAAAAAUUUAAGUUUUAUUAUCAAUUAAAUACUUCCUUUCCUUUUCCCACUAGCAAAUGUCCAAAGAAAUCCAGUCGUGUAGCUGCUGCAACCAGCCAGCUGCAGCAACCAGCCAGCUGCAGGUCUACUUCUGGUUUAGCUGCUGCUGCCAGCCACCAGAUGCAACCAGCAGCAGCAGCUUCUGCUGCUUGUGAAACCAGCCAGCAGCAGCAGCAGCAGCUUCUGCUGCUUGUGAAACCAGCCAGCAGCAGCAGCAACACUGGUAGCAGCAGCAGCAGCUGCUGCCAGCAGCAGCACCAGAAGCAGCAGCAGCUGCCAGCAGCAGCAGCUGCCAGCAGCAGCAGCUGCCAGCAGCAGCAGCAGCAGCAGCAGGAGCUGCCAGUAGCACCAGAAGCAGCAGCAGCAGUUGCCAGCUGCUGCUGGUGCCAGCUGCUGCUGGUGCCAGCAGCAGUACCACCAGCAGCAGCAACAGCAGCAGCUUCUGCUGCUUGUGAAACCAGCCAGCAGCAGCAGCAGCAGCCAGUAGCAGCAGCCAGUAGCUGCCAGCCAGCAGCAGCAGCUUCUGCUGCUUGUGAAACCAGCCAGCAGUAGCAGCCAGUAGCUGCCAGCCAGCAGCAGCAGCUUCUGCUGCUGGUGCAACCAGCAGCAACUGCAGCUGCGACUGCUGCAGUUAAGGGCUGCAGCGGUGACUGCUGCAGCAACUAGCAGCUAGUAGCAGCUGCUGCCAGCCACCAGAUGCAUCCAAACUACAUAAGUACAUCACUUUUCAUUAUCUUCUAUUCACCUUGCUCUACAUUAUGUUGCAGCCAAGAAGAAAGGAAGGGGACCUACUACAAAUCCAAAUGCGAAAAAGAGAAAAGAGGAAAAUAAAGGCAAAAUGAAAAUUUCAAAAUGCUUGGGUCGAGCUGUGGGCGGUCUUCAACUGGCAGAAUUUAUUACAGAAAUGAAAGUCGUGUUGCGCGACAGUAUGCACCACUUAAUGUUAACAAAUGGGCUGAAGUAUCUACGCAUUAUAAGGAUAAGAUGUGGCCUGAUUUAAUGGUAUGAUAUUCAUUGAGAGAAAUUUUUUAACCAUUAAAUGUACUUCUUAUUGGCUCGUUUAAUCAUAUUAUAUGAAUGCUUUGAUUAGUUGUAUGUAUUUACUGUUUCUUAGGAAAAAUAUGAUGGACUUGCUGGUUUUAGAGAUGAAAUGAUGUAUAAUUUCAAUCAUAUGUAUAAAGAUGGGAGACAUCGCAAGCAUCUCCAUUAUAAUAAAUUUCUGACAGAUGAAGAAAGGCUUCAAAAUUGUCCAGAUGAUAUUACAGAAUCAGAUUGGGCAUGUUUAGUUGAAUACUUUGGUUCUGAACCAUUUCAGGAUAUUAAUUUAUUAUACAUGUUUUUAGCUUGCACGUAUUAUUUUUACAUGCAAAUAUGACCCUACUUAAUUUUUUGUAGAGAAUGUCGGCGCGUAAUAAAGCAAAUCGAGGAAAACAAUCUACCAGCUCAAUCUGUGAAAGAAAAUCAUUUGCGACUGUCCUACAUGAUAUGGUGAUUUUGUCAAUUAAUUCAAUUUAUGGAUAUCUUUAUAUAUUAUAUUAAUUUUAUGACAUCAAGGUUUUAAUUUUAAAUUGAUAGAGGGAUCCAAAAACGAAGGUUGAUCAUGAUUUAACUGAAUACUGGAAGGCUACGCAUCAACGAAGAACUGAUAAUACUUAGUGUUCUGAUAAGGCUCAAAAUGCUAUGGUAUAGCAACAUUCUUUGUAGCACAACUUUACUACAUUUUCUAUAUAUACAUGUAUUAGACUUGUGAAAUCUUAAAAGAAAAUUUAGUUUUAAUUAUAUAUUUUGUUUUAUAUGCUUAGACUUGUGAAGACGAGUAUAUUUUUAUUCUAAAUACAAAUAUGUUUCAUAUUACUUUUGUAUCUCAUUGAAUGCAGAACAAAUUUGAGCAUAUAAGAAAAUCACAUGAAGAGUUAGGUGGUCCUCCAUUAUCAAUAGAAGAAUAUUUAACAGAGGCUUUUGGUGCACGCUCAGGAUAUCUUCGUCGUCUAGGAUGUGGACCUAAGCCACUAAUUAGUAAGAAUUUGAAAGCUAAAGCAUCAAAAGAGGCUAUUGAGAGACAAAUAGAAGAAUUGAAGAAUGAGCUAAAGCAAUCAAGAGAGGAGAAUGAAGAGCGAGAAGCACGCCUACAAAGGGAGAAAGAUGAGAGAGAGGAGUGGUUUAAAAAAGAAAUUGAAGAGAUUAAGGCCCACUUCAAUAAAGAUGAGAGAGAGGAGAGGUUUAAAAAAAAAAUUGAAGAUAUUAAGGCCCACUUUAAAGCUGAAUUUAAUGAACAAUUAAGGAUAAUUGUUUCAUUAUAUGGAGCUCCGACCACAUCAUCCCCUCCUUCCACUCAAAAUCAUUAGUGGAAUUUCUUAAAUGAAGGUAACUAUAUAUUCUAUCUCACGUUAUCUUUUAAAGUAAAACUCCAGGUGCGUUGACAAUUAUCUUUUGAUGUGCAAGUUAGUUGUUUGCUUUUGUGCAAGAAGUGCAUGCCUAGAUUACAUUUAUAUGUUUAAUGCGGUAAUUUUGGUUGGCUAUUGUGUGCUCAUGAUCUUGUGACACUGCACAUCUUUGUACCCUCGACUCAUCUCAUAUUUCACUUACUAUUGUUCAUUGUGUUUGCAGCACUUUUUUAAUUUAGAAAUUUGAAGGUUUAAUUGAAAACAUGAGAUAUAUGGAAUUAGACUAGUGAAUCGUGGUGCAUGUAUUUGAUCAGAGCUGUUUGGACAACUUAAAAUAGUAGCUUUGCACUACAACAUGCACAACAUCUUUUUACUGCAGUGAAAAUAAAAGAUUUAAUUUAAAACUUCUAUUUUUAUAGUUUUAAAAAAAUAGCUGCAUGUUGUAGUAAAAGCUUUAGAUUCGUUUGCUUCCGGAGCAUCUAUUCUUGAGUAGAACUGUUCCAAAAGUGUGACCAAAGAACAAGGCCUAGUUUGGAUGUUUGGUGUUCAAGGGCUUCCAUGUUUAUGCUUUGAUGAAUUUGAGAGGUUCAAAACUGCUUUGAAACUCUCCUUAAAAUGGUGGUGGCUGGGAAAAACUAUAAAAGAUGCAUCCGUGAAACUCAGGAAGAUGCAUCUGUGAAACUCAAGGAGAAUUAAGUUGCAAAACUUAAUUCUUUGAGGUUCAUGAGUUUGUUGCAAAUGGGAUAUAUGAGUAUUAAGUUGGAAAAUUUCGUGGCUCUUGUUAGGAAAGGUUGGAAGGUUGGAAGGGUUGCCUUGCCUUCCUUACUUAAUGCCAGAUCUCAUGGUUCCGAUCUCAAGCUUUUCUUUUCAAUUGUUUUAUUUUUUAUUUUGUCCUACUGCCGGCCAUCAUAUUUUUUGAUUUUACCUUCUUUUUCAAAGUCAAUUUAGGUUGGAAUGCUGACUGGUUGGUUUGAAUGUUUAAUAUAGGGUUUUGGGUUUUGGUUCUGUGUUUCAAAUUCGAUGCUUCAUUUUGGGUAAGUUUCACUAUUUGUCAUUGAACAUUCAGCUAAGUUUAAUUUAAUCAAGUUAAUUUGUGAGUUACAGUUUGAAGCACUGAACUUCAGAACAGUUGGCUUAUUUUUACAAAUGCAACAACUAAUUAGAAUUGUUCUUUUAUUUCUCAUGCAGGGCCGAGAUGUCUACAUCCUAUUAAGCAUAUUGCCUACAUCCUGGUAAACUUAUUUUCUUGUUGUUGCCUUCUGGAAUGCAUAGAUCAAGGAUAUAAUGGUUUGGUUUUGUUUCAUUCAUAUUUGAUUUGUCUCAGGCUUUACAUUGUUUUAUUUUAAGAUUGCUUAUGUUGCACUGUUCACCUUCCUAUUUCUCUUUUGAGUUCUUUGUGUUUGUGAAUGCGAUUUUCAGCUUCUUGUUCAGCUUUCUAUUUCUCUUUUGAGUUCUUUGUGUUCUUUGUGUUCAUCUUUUGAGUUCUUUUGAGUUCUUUGUGUUCAGCUUCCUGUCCUGGAAGCUUUUAGUAGUCCAUCUGAUGGAUACUUUUUUACACACAAAUGGCUAGAGUGCUUAAUCGAAUGUGUCCAUUCCAUAGUUAGUUAAUUCGGAUUCGCAUAUUGAUAUAGUUGAUGAUAAAAUCAUCAUUUUCUAGUUUAUUUGUAUAGAUUCGCACAUUGAUUUUAAAUUUUUAUUUUGGGAAAUAACUUAAUCUCGAGUCCUUAAUUGAAUGUGUCCAUUCUUUGUUAUGCACAAAGAAGAUCCAAACAUAGAGCUAAAUAAUCUUAAUUAACUUAGGGACCAGGAACUCUUGUAUUAUACCUAAUCAAUUUCAUGAUCUUGUUGACAAUUGCAAAAGGAAAAUUUUGUUGUGGUCAUUCAUGGACCAUUGACUCAGUAGGGUUUCUACUUAAUUUUUGAAACAUAUAUAACUUUUUAGUAUUAGAAAUGCAGCAAUUUUUCAUUACAUAAUGAGAGGAUCUGGAGAAUAAGAGUUUGAGCUUUGAAGAUGUCUAACUUUAGAAUCCUUCUCUUUCUCUAAACUCCGGAUUUCUAUAUUAGUCCUGUGAGGAACACGAAUACCUUCUGCGCUUACUCCCGUGGGCUUAUGCAAACACAAACAACAAAAGAGUACAAAUUUGAACCUCCCCCAACACACCCCACCUCCCCCAAUUCCAUGUCCUUUUACUGUGGGCGUUUGCCCCUUCCCCACGCAAUCCGACGCAGUUCCCAUGCGGACUCCUUUAUGUAAAUCCCCCGAGGAGGGAGAGGAUAGAAGAUGCGUCGAUUCGCCACGGAACGAGCAAAAAAAUUGAUCUUUGGGUCUUUCCUCUCCCGAUCUGCCCCUUCUUCGCCUUUUUGCUCUUCUUCUUCUUCUUCUUCUUCUUCUUCUUCUUCUUCUUCUUCUUCUUCUAUUGCUGCUGCUGCGGCGGCGAUGUCGUCGACUACCACCACCUCUUCUCCGGUUUCUGUGGAGUCCAUUAACCCAAAGGUGAGGCCUUUCUGGAGUUUUGUUUCGAUUUGAUCCGUAAAGGUGCGAUUUUGAUUUGCUGGGGGGUUUAAUUUCGGGUUUUUGGAUCUGGGAUUCUCCCAGUUUGUUCGAAUUUGAUGCUACGACUCCUUUAGAGAUGCACCGAUCGGUUGUUUCUGGGAUUGAUUUGGCCACCUUGUGGGCGAUUUGAAGUGGAUUGUUAUGGUUGAUGUUCCAACUAUUUUGUGUCGAAGGCGAUAGUUUUGACUCAUUGCUUGCUUUCUCUUUAGUUUCUAACUUGCUUAGCACUCUAUUGCUUGUUUACCAAUCACUUGUGCCCUGUCACUGUUGCAAAUCUCUCUGCUAUUUUGUGGAGUUAAAGUUCUAAUUAUUUUGGUUGGUUUACUUUUGAUCAGUGUUCUUUUCCUUCUCUAUAUAUAUCUAUGCUUUGCUUGGUCUUAGUGGAUGAGUGUGAUUUAUAACUUAUUCUUUGUUUUUCUAAAAGAAUUUAUUGUAUAUCUACAUUUUCCAGUUUAUUGUAGUGUUUGGCUUGGUUUUAAGAAACCACCUUCGCAAGAACAAAUCGUAUUUGGCAAUGUUGUUGUUUCACCUCACAGUAUAGAUGCUUAAGUUGUUGGCUUAUGUAUUUUCCUACUUGGCUUUGUCCAAGACUUAUUUUUGAUCAUGUUUUUGAUGUGCUAUUACUACAUUUAAGUAUUAACUUCAAAUUUUUUUUCCUUUAAAAGUUUGCUUGAGGCAUUAUACAUGGCAUGAUAUUAUCAUUAUAUGCUUCUACUGACAUUCAAACCCAUUUUUUAGGUUUUAAAAUACGAGUAUGCCAUCAGGGGAGAGAUUGUAAGCCAUGGUCAAGUAAAUUAAAUUAGCUUCCCAUUUUCGUUCUUUUUCAAUCGCAGUCAAAUAUAGUUAUUAAUCCAAGAUUGAGAUAAGCUAUAGAACAUAGCAUGAAAUAAUUUUACAGAUUUUAACAGCUUAUAGUAUGAUCUUUUUUUUUUUUUGGGGUGGAAUUCUAGGAAAUUUUCUCCAAAUUAGAAAUUAUACUGAAUCGAUUUGUGGAUGUUGUUUCCUUAGGUGGUGUUUGUCAUAAAUUGUACUGAUGCUAUAUUAUUCAUUCCGAAGACAAUUUAAGAUUCAUUUGUGAAAAGAGAACAGUCUCUAAACUUGUAAUAUAUCAGAUUUUGGUAUAAAAAUAAAGAUAAAUAAAAGUAGUGUGAGAUACUAUUUUUAUUGGGUUUCGAAAAGCAAAAUAUAUGUCUAGAGUGACUUGUGCUGAAAUCGGAAUGAAAACAGAAUAUUUAUAAUUUUCUGUUGGAAACGGGGCGGAUAAAAUUAGCAGGAAAUGCACAGUGUCAGAAAAUUAUGAAAAUUGGCGGUAGAUGUCAGAAAUAUUUUUAUGAGGCUAGAUUUAAAGUUUCAUACCAUUCUGACACCCGUAGAGAGAGAAAUAGAAUCCGAAAGCUAUCUGAUAAAGAUUGCAGUCCGGUACAGUUUUCGAUGACCAAACGUGGUCGAAACUGAAAGAUUAAAAUUUCUUCGGACUUAUUAAGAAAAACCGAGCUUGCCUGCCAAAUUUGAGCGCAAACGGAUGUUCAGAAGGGCUCCGGCAAAAAAAUAUCAUUUUUAAACCCCCAUGGAGUGAAUAGUAUUUUUGGAAGCUUCAUAGGAAACUUGGAGAGCAAGUUUCCUCUCUAUGUAUAUAUAGGACUUGGGCUUUCUUUCCUCUCAUUAUUCACACUCACAAGCAAAGAGAAAAAUCUCUCUCUACACCAAAGAGAGGAUUGGAGAAGAAAAGAAAGAAAAAUUGAAGCAAGCUUGGAGAAGAUUAGAGUAGCUUGAAGUUGACGCUCUCUCUAAUGGUGGAAGCAAGCUUUCCAAUAGUGGAUUUAGCUUGAUGUGAAUGGUGGUCUAAGGUGAGAUCUCAUAAUUUAAGCUAGGAUUUGGUUUAAUCCUUAAUGCUUAGUGUUCCAAUAGCCUCUAAUGUGUUGAUUAGCAUGUUAAAUCCAUUUAAUUUGGGUUAAUUGGAGCAUGUGUAGAGGCUAGGUUUAUAAUGAUAGAUCUUAAGAGCUUUAAUUAUAUGCUCUAAGAAUGGAUUUAGAGGAAUCCUUAGAUGCUAAAUGGAUAACUAUUGCAUGAAUUAAGGGAUCAUAUGAUGAAUUCUUGCAAUAGUGUAUCUUAAGGCUCAAAAAUAGGAUUUUGUAAAAUAGUAGGGUUUGAUCUCAUUUGACCCUCCGUAAACCUAAUUGCUAGGUAAACGAACGCGUUGGCGAAGUCGGUUCGGCGAUUCGUCGAGCCGUUGCAAAGUUAUUAAAGAAACGGAUGUUUAGGCUUCGUUUCCGCCUGGAGGGCCGAGGCGACGUCGUAAAAUCAUGAGAUCGGAUCUGAAGCACCGUGUUAGCGUGGCGAAGAGCUUCUGCACUUGAAACGGCGAAGCGGUGCGCUUUUGGAGUGCAACUGUGAGAUCGGGCCCAAACCGGGUUACGGGUGCCGCGGGAGGCCGAUUGCAAGUGUCGACAAGCAGUCGAAAAGCGUGUUGAGGUCGGUUGUGCUCACCGAAGCGAUUAGGUCGCUUUCCGUGCCAAAGUGUAGUAUGUUUACUAUUGAUGCAUGAUAAAGUAUGCUAUUUAAGAAUGCAUGAUAAAAAUAGAUAUCAAAUAAAUGAAUGAGUUGAUGUUAAUUUACAUGAGCAUAUUAUAGAAAUGCUAAACAGAUGUCAAAUGAAAGUAUGAGAUUUAUACUAACCGAGAAUGCAUGUGGUAAAUGUUAACGAAUGCAUAAAAUGCUAAGUAAUGACUACCAAUGGAUGACAAAAUAUAUGCAUGUUGAACAUAGAUCGAGUGGCAUUUGGAAAUGGUAAAGUGGACACUAGAGUUAGUGUGGGACAUCAAAGAAUAAAUGUGAUGUAAAGAAUAAUGAUAAUGGUUAGAGACAAUGCAAAGCAAUGUGAUGUAAAGAAUAAUAAUAAUGGCUAGGGACAAUGCAAAGCAAUGUGAUGUAAAGAAUAAUGAUAAUGGCUAGAGCAAUGCAAAGCAAUGUCAUGUAAAGAAUAAUGAUAAUGGCUAGAGGCAAUGUAAAGUAAUGUGGCAUAAAGAACAAGUAAAGUGUAAAGAACAACGAUAAUGGCUAGAGUUAGCAACCAAUGUGACAUGAAACACACUAGAGUUAGUGUGUGGCAACAAAAGAACAAGUGUGACAUCAAGAAUGACAAUUACUAGAGUAAUUGACAAGUGGGGUGUAAAGAACAAUGAUUGCUAGAGUCAGCAACUAAUGUGAUGUAAAGAACACUAGAGUUAGUGUAAAGCCAUGAUUCAACUACAUAUCCUUAGAGUUAAGGAUUGAUUAUACUUGCUAUGAGUUCCGUGCUUAAGGGCAGUAGCUCCCCCUCAAGCGAUGCGCUCCGGAGUUUUGCAUCACGGGUUGGAGUAAACCCGAGGACGGUCCUAGCAGGUGAGUUCCUGCGAGGAUGGACUUAAUGUGAAGCAAGUUUAAUGUGGUGAAACCCCCGGGUUAGCCGUGAGAUUAAAGAACAAAGAACAAAAAGGAAUCAUGAAUUGGAAAGUGGAUCUUGUAUUCAUUAUGAAUUCACUCAAGAUCGAGUCGUGUGGCAUAGUUGGCUAAGGUAAAGGUAACCCUAGGAAAGAAUGACAAUUGUGAAAGAAUGACAAUUGAAAAACGUUUGUUAAUGUUAUAAAGAAUGGCAAAUGUGUAUAAUGUGCUUAAGGUGCGAGUGUUCUUAGCAAAGAAUAAAGAAUAAAGAAUAAAGAAUAAAGAGUAAAGAAUGGCUAAUGAUAAAGAAUAGCAAAUUCUAAAGAAAGGCUAAUGGUAAAGAAUGACAAAGAGUUGCAUAAUUUGCAUAUUUGUGAGGCAUGAACAUGUAUUGCACGAUGUUAUAUGUAUAUGUAUCUGUUGGACUAAUAUGUUGCUGUGCCUCCUUUGGACCUGGUGGGUUGAGCUCUUCCCUUGGGUGGCUGUACCCACUGAGGAUUAUGGACAAUAGUCUCACCCUCGUGUUGUUGUUUUUGGGGGUACAGGUUCACACGCGAGCGGCGCGGCUGCGCGAGGAAAGGGCGUAGCUCCGUAGUUAGCGCCCUACCACCGAGACCAGAUAGGGGUACCCCGAGUCGGCAUAGCCUAGGGGUAGAGGAAAAAGAAAAAGAGAAGAAUCAAUGUUGUAAUAAUUAUGUUUAGAACUUGAUUGUAUUUUUGGAAGUUGAGGAUCAAUGUGAUUUACAAAUAAAGUGAUGAAAAAAUGAAACGUGUAAGAUGCAUAAUUGUAAUAACUUAGUUGAAAUUAUGUUUUUGAUACUUCCUUAUGCAAUCUUUGGUUGAAUGUGUUCCUGGUUGGAACUUCGUACAUUGUAUUGAUUGCGACGCCUUGAACGUACAGGGGAGACUCUGUCCGCGGUACAGGGGAAACCCUGUCCGUUCGGCGGUCUGUUGGCGUGCCCGAAUCCGACCAAAGAGGCGGGCUCGGGGCGUGACAGAUAAGAUGGUAUCAGAGCAUAAAGUAGAGAAUGGGAAAGUGGUUUAGAUGAACCUAGGAGACCCUAGGAUAGUAAACCAUAGGAGAUUAAGGCUCGUGAGAGACGAGGACUUGUGACUUGUGGCGAAAGGAUAAUGGAUUGGGUUAUGUUGUAAACCUCUAAAAAGGAGAUUAGAGGUAGAUCCAAGGUGGUAUCAGAGCAUAAAAGAACAUAAAAAGAAUAAUAGAAAAUGGUUUAGUUGGACCUAGGAGACCCUAGGAUAGCAAACAAUAGGAGAUUAAGGCUCGUGAGAGACGAGGACUUGUGACUUUUGGCGAAAGAUAAAUUGAUUGGGUUAUGUUGUAAACCUCUAAAAAGGAGAUUAGAGGUAGAUCCCAGGUAUGGUUUAUUCUCAACUGAGGGUGUUCAUGUUGGACGCGUACAACAUGAAACCGAGUGAUGAGAAUAGAUGCCCUUGUAUAACUUUCGCCCGAUUUGAGUUAAUGUCAAUUGUUUCAUGCUCGACCUAGAAGGUUGAGAGUUAGUCGAGUUGUCAUGUUUUAGGUAACGAAGGCACCGCGUAGGCAAUCUUCAUCUAGAUCGAUGCGGGGUGGGACAAGUGAUGUCCCUGAGCAAUCCGAGGCAAGCGGAGACUUGGAACUUCGCGAACGGUUGACCACACUUGUGGGUGUGGUGAGGCAGCAAGCCGAUGUGGUGCAGCAACAGCAGGAGGCUGCUAUGCGCUAGGAGAAGCGAAUUAAGAGACUCCAGGAAACUGUAGACUAGCUGGUGACUGCACCAGUUGCGGCUCGUUGAGGAUAGCCGAGAGUUGCGGCGGAGAUCCCUCCGUCGGGGUCAGGCGAUCCGACUCCCGAAAGUGCAAUGCUGGAGGUAGAAAAAGAGUGUGCUUUAGAAGCCCUCCUGACCCUUUUAAAGUUUGAUCCACCUAUCUUCAAUGGAAAGAAUGUCGAUCCAUGGAUCGUGGAGACGUGGAUUGACUCCGUGGAAGCGCUCUUCGAGGAGCUAUACACAUUGGAGCGAGACAAGGUGCCCCUAGCCGUGCAUUGUUUAAAAUUGUCGGCAAAGGUGUGGUGGAAGGGCAUUCGGUGGAACCGAUCGCCUAGUCUUCCUCCCAUGGCUUGGGAAGAGUUUCGGGGAUUGUUGUUUUCUACGUACUUUCCCGACAGUGAAAAGAGAAAGCUUCAGGACAAGUUCAGGAAGCUGCGGCAAGGAGACCGCUCAGUUAGGGAAUACGAAUGGGAAUUCUGUCUAUCGUGAACUAUGUCCGAGAUAUAGAACCUUCUGCUGACGACGUCAUGCCAGGUAUGAGCUAUUAAUGCAGUUAUGUGUUUCUGCAUAAUGUAAAGUUGGUGCAUUGCAUGCAUUGAGCAUGUAGUUAAUUACUACUAUUUAUGUAGUAGCAUAGUAGGGUCCGAGUGAACGGAUAAGUGUAAAUGCCCGGGCACGCUUAUGUUGUGAAGGCAUAGCACCUGCCGGUGCAGGUAGAGAACUAGAUGACACUAGCGAGUUGCUAGUAAUGAUCUAAUGAUGAGACUUGUAGUAGAGGUGGAAAUGACGAACCAACUCGCAGAGCAAUGUAUGUAAUUGAUUGCGAGAGUUGUGUCAUGACACUUGUGGACACUCGAAUGGUUUGAGUGUUCUAGAUGUUGCUCCGGUAGAGCGAUUGGCUGCCAAAUACAGGCGCAUUGGCCUAAUAGUACCUCAAAUUGAGGUGGGUGAGUCGUGCUCGUGUGGCCGGUGUGCAUAGGCAAAGUUGCCUGAUGCUUGACAUAGUUGGAACGCUAUAGAGGCGCGUAGAGCGCUCGAGUAUAGUUACUCGUGGAGUGCGGAUGUAAUUCAGCCAAGUGAGAGUGUUGGCAGUAGCACCUGAGCAUUUCUAGGUGUGAAGCAUGCCAUGGAUCACUCGUGGGGCUGGUGGCUCGCACUAGGUGCAUAGGAGCCGAUAGUGGUACGUAUUGUGCUAUAGAGCGUGUAGUGCGAUUGAUAGUAUACUGAGAGUGCGAGUGUGACCCAACCCGGGAAUCUGUAACGGUUUGGGAUUUUAGUUGCUCCUGGUUGGAGUGUGUGCGAAUUCCCCAGUGAGAAUUUCGCCCCAACGAUGAUUGGGUCUACGCUUGCGAGCGAGGGACGUCGAGUAUUGAGACGGGUUUAGGCUGUAGGCCUACGUAGUAUGGGUGGCCUUUGGCUCACCUGUGGAAAGUCGAGGAAAGUGAUUUGGCGAGUAGCCUUAUCGGGGAGUUUGACUUGAGUUCACGAAUGACGUGUUCAUGUGAGCUCUUUGCGAAAGUAAUAAGACGUUGGCCGUGGCAUAUGGUAUCAGAAGAUGAAGUGCUCGUGGUGAGACCUUGAACUUGUGAGAAGCCACGUGGAGUUUGAGGAUUGGAUUUGGGAUGUGCCGAGGUGGCUCAUGUUAGAGCUAAAGAUCGGUGCGGAAUUAGAGCACUCGCGGUGAAGCGAUGCACUAGUGAUGUUGCUUUUAAGCAAUGUUGGAGAUAGAAUCGGAGUGUAUUCCCUGAGGGGAAAGUAAAUGCGAAGAAGAGUUCUUGUAUGCCAAGUGACAAGUGGUAUUGGAGCGCGUGGAGUCGUUGAGUUUCGACUUGCGCCGCCACCAAGAGUGAUGGAUACCCUAAUGCACUUUGUGAGAUGCGCCUUGCAAAGUUGGAUGCAUUUGGUAUCAUGAACUCCGUGGUAGUCCUCUUGGAUAGUUCCAAGGAGUGUAAAGCCAUUCCGAAGUGGAAAGUGUAUUGGUGCCCUCAAUUGCUCGAGGAGUUGAAUUGAGGCGUGAAUUGAGUUUCACGGACGAAACUCUUUUUAAGGAGUGGAGAAUGUAAUAUACCAGAUUUUGGUAUAAAAAUAAAGAUAAAUAAAAGUAGUGUGAGAUACUAUUUUUAUUGGGCUUCGGAAAGCAAAAUAUAUGUCUAGAGUGACUUGUGCUGAAAUCGGAAUGAAAACAGAAGAUUUAUAAUUUUCUGUUGGAAACAGGGCAGAUAAAAUUAGCAGGAAAUGCACAGGGUCAGAAAAUUAUGAAAAUUGGCGGAAGAUGUCAGAAAUAUUUUUAUGAGGCUAGAUUUAAGGUUUCAUAUUUUUCUGACACCCAUAGAGUGAGAAAUAAAAUCCGAAAGCUAUCUGAUAAAGAUUGCAGUCCGGUAUAGUUUUCGAUGACCAAACGUGGUCGAAACUGAAAGAUUAAAAUUUCUUCGGACUUAUUAAGAAAAAUCGAGCCUGCCUGCCAAAUUUGAACGCAAACGGAUGUUCAGAAGGGCUCCGGCAAAAAAAAGUUAGUUUUAAGCCCCCCUGGAGUGAAUAGUGUUUUUGGAAGCUUCAUAGGAAACUUGGAGAGCAAGUUUCAUAGGAAACUUGGAGAGCAAGUUUCCUCUCUAUGUAUAUAUAGGACUUGGGCUUUCUUUCCUCUCAUUAUUCACACUCACAAGCAAAGAGAAAAAUCUCUCUCUACACCAAAGAGAGGAUUGGAGAAGAAAAGAAAGAAAAAUUGAAGCAAGCUUGGAGAAGAUUAGAGUAGCUUGAAGUUGAAGCUCUCUCUAAUGGUGGAAGCAAGCUUUCCAAUAGUGGAUUUAGCUUGAUGUGAAUGGUGGUCUAAGGUGAGAUCUCAUAAUUUAAGCUAGGAUUUGGUUUAAUCCUUAAUGCUUAGUGUUCCAAUAGCCUCUAAUGUGUUGAUUAGCAUGUUAAAUCCAUUUAAUUUGGGUUAAUUGGAGCAUGUGUAGAGGCUAGGUUUAUAAUGAUAGAUCUUAAGAGCUUUAAUUAUAUGCUCUAAGAAUGGAUUUAGAGGAAUCCUUAGAUGCUAAAUGGAUGACUAUUGCAUGAAUUAAGGGAUCAUAUGAUGAAUUCUUGCAAUAGUGUAUCUUAAGGCUCAAAAAUGGAGUUUUGUGAAAUAGUAGGGUUUGAUCUCAUUUGACCCUCCGUAAACCUAAUUGCUAAGUCGGUUCGGUGAUUCGUUGAGCCGUUGCAAAGUUAUUAAAGAAACGGAUGUUUAGGCUUCGUUUCCGCCUGGAAGGCCGAGGCGACGCCCUAAAAUCAUUAGAUCGGAUCUGGAGCACCGUGUUAGCGUGGCGAAGAGCUUCUGCACUUGAAACGGCGAAGCAGUGCGCUCUUGGAGUGCAACUGUGAGAUCGGGCCCAAACCGGGUUACGGGUGCCGCGGGAGGCCGAUUGCCAGUGUCGACAAGCAAUCGAAAAGCGUGUUGAGGUCGGUUGUGCUCACCGAAGAGAUUAGGUUGCUUUCCGUGCCAAAGUGUAGUAUGUUUACUAUUGAUGCAUGAUAAAGUAUGCUAUUUAAGAAUGCAUGAUAAAGAUAGAUGUCAAAUGAAUGCAUGAGUUGAUGUUAAUUUACAUGUGCAUAUUAUAGAAAUGCUAAACAGAUGUCAAAUGAAAGUAUGAGAUUUAUACUAACCGAGAAUGCAUGUAGUAAAUGUUAACGAAUGCAUAAAAUGCUAAGUAAUGACUACCAAUGGAUGACAAAAUAUAUGCAUGUUGAAUAUAGAUCGAGUGGUAUUCGAAAUGGUAAAGUGGACACUAGAGUUAGUGUGGGACAUCAAAGAAUAAAUGUGAUGUAAAGAAUAAUAAUAAUGGGUAGAGACAAUGUAAAGCAAUGUGACGUAAAGAAUAAUGAUAAUGGUUAGAGACAAUGCAAAGCAAUGUGAUGUAAAGAAUAAUAAUAAUGGCUAGGGACAAUGCAAAGCAAUGUGAUGUAAAGAUAUAAAUGAUAUAUGGCUAGAGGACAAUGCCAAAUCAAUGUCAUGUAAAAGAAUAAUGAUAAUGGAGUUAAGAGGCAAUGUAAAGUAAUGUUUGGGCAUAAAAAAAGUAAAGUGUAAAGAACAUGUUAAGAAAUGGUUAGAGUUUAGCACAUGUGAAUAAAACACACUAGAGUUAGUGUGUAGGACAAACAAAAGAAUUAAUGUGUGACAUUAAGAAUGACAAUUACUAGCAGUAAUGACAGUGGGGUGUAAAGAACAAUGAUUGCUAGAGUUAGAACUAACUGUGAAUGUAAAGAACACUAGACGUUGUGUAAUAUAUGUAACACAUGGACAUUGUGCACAAUUGCGAGGUUCGGUGUUUGAUUGGGUGAAUUUGUGUCGAGCUUUUCCAACUUUCUGGUAGAGUCAGUGACAGUGUUCCGACUUAUGUUUAUCGGUCCGAGAAUUUGUGGUUUAAACCUGACAUGUACCAAAAUCAAAAAGUUGAUGUUAUUUGGUAGCUGUCGGUAGCUUUCGCAGGCUGGACGUACCGGUACGCGUUUGCUGCUGUAACCGGUACGUGCGUCGAUUGCGGUGUACGGUAGCGUGGUGUGUACGGAUACAAGAUCAUUUUCCAGCAAACGAGUUCGGUUUGGUUAUUGUGGGUGGUUGUACCGUACAAAACCGUGUACAGGUAACAGGAUGCCAGGUGGGGGCUGUUUUCGUGGAAGCGGGUGUUUUUGCAAUUGUGUGCAACUUCUUUAUAAACACCGCCUAUUAGAGAGCCUCCCUUUGAGCCUAAACCUGGGAGACACGUGAGAAACUUCCUCUUUUGGAUAUCUUCUCAGUUUUGAUGGUUUUCUUGUGGUUUUGAUCUCUUUUUCCUCUUUCUUCUUUUGCUGGUUUUCACCAUGGGAGAAGCUUAGAGAUCUUGGGGGGUUUGGGUUGAGUUCUUUGGAGAUCAACCUUCAACCUAGAGGACUUUGGAGCAAUUGGUUUGGAGUAAUCUAAAGAGCCGUUAGUAGCAAUUUCUCUCUCUAGAUUAGCUUUUGUUGGAUUACUAUAGAUAACCCUAGUUUGGUCAUUUUUAGGGGUUACGAAUUUUUUCUGGGAUUUUCGUUUUUUGAGGUUGAUUUGUAUAUAAUUGAUGGUUUAGAACUUUUGUUAUAGGUUUAGAUUGGAAGACUCUAACUCCCAUUUGCUGAAGAUCGAGAAGAGCUUCCUGUGCGCAAUCGGUAGAGGCUUUUUCCUACCUAGCUUGAGAGUUGAAAUUGAGCUUAGUGUCGUUCAUUUCGGUAGAUGGAAACCAUGUUUCUUACCUUUAAGGGUAGCUAGGAGAUUGAGAGACACCCUCGUUGGAGCGCACAGAGUUUCGUUGCCCAUCGGUGGGUUGGGCUUCGUGUCGAAAUGGGAUGCGAAAAUGGCCGCUAUGCUCUUUUACUCGUUGUAAAUUAUUUUUAAGUUCAUUUGUCUAGUGACUAUAUGAGAGUUUAUAUGAAUUAUAGAGCCAUUCAUAAAUGCCUGCCUUAUGUAUUAUAAAAUUUCAAUAGAUAUAGUAGGCUAUUAUGAGUAGAAAUGGUGCAUACGGAAAGGGUUUAUUUUGCCAGUGGAAUAAUUACAUAUCUCUUAUGAGGAUAUAUGAUUGGAAUAUUGCUUUUGGCAUAGUUGCCAUGUUCCUUCGACAUAGAGAGGCAACGAUGUCUAAAGGGAGCACUUGAAUUGGUAAAUAUGAAAUUGCAAUUAUAGGGACAUAUGAUAGGCCAUACAUAUCUUGUAUUUUCGUGUUAGAGACAUGAUGACAUAGGGAAUAGGCCAUUGAGCAUACUGAACACAUUCCAUGUUAUUAUGACACUGAUGGGACUUGGUACUUGGCACAGUAUCGUUUUGAUAUUGCCGAUUGUGCUCUUAUUCGACAUGCUCUGCUGAGGAUGGUUCGGCUCCUAACAAGCCGGUACUCGGAGAUGGCCAUCGCAGACUACAUUUCGCCAGUGCGUGGAUUGAGGCGGCCGAAGUGUGAUUGCCGUGGGAUGGCUCAUUCCUAAGGGUGGGGAUGAAUGGAACUUAGCCACUGGCAUUGGCCUCGGCAGUGCCAGACAGCCUUCGGGUGUCUCAGGGCAUAGACACUUCGGGUGUGUUUCUUCGAUUUGACGUGAGGAUUCCUCAUGACAUGUGGAAGUUUCUGAUUAGAGUAUUACUUGGACUUUGACCCUAGAAUAGAAAACAACGGAACUUUAUAUUUCGCAUGUGUUGAAAUUGUAAUAGUUGGAGACUUUCAUUAUUGCAUAGUUGCUUUAUAUUUUACUAUUCUGUAAGUAGAGAAUAUGUGUAGUAGGUUACAUUUUAGCUUACCUGCCACAUUUUACUUUUAUAGUCACUGACAUCUUCUGUUUAGCUUUGGGCCUUGUGGUGCAUUCACUGAAGUCAGUAAUUGCCCACUGGGAACUAUUUUUAAUAGUUCUCAUGCCCCCGUUUUGUGGUUUACUUUUCAGAGCCUUCGGCACCGGCGGAGGCACGGGAUCGCGGCAAGGGGAUCGCUUAGCUAGCUAGCGAGGAGCGGUACUUUGCCUAGGUGGUUUACUCUUUUUUUUUGUAGUUGAGGGAGAGUGAGAGAUUUUGUAUCCAUGUAUAGAGACCACCUAUGUACCUACUUUUAACUCUUGUAUUUGGGAUUUCCUACUGUUCUUACUCUAUGUUUCAUUUAGUGGAUUUACUGUUUUAUCCUUAUCCCUUGUUGUAGCAUUUAGAUAUUUAUUAUGCUCUGAUACUCCUAGGUAUCUCUUAUUACUGCUUUUAUUAUUGUUGUUUUUAGACGCCUUAUAUGUUGUAGACAUAUGGCGGGUCUGGGCAUGCGCCGGGCGGGCUCCCGCUGGGUCCCGGGGCGUGACAUAUGAUUCAACUACAUAUCCUUAGAGUUAAGGAUUGAUCAUACUUGCUAUGAGUUCCGUGCUUGAGGGCAGUAGCUCCCCCUCAAGCGAUGCGCUCCGGAGUUUUGCAUCACGAGUUGGAGUAAAUCCGAGGACGGUCCUAGCAGGUGAGUUCCUGCGAGGAUGGACUUAAUGUGAAGCAAGUUUAAUGUGGCGAAACCCCCGGGUUAGCCGUGAGAUUAAAGAACAAAGAACAAAAAGGAAUCAUGAAUUGGAAAGUAGAUCUUGUAUUCAUUAUGAAUUGACUCAAGACCGAGUCGAGUGGCAUAGUUGGCUAAGGUAAAUGUAACCUUAGGAAAGAAUGACAAUUGUGAAAGAAUGACAAUUGAGAAAGAAUGACAAUUGAGAAACGUUUGUUAAUGUUAUAAAGAAUGGCAAAUGUGUAUAAUGCGCCUAAGGUGCGAGUUCCCUUAACAAAGAAUAAAGAAUAAAGAAUAAAGAAUAAAGAGUAAAGAAUGUGGCUAAUGAUAAGGAAUAGCAAAUUCUAAAGAAAGGCUAAUGGUAAAGAAUGACUAAGAGUUGCAUAAUUUGCAUAUUUGUGAGGCAUGAACAUGUAUUGCACGAUGUUAUAUGUAUAUGUAUCUGUUGGACUAACAUGUUGCAGUGCCUCCUUUGGACCUGGUGGGUUGAGCUCUUCCCUUGGGUGGCUGUACCCACUGAGGACUAUGGACAAUAGUCUCACCCCCGUGUUGUUGUUUUUGGGGGUGCAAGUUCACACGCGAGCGGCGCGGCGGCGCGAGGAAAGGGCGUAGCUCCGUAGUUAGCGCCCUACCACCGAGACUAGAUAGGGGUACCUCGAGUCGGCAUAGCCUAGGGGUAGAGGAAAAAGAAAAAAAGAAGAAUCAGUGUUGUAAUAAUUAUGUUUAGAACUUGAUUGUAUAUUUGGAAGUUGAGGAUCAAUGUGAUUUACAAAUAAAGUGAUGAAAAAAUGAAACGUGUAAGAUGCAUAAUCGUAAUAACUUAGUUGAAAUUAUGUUUUUGAUAUUUCCUUAUGCAAUCUUUGGUUGAAUGUGUUCCUUGUUGGAAUUUCGUAUAUUGUAUUGAUUGCGACGCCUUGAACGUAUAGGGGAGACUCUGUCCGCGUACAGGGAAAAUCCUGUCCGUUCGGUAGUCUGUUGGCGUGCCCAAAUCCAACCAAAGAGGCGGGCGCGGGGCAUGACAAAACUGCUUAGUUUGCAGAAUGUAAUGAUAAUUGGAAUUUUGGCUUGCUUUUGAAAUUUUAUCUGUAUCUUUUUUUGCCCGACUCCAGCGCUUGCAAGAAGAGUUACAAACAAAGCCAGGCUCUCAUCUAAACCUAUAAAUAUUACUUAUCUUGCACCUUUAGUUAUCUGGAGAAUAAGAGUUUGAACUUUGAAGAUGUCUAACUUUAGAAUCCUUCUCUUUCUCUAAACUCCGGAUUUCUAUAUUAGUCCUAGUUAAGUUGUUGUUAAUUAUUGUUACAUUCAUUAAUUUGCUUAUUGUUGUAUGAAGAGUGAAGAUGUCUAGCUUUUAUGUAUGCUUAUUUGUGGAAUUGUGUGCUUGUAUGCUCUAUGUUUAUUCAAGCUUUUAUGUAUGCUUAUAUGUGAAAUAGUGAACUUUAUGUAUCUUUUAUUUGUUUACUGUUUAGACUUUAGAAUUUAGAUAUGCUAGCAUGCAGUUAUGCACUAUGCAAAGUGCCAAUUUCAUCUUGUAUUUAGUUUCUAACCGUGCUUGUAUGUGAACAAUUUGUGCCUGCUUUUGGGGUCCAUUUGGUUAACAAUUUGUUCUUCCCUUGGACCAUCCAAAGGAUUCAGCCAACACUCUCACAUUCAGUCCAUUCAAAGAUGAGCAGUACCAUUUUAUUCACUCAGAAUUUUGAUUACUUUGGCCGAAAUUGGGAUCAUACCUAAUCCCAUACGAUUAAGAAAAUAAGAUUUGAAGCGCUUCAAAUCUGAUUAUUUUGUUUGUGAUUGAAAUGUUUAUUUCUUGUUACUUCAUUCACAUUAGUAACUUGUUACUUCAUUCGCAUUCGUAUCUUACUGUUUUGUAUGUUCUUUUUGUGUAAUAUUUGGUUACAUGAAUUGAAUUAAUUAAUGUCGGUUUCUAUCUGUUAUAUAGUUCAUAGUCAAUAUUGUUAUCUACGUACUUGGCUUUUUUAUUCUUAUAUUGUAUGCGUUAUCAAUUCAAGGAUCAACAAAUGUUGAAAAUCCAAUUUUUCUUUAAUUUUAUUUACAGAUUUAUAAGAGGUGGUGACGAGAUUUUGGCAGGUCAUUGGCGAUAUAUUAAAUCAAGUUUAAGAAUUUAGAUAUAUUUUGAAAACUUUACAUUUAACUGAAUGUGGAAAUGACAAAAAACACUAUUAUCGUGUUUUGUUCUUUGGUUGUGUUGGGUGAUUGUAUUACUUAUAUAUGAUGGUUCAGUCUUACUUAUAUAUGUUGAUCCAAACUUCUUUCUGUUGUGAGAGACACAAUUCGAUGCAAAAUGUAGGAUUUCUGCUUGUUGAUCUGUGGUUUGUUUGUCCCAAAUUUUAUUUCAUUUUGAGAUGAUUAAAUUAAAAUUAAAGGUUAAAAGUUAAUAAUGAGAAAUAAAAUUAACUAUAGGUUAUUUCUUUAGCAAUUUAUACUAAAUCAAUAAUAUCUAUAUCUACCAAUUAGUUUUUUUAAAAAAUUAAUUUUAUAUUAGAAAAAUGGUGGCGACAAUAGUCGCCACCAUAAAACUAGUCAUAAGUAGCGGGCCACUAAUUAUCUAACUUUUAGUGGCGACAAAUUGUCGCCACCAAAUACCCUGGUCCAAGUCCAUCGGGGUUUUAGCUGCGACGGAAUGUUGCCGCUAAUAUAUCGCGGCGACGACAUGUCACCGCUAAUUAUCUAACUUUUAGCGGCGACCUGUUGUCGCCACCAAAUAGUUUUAGCGAAGGGGUUUUAGGCGGCAGCAUGCGGCGACGGAUUGUCGCCGCCAAAUCGUUUUCCGUGGUGACAUUAUUAGCUAUGGUGGCGACAUUUGUCGCCACUAAAUUUUGUACUUGUAGUAGUGCUCUCUUUCCCUCAUUUUCCUCUCACUUACACCCUCUCUCUCUGUCACGUCCCGACGCCGCUACCAAUUUGGUCCGGUUCGGGGCGCGUCGAACAGACGCCGAAUGGACAGCACCUCCCCUGUCCGCCCAAGGCUAAGCAACGAGAUCAUGUACAAAAAUUUAUCCAGGAGAAGAAAUCUAAUACAUACCGCAACCUUAGGACGAAAACGUUCGGGAAGGGUUCUCAAAAUUUUUCUAACAAUUUUGGAGUCCGGAAUCUUCUCGCCUAAGUUAGCACACGUGUUUACAAUGUCUUGCAAACGAGUAUAAUACUCGGUAAAGGAUUCAUGUUCUUCCAUACGUAUAGAAUCAAAUCUACUUGUAAGCAUUUCUAAUUUUUGAAUCUUUACCAAGCUUGUACCCUCGUGUGUAACUUGCAAAGUGUCCCAAAUUUCUUUGGCGGUUUCACACGUCGAAACUCGAGAAAAUUCGGUUUGGUUUAAAGCAUUAAACAAAGCGUUGAUACCCUUUCCGUUGAACGAAGAUAGUUCGUUUUCGUCUUUCGUCCACUUAUUUCUAGGUUUGGACACGAUAACAUUCUCGACAACUUUGGUAGGAUGUUUCCACCCGAAUUCAACGGCUUGCCAAACCCACUCAUCGAUGGCAAUAAAAAACGCCCUCAUACGGACUUUCCAAUACGCGUAAUUAGUGCCAUCAAAGAGAGGGGGUCGAUUAAUGUUAUCGCCCUCGGCCAUGAAUUACAACCUAUACCCGCUCUGAUACCACUUGUAAGAUAUGGAUCCCGAGGAUCUAAAAGGUAAAUAACACCUAAAGGGGGGUGAAUAGGUGUAAAUGGCUAAAACACAAACUCUCGAUGCGAAUAAAAUAAAAUAGUGGAAAUUUAAAAAAUAGCACACCGAGAAGGUGGGAAAACUCCAAUUUGGAGAGAAAAACCCACGGGACUGAUCAGACGAAGAAAUCCACUAAGAAUACUUGAGUACAAAUGAUUCAAUGAAAAUACACGACUCAAUUUACCGAAUCCUCGUUGUAGAUUGUCUUCGCUGGUCCACGAUCGCUUGGAAUCCUCCAACCGAUCACGCCGCAAGUCCUUGCCGCGUGAACGCCUCGACUCCUCGAUGCGUCCACCGAAUCCUCGGCCUCACACACGAUCCACAUGCAACUCCUCCGUCCGGAGCUCGUAGAGUAGACGAUUUGUGGUUAUUAAAACUUAGAAUAGCGUAAGCGAUGAGGGUUCACGUUCUAAUCAUCCAUCAAUUCUCGAAGAAAUUCUCAAGUUAAAACCUAAGAAUCAAGUCGAUGGUUGAUAAUCCGAAACUCGUUAUAAAGAUCGAAUCAUGAAAACAAGUUUCUAGGGUUUUAGAAAGGUAGAAAUUCUAAGCAUAAUAUCAUAUGAUGACCCCCAUGGCUUAUUUAUAGGUUUAGAAGACUUAGAAGUGGACUAGUGUAAGGAAGUGAAUUCUCGAAAUACGAGGAUUAGACUUCGACUAGAACCGACCAAUUGUCGAGUGUGUAAGCUUCGGAAAGUCCGAAGGUGAUUAUAAUGCAUAAAGUGCAUUGAGGAAAGGUCCGCGAGAGCACCAGUGCAAAACUUGCACUGGAGCAGAAAUGCUCUCGGGGACCGGUCCCUGACAGGGAGGGACCGGUCCCAUCAGGCUGUUCUGCGGGGGUCUCUGAUGAGACUGGUCCCCGACAGUGAGGGACCGGUUCCCGAACGUUGGCCCAGCGAGAGAAGCCGAAAUUUGGUUAAGUCCCGAAAGUAUUGCUCUCGGGAAUCGGUCUCUCGGACAAGGACCGGUCUCCCAGGGACCGGUCUCUCAGGCAAAGACCAGUUCCCGAACGCGAAAACCCCUCUGCUCGAAAUGGCAGCCUUCGGGGACCGGUCCCUCACUGCGAGAAUGCCCAGAGAGGGCUGGUUUGAAGGAUGAAAAGUUGAGGGGGCUGUUUGCAAAAUAGCCUUUAAUAGAGGUGGGGGACCCUUCUCUCCCUCUCAGUUGCUCUCGCUCCCUCUCUCACACUCUUUCCUCUCUCUCUCUAGGAAGAAAAGAAAGAGAAAGAAGAAGAAGAAGAAGAAGAGGAAGGAAAAAAGGAGAAGAAAGAAGAAGAAAGAGAAGGAGAAGACUAAGAAGAAGAGGAAGAUCAUCCUCUCCCUCUCUCCCUCUAGCUUAAAGCCUUGUAUAGAGGUAAGCUUCAAACCCAUCCAUGGUAGAUUUCUUGAGAUUGGGUUUUAUGACUUAGAGAUGGAUCGAAUGGAACCUAGAGGAGAGGAAUAGAUGGUUCGGGCUCGCAAUCGAAGCUCGCACCACGGAUUUCUACCUCGUUGCCAUUCUAGGGCAUAGAAUUGGGAUUUUUGGAAAUCUAGGGUUUUGAUCUAGUUUAAUGGGUCGCAAACCUAAUUGCUAGGUCGCGGAACGCGUCGGCGAAGACGGUUUCUCGAUCCGACGAGCGGGUGCGAAGAAAUCGCCAAAUCGGGUACUUGAGGGCUCGCUUCGCCCCGAGGAGUUGAAGCGGCGUGCAAAGACCGCAGUGUCGAGUUUUCUAUCAUCGUGGCAUCGCCAAGAGGUGGGUUGUGAGACCCCAGAUAGUCCUAUAUAUGAGAUAUAAUAGGGCUAAACUCUUAACCCGGCUUAAGCAUUUUGGGUGGUGGCAAGGCCCAAGAGGUUNNNNNNNNNNNNNNNNNNNNNNNNNNNNNNNNNNNNNNNNNNNNNNNNNNNNNNNNNNNNNNNNNNNNNNNNNNNNNNNNNNNNNNNNNNNNNNNNNNNNUCGGCGUCUGUUGACGUGACCCGAACCCGACCAAAUUGGCGGGGAUUGGGGCGUGACAUGCACUUCACUAGAUCCCGCUUGUGCCGGAACGGACCUACGCGUGUAGUGCCUUGGGGACAUUAGCUACUGAAACACAACCAACCUUUGUUAAUCACCUUAUCCCGUUAAACCUCAUCGUGCUUACGAAAUAACGUGACUCGAUAUCGCAAUUAGGCGGAAGGACACAAGUGUACUCAUUCUAGACUCUUAGUGUCAUGUUGUCGGCCGUCAACACAACCACUAUGUGUCACGCCUCGGGACCGAUACCAAUUUGGGCCGGCCCGAGCUCGUCGAACAGACGCCGAACGGAUAGAGUUUCCCCUGUCCGCCCAAGGCUCAUCACAUGUACAAUUUCAAACAAGAAAUGCACUAGCGGAAACAUACAAAAACGGCUUACACGAGGGUAAGCAACAGCCAUUAGUAAAAGAUAGGAAAUUAUGCAUUCAACUAGUACUAUGAUUCAUUUUGAUCACAUACAAGCAUUCAUUUACAUUCAUGAUUCUUUGUACUUCAUUACACAUUGCAUCAUUUCUUUCUUACAUCACAUUUACCUCAAAAUAAGUUUUACAUUCUUUUCUCAACAUCACUAGUCAUCAAAUACAAAAGAUGAACAUAGGGUACUCUACUAACAAAAUGUAAACCCAACUCAACUUUGGAGGCCUCUGUCUAAGGCGCGAUACCUUUACCUCGGUCGCUCGCCGGCUCGCUCGGUCCCGGCUCUGUGGAAAUAGUGGGAUGAGAACUACAACAAAGUUCCCAGUGGGUUCGGCCCCAACAUCACCGACUUUCCCACUAGGACUAACUCAGGCAUAAUAGAAAGGAUAAGCUGAAAUAUAGUAACCAAUUUACAACAUGAUGCUAAUAUGCCUGAACAAUAAGCAAGGAAUAUGCUCAACAUUAACAUAUGCAGAUUAUGCAAGUUCUUUCGUUCUUUAUCUUUACGCUUUGUUCUUUGUUCUUUACUCUUUGUUCUUUAUUCUUUAUUCGUUAAUCUCAAGGCUAACCCGAGGGUUUCGCCACAUUACCUUGCUUCACAUUAAGUCCAUCAUCGCAGGAACUCACCNNNNNNNNNNNNNNNNNNNNNNNNNNNNNNNNNNNNNNNNNNNNNNNNNNNNNNNNNNNNNNNNNNNNNNNNNNNNNNNNNNNNNNNNNNNNNNNNNNNNNNNNNNNNNNNNNNNNNNNNNNNNNNNNNNNNNNNNNNNNNNNNNNNNNNNNNNNNNNNNNNNNNNNNNNNNNNNNNNNNNNNNNNNNNNNNNNNNNNNNNNNNNNNNNNNNNNNNNNNNNNNNNNNNNNNNNNNNNNNNNNNNNNNNNNNNNNNNNNNNNNNNNNNNNNNNNNNNNNNNNNNNNNNNNNNNNNNNNNNNNNNNNNNNNNNNNNNNNNNNNNNNNNNNNNNNNNNNNNNNNNNNNNNNNNNNNNNNNNNNNNNNNNNNNNNNNNNNNNNNNNNNNNNNNNNNNNNNNNNNNNNNNNNNNNNNNNNNNNNNNNNNNNNNNNNNNNNNNNNNNNNNNNNNNNNNNNNACACUGGACCUUUGCAAAUUGCGAGGUUCGAGUGUUUGAUCUGUGUGUCGAGCUUUUUCAGACUUUCUGGAAGGUCGUAGACAGUGUUCCAACCUAUGGCUCGCAUUUCGAGAAUUGUGGUUUUAAGCUGGUACCAAAAGCCCAAAAAGAUUGGACCUUGGUCAGCUCUCGGGUAGCCUGCAGCAGAGCUUGUACCGGAACAAGAUUGGUCUUGUACCGGUACAAGGUUGAUGGUUGUACCGGUACAGCCAUCGGGUUUGUACCGGUACAGAGCCGCAGACCCCGCAACCCAAGCCUCCGGUUUGCAUUUUCGUGGGCCUUGUACCGGUACAAGGGCCCGUGUACCGGUACAAGGUGGCAGAUUUUGAGCAGUUUGAUACUGCAGGGGGUUUUUCGCGAUUGUAGCCUAUCUAUAUCAGCCCCCACGCCCUUGGGGACUCUCCCUGAGCUGAGAUCACAGGAGAAGAAGGUAAGGGCUUCUUCUCUUCUUCCCCCCUUGGAUUUUACUCCUUUUUGCUUGGAUUUAGGAAGCUUUUUGCUCUCUUUUACUUCCUAGAGCAUUUUCCACCUUCGGAGAGGGCUUGGGGCUUGGUUUUGAGCUUGGUAGAGGAACAAUCUUAGAAGUUGUGGACUUUUGAGCUUGGAUUGAAGCUUCUAAGUGGUAAGCAAGUUGUUCCCUCCCUCUAGAUUUUGGUUUUGAUGUUUUAUAGUAGAUGAAACCCUAGAUUGUGAUAUUAGGGUUUAUUUUGGGUAUUUUGAAUCUAGGGCUUUUGAAGCUAGAUUGAGUGGAUUAGAGGCUUCCAUUUGGUUGGAUUGGAAGGGCUCUAGCUCUCUUUUGGAGAUUUAGAGGAGAUUUUUGCACUAGAGGUGAGUUUCCCUCACCUAUGCUUGAAUUGCUUAAUGAUUAAGCUUAGUGUUGUUCAUAUGGUUCGUGUGACGCUUGUUCUCAUACCUUUAGGGUACUAGGACUGUGGUGGACACCCUCGUUGGAGCAAACGGAGAGUUUCGUUGCCAUCGGUGGGUUUGACUUCAUGAAAACGGGGCGAAAUGGCCCCUAUGCUUUCUAAACUCUUCGUAAAGUAUUUUUGAAUGCAUUUCUAUGUUAAUUGGAAUCUAUGUGAAUUUUAGAACACCUAAAAUGCAUGCCUCAUGUGUAAGUUAAAUUCCACUCUAUAUAGUAGAGUAAUUAGGGUUAUUUCCAUGCAUGUGAGGGGUGUUCAUGUGGACGAAUGGGAUUCUCGUCUAGUAUGCUAAUUUAGCUCAUAUUCGUGUAUUGGAAACGUUAUACUAUGUUUGGACUUAGUAGCACAAAGUGUCAUCAAGAGGCACUUGAAAACUAGUAAACUAUGAAAUUGCAACUUAGAAACAUAGUGUUGGGCCUUGUACCUCUGCUAUAUAUAUAUAUUCCAUGUUAGAGACAUGAUGACAUAGAAAUAGGCCUUUGGGACAUUCGAUACAUUCCAUGUUAUUAGACAUGAGGACUUGGUACUUGUGACUGGACAUAUGACUACUUGCCAUUGUGCUCAUUCGCACAUGCUUGUGAGGGUCGCUCUCUACAAGCCGGCACUCCGGAGAUAGCCAUCGCGAUUCAUAUUCGCCAUGCGGGAUUGGGCGCCGAAGUGGAUUGCCGUGGGCCAGGCUCAUCCCUAGGGUGGGGAUGAUGACUACCACGGGGCCAUCAGGCUCGGCAUCGGCCAGACAGCCUACGGGUGGGUCUUAGGGCCAUAGACAGCCUUCGGGUGGGUCUCUUCAGAUUUGANNNNNNNNNNNNNNNNNNNNNNNNNNNNNNNNNNNNNNNNNNNNNNNNNNNNNNNNNNNNNNNNNNNNNNNNNNNNNNNNNNNNNNNNNNNNNNNNNNNNNNNNNNNNNNNNNNNNNNNNNNNNNNNNNNNNNNNNNNNNNNNNNNNNNNNNNNNNNNNNNNNNNNNNNNNNNNNNNNNNNNNNNNNNNNNNNNNNNNNNNNNNNNNNNNNNNNNNNNNNNNNNNNNNNNNNNNNNNNNNNNNNNNNNNNNNNNNNNNNNNNNNNNNNNNNNNNNNNNNNNNNNNNNNNNNNNNNNNNNNNNNNNNNNNNNNNNNNNNNNNNNNNNNNNNNNNNNNNNNNNNNNNNNNNNNNNNNNNNNNNNNNNNNNNNNNNNNNNNNNNNNNNNNNNNNNNNNNNNNNNNNNNNNNNNNNNNNNNNNNNNNNNNNNNNNNNNNNNNNNNNNNNNNNNNNNNNNNNNNNNNNNNNNNNNNNNNNNNNNNNNNNNNNNNNNNNNNNNNNNNNNNNNNNNNNNNNNNNNNNNNNNNNNNNNNNNNNNNNNNNNNNNNNNNNNNNNNNNNNNNNNNNNNNNNNNNNNNNNNNNNNNNNNNNNNNNNNNNNNNNNNNNNNNNNNNNNNNNNNNNNNNNNNNNNNNNNNNNNNNNNNNNNNNNNNNNNNNNNNNNNNNNNNNNNNNNNNNNNNNNNNNNNNNNNNNNNNNNNNNNNNNNNNNNNNNNNNNNNNNNNNNNNNNNNNNNNNNNNNNNNNNNNNNNNNNNNNNNNNNNNNNNNNNNNNNNNNNNNNNNNNNNNNNNNNNNNNNNNNNNNNNNUUGAUGGUUGUACCGGUACAGCCAUCGGAGCUUGUACCGGUACAGAGCCGCAGAGCCCAGCAACCCGAGCCUCGGGUUUGGAUUUCGUGGACCUUGUACCGGUACAAGGGCCCGUGUACCGGUACAAGGCGGCAGAUUUUGAGCAGUUCGAAACUGCAAGGGCUUUUUCGCGAUUAUAGCCUCUCUAUAACAGCACCCUCGCCCCUUAGGGCUUUUCUUGUGCUGGAACCACAGGGAAACAAGGUGAGGAGCCCAUCCAUUCCCUUAUUUUGAUUUUCCUUGGUUAUAUUGGAGAUUUUUGAGGAUUAAUGCCUCAUUUUGCUUCUUUUUGCUUGAUUGGAGGCUUUUCCCACCAUUGGAGCUUGGGUUUAUGCUUGGUUGAGGGUUGAUCCUUGAUGUUUGAGGACUUUGAGCUUGGUUUGAAGCUUCCUGGAGGUAAGUGGCUAGAUCUUUUCCUCUAGAUUUGAAUUUUGGAGGUUUCUUUGAGAUGAAACCCUAGAUUUGAUAUUUAGGGCUCAUUUUGGGCAUUUUUGAUCUAGGGCUUUUGGACCUAAAUUAGUNUUUUAACACCUUCGGACUUUCCGAAGUGUACCGUCCUCGCACUUUGGUCAAUUUGACUAAAGUUCGAUAUUUAUUUUUCGAAUUUUCGGUAUAUUACACUCUGAGUCGAGAUGUAACAUAUUACUCCCCCGUGAGUUGUGCCGAGUUCCGUCGAAAUGAGCGGAACGCGAAAAGGAAUGAGUUACAAUAGGCUAAAAGUGCAUUGGAGCCUAUGCAUGAAGUGUAAAGGGACCCGAGAGAGUGAAACUGCAAUUCUGGAGAAAUCCCAGAAAUUUUACUCUCGGGGAUCGGUUCCUUGGAUGAGAGACCGAUUCCCGAACGUUGAUCAGCCGAGCAAAGGGGAAAAAUCGGCUAAGUCCUAGAAACUGAGCUCUCGGGAACCGGUCCUUCGGCGGGAGACCGGUCCCCGGAGACCGGUUUCAUCAGGGGGAGACCGGUCCCCUUCUGCGCAGGUUGCAGGGUAGCUCUCGGGAACCAGUCCCUGAAGGGGAGAGUCCGGUUCCCGAACCCGAAAAUGCCCAGUAAUGGCUGGUUGCAAAAAUGAAAUUGAGAGGGGUUUAAGUGCAAUUGUUACAUGAGAUGGUUGUAUAGAGGUGAGGGUUAGGGUUAGCUCUUAUUUUCCUCACACCUAAACACAAACCUUCCCUCUUUCUCUCUAAAAAUCCUUCUCAUCUCUCUCCCUCUCUCUCUAGGGCUUGGACCAAGAGGGGUUUUGGAGGAGAAAAGCUUGGAGAAGAAGCUCUCCAAGGUGAAAAGCAAGCUUGAUCAAGACUUUGAAGGAAAGUUUUGGACCCCCAAGGUGAGUUCUCAUUGAUUUUGAGUUAGGUUUUGGGUUUUGCUUCUAGUUGAAGCAUUUAGAGAUGUCUAUGGCGGUUUUUCUCCAUUUCUCGUCAAGCUAGGUUUUUCUCCAUUUCUCGUCAAGCUAGGGGCUUGAUUGGAGAAGAUGACAUCGUGAAGGACCUAUAUUUAGGGUUUUAUGAUUUUGAGGAUCAAACUUAGAUUUGAUCUCAUUUUAACCUAAUUGGUAGGUCUACGAACAUAUCGGUGCGCUCGGUUCGGCGAUACGACGAGCAUGCGCGAAGAUAUUAAGAAAACAAGCUGAGUUAGUACAGAUCGUCGUAGCUCACAGCGAACAAGCCCAAAAAUCGUGGAAUCGGAACCGUGGCAUCCUUGUGACACACAAAGGUGGGGCGUGCUAUCCGAAAACACCGGAUCUCUUUCUAUGUCUAUGUCCUUUCAUUUAAGCAUAUUGGUAUUAUAGCAUUCUUGCAUGUAGGGUAAUGAACAGCAUGUGUUGGUUGUAACAAUUAUCUGCUUGAGAUCAUUGUAGUGAUAUUGAACUGUGUAGGAAAGGAAAGUGAAAGGCCCUAUAUGCAUGUGAAUGUAAGAAAUGACCGUGACCGUAGUAAACAAAGGCAACAUGGACAUUAGUGACUCGAUUGACAUCGAUAAGUGAAUAGUUAAACAAGGUUUAACCGAAGUGACAUUAUGUGAUUUGUGGCAUCAGGACUACCAUGACAAUGGCAUGUGACAUUAUAUGCAUGAAUAGGUAUUAACCGUUCAUCGGCAUUGAGAUAGUGGGAAUUGUGACAGGUUGGCCAUACCUCCUCAAAAUUGAGGAUGGGAUCAUACUCACAGGUAUUGGUUCCAGCUUGUGUGAGGUCGCUCCUCCACGAGCGGUGUACUCCGGAGAAGAAAAGCAUCACGGGUGGACGUGCCCGGCGAAGAUCCUUCGGGUGGUUGUGCCUUGUGCCUCCCCCGUUAGAUGGAUAUGUGGACUGUGAGUUGGGGUAAACCAGGAGCACCCCAGGUUGAAUUGGGUAAAGGCCAAAGAAAAGUGAAAGAGAACAUGCAUGCAUCGUUUUCAUGUACUUGGUUAUGAAUAUCUAUCUGUGGAUUGCUUUCUUGCAAGCAUUGUAUUAGAAGUGCAUUAGUUCAUUUGUUACUCUUCUUUAUUGAAAUACAUAUGCCUGAAUUAGACCUAGUGGGCAAAUCAGCGUGGUCGGCGGCCGAAUCCACUGGGAACUUCUUCUAGUUCUCAUUACCACUAACCCUGCAGAUCCAUACGCGAGCGGGGCGGCGGAGGAUCGAGGCAAGGGAGUUGCGCCGUAGAUAGCGGCCGCGGAGUUGUAUAGGCACACCCUACACUCGGUGUAUUCAACUUUUGUAUGUUGAAACAGUAAAGUAAAAGUGAUGUAAUGUAAAUUAUGUUUUUGGGUAAUGCAAGAAUAAUGUAAUGAAUGUAAAUGUAUUUGAGUACUUGUGUUUGAUUCAAAUGUAAUCAAAUGACAAGUAUAAUGGAUGUGUAGUUAGUUUCGAUGCUUUCACUAUGGUUGUUGUUUGCCCUCGUGCAAACCUUGUAUAUCUCGCAAUUCUCCUUGAUGAUUUUUUUGUAUUAUACAUGUUGAUGGAGCUUUGGGCGGACAGGGGAGGUGCUGUCCGUUCGGCGUCUGUCGCGUGCUCGAAUCCGACCAAAUUGGCGGAGCUCGGGGCGUGACACGAGAACUCAUACCACUUGAAUCCAUUUCUAGUCACUACUAGAAGCACACUUCAAUCCUGACCCAAUCGAUCAACUCCCGCCACCGUCAUAGGUUCACGUCUCACUUACACACUUAUAGCCUUAAAGUUUCCAUCCUAGGGUCUCCUAGGUCACUCCUAGACUUCUCUCUUUACUUGCUCUUACUGCUCUGAUACCAUAAACACCUAUCACGCCCCGAGACCGCUACCCAUUUAGUCCGGAUCCGAAGGUAGCGGAGGUCUCAACCUCCUCAAAGUUCGCUGCAUUGACCGCUCCAACAGACUUAGAGCGUGUCGUCGGCAUUAUCACUACAACAUCAUAAAAGCGAAAGUUAGUAAAACCCACGCAAUCACAACCUCGCUCAACAAUAAAUACCUAAAUCAUGCGAAAGUAAGGAAGUGUUCUCUACUACUAACUCCCGAUGUUAUGUUGUCGGCCGCCAACGUAACCCUCCGUGAAGUUAGAAGCCAUACACUUCGAUUUAACUCUACUUUCUAGAGUUAUCAAAGACACCCAAUCAUGAUACUUUCGCUUACAAGUCGAAUAGACCACGUCUCUCAUGAGCCUAUUUCCUAUAGUCCAACCGGUCUAAGGUUUGCUAGGUCCACUAAGACUCAAUGUCACGCCCCGGGACCGACGCCAAUUUGGCCCGACCCGAGUACGUCAAACAGACGCCGAACGGACAGAGUUUCCCCUAUCCGCCCAAGGCUCAUCACAUGUACAAUUUCAAUAAGAAGUGCACUAGCGGAAACAUACACAAACGGCUUACACGAACGUAGGCCCAACCUCAUCUGGGCAUUCCUGCCAGGAUCGACCACUCAUGGACGCUACUACCUGAAUUGCACUCCGUUCAAUUACACCGCUUUGGGGGCCCAAUCGGAAUUACUAAUUUCUCGUUUCUUGUUUCUUAUUUCUUGUUUCUCAUUUCACUUUUCUUGAUUUCUUGUACGUAUUAGACGUAGAUAAUUACAACUCGUAUAAGGAACGAAAACAAGUCCGUAUAAUCGUAGUACAAUAUCUAACCAAUGGUAUAAAGUCGAAUAGGAAAGAUAAUACGGACUCAAUCAGGAUCACCCUUUCAGCCACUACAACUCCGGCUUGGGUGACCCUUGAAACAACAUCAAGAGUGGGGUGAUAAAGGUGUCUCGGCCCUGGCUCGCUCGGCCGCUCGCUGGCGCCAUUUCCAUAGCGCGGAAUCAGUCUCCGGUGGUUACAACCCAAUGUAAAACAUCAUUUCAUGGAAUACUAGUAGAAAACAUAAACUACUAAUCACUACAUUUCGAAUAAAACUCCAUUUACACAACAUUCUUUCUUUACUACUUUAAUACAUUCUUGUCGUUUCUUAGAAUUUACAUUCUUUACCUACGUUACAUAUACUAGAUUUUACUUAGUAUAAUGAACACUUACAAAUCAAAGGAAAAAGAAAGUGACUACCGAUAACGAAUGGGNNNNNNNNNNNNNNNNNNNNNNNNNUUGAGACAUGUAGUAUACUUGAUAGUCUCCUUUUGCAUUAAAGCAUACUUGGUUGCCAUGACAGAACUUAUGCGUAAUGUAUUCAUCAAGGUUAAUGUCAUACUAUUUUGAUAUCGUAGAUGUACAUCACCAUGACAUCGUGUAUACUUGAGUUUAAUAAUUUAGCAUUUUAAUUAUGCUUUCAUAUCGCAGUCAUUAUUGCUAUUAUUAUUGUACUUACCCCUUUCUUUUGGGGCCUAGUGGUGCAUUGAGCUGAGGUCAGUAAUUGCCCACUGGGAACUAUAAAUUAUAGUUCUCACGCCCUCUUUUUCUCGAAGUUUUUCAGAGCCUUCCACGCAGGGUGAGGCCAGGGAUCGCGGGAAGGGAGUUGCUUCGAGCUAGCUUUCUUUGAGGACGAGUUGCUAGGUGGUCUACCUCUCGAUUUUUAUUUCUUUUUACGAGAGGUUGAGAGUUUUAUCAGUGUACUAGAGACCACCACUUUUGUACUUUUGAGACAGAUCUUGUACUACUUAUGACUCCUUUUAUUGUCUAGCUUUACUUCUUUACUUUGGUGUAGGUGUUAGAACUAUACUCGCUCUGAUAUCAUUAGUUGCUAGUUAUUUCACUUCUUCUAUUUGUUCUACUACUUGCUUUUACUUCCGCAUUUAUUGUAGACGCCUUAUAUGUGUAGACAUAUGGCGGGUCUGGGCACGCUACCGGGAGGGCCUCCGCCGGUCCUGGGGCGUGACAUGUCUACACAAGCAUAUUAGUUAUUGUGCAAGAACUUUGAUAUCUUUAUUCUCUACUCUAUAGAGAUAUGACAAGGCCACCUAAUGAAAGUACAACGAAUGCAUCGAACAAUUCCUUCAUAAUGCCACUAGCAUAUGAAUACUAACUUUAAUUCUUUGAAUAUACAUGUAUGCUAACAUUAACUAUGCAUGUUGCAUGAUUCAUUUAUGUCCACUUCUCUACUUCCUAGAGAUUUAGCUUAAUCACAUGAUGUAGAUACUCUAAAUACAUAUAAAACCAUACACAUAUCAUACUAUGAGCAUACUACACAUAGUUUUACAAUUCUAUGGCAAUAUUAAGAACAUAGAGGGAAUUCACCCAUUCCGGUGAGGUCAAACCCACCAAUUAGUCGACGUCUCUUGUCAAUUCCACGAGCGAAGACAAUCCGUAGUCUCCAAACACCCUGACAAUCAAUCCAAAAUAAGCUAAGAGCUGAACUUGUAUCUCUACACUAAAACUCACAUAACCACUCAAUUUAGGCAAGAUUCUCACCUAGGUUUAGACUAAAGCUAAACCUCCACUCCAACUUAGGUUGGAGCACCCCAAACCAGCUCACAAUAGCCACUAGAAUCAGCUCAAAGUGGUUAGUAAACCUGCUAUGAACAGACCCCAAAAACUGCAUCAUUACUUUCAUCUAUACACCUAGUAUAGCAUCAAAACAAGGAAAGUAGUUGGCUAAUCACCUUUCAACCUUCACUUCAGCUUCUUCUCUGGUUCAGGGUAGCUGAAACUCAGCAAAACACCUCUUCUAUACUACUACUAUGCACCUUCCAAAACCGACUGCGACAAAAAGCAAGGAACCAACAUCAACUUCACUUCUAUGGCAUCAACUAAAAAGAAGUUGAAUAGUUUAUCUUACCAAUCUUUAACUCAGCUUCCUAUUGAGUUAGGGUUGCGAAAAACCACUCCCAAGACUACUUUUCCUCUCCUACAGCUGCCCCAAGCCCUCCAAUUCAGCUAGUAAAAAAAAGAGGGAGAGAAAUAGGUUCAAAUCACUUGUUUCCUACUCUAGGUGAGAGAAAACCUUACGAGAGAGAAAGAGAAGGGUUUAAACCUGAUCCUCUAAGCUCCAGCACCUUCUAACUAGCUGCAGGGGUCGUGCUAGACUUUUAGGGAAAAGCUUUGGAAGUGAAAAGACUAAAUUAGCCUUGCUGCCACGCAGCUACUGCUGCUGGGUACCGGUACCCCAUCACACUGGUACCGGUACUCAAUGUAGAGUGCAAAAAUUGCAGUUUGCAAUGCACUUUUGCACUUCCGGCUCUUUGAUCACUCCACUAACUUGCCGAAAUCUCACGACAACCCUUCAAAAGAUGUAAAGUAGUUCCAAAUGUCAUUCCCACACUCGAAUUUCACAAUUUGCCAAUGUUCAGUGUACUACACGCGCGCACGGCACGGGCUGGGUCGGUUGGGCGGCGGUGCAUGCAGUCCAGGCUACCUAGUUCACUUAGUCUUUUUCUUUUAUUUAUUUUUUGGGAAUUUGAUAUUUAAGCUUAUAAAUGAUUGCACAUUGGUAAGCUAGGGCCCAAAUUUUACCUUACCUUGGUAAGGGCAUAGAUCUUACCCUAUCUCGGUAAGAUCCUUAUCCUGCACCUUGGUAAGGGCCAACGGCUUACCCAGGAAAAAGCCAUUGGACCAUACCAUUAUCUCCUAUCUGCAUAUAGAAGAGAGGAGAGUUGCACAGGGAACACAUGAGAUUUUACUUGAAAUUUCUUAAAAGGCUUCUCCUUCCUCUGAUUAUUUUGCACUAAAUUUUACAUUCUUUCUUCUCUUUUGCUGGAUCUCUGAGCUUGCUAGGUUCGUAUUGCACCACCCUAAAGCCGUGCCGACGGGGUGGACGGUAGACGUUGUAUCGUUAGGAGUGAUUACCGGAACCUCAUACGUAGAGUGGUAAUCUCGCUUCUAGGACAAUGCUCUGUAUGCCUUCACCCACAGGGCUCAUCUGAACUUUUCUUCUCUAUAAUAUUUUCUAGUUAAUCUUUGCUUAUGAUUUUCCAAAACUAAAGUUAAAUUGCUUUCUCUUAAAUUUAUUUAAAAGAAAACUUUACUAAAGAUUUAGAAAGGAAUUUUCCAACAAAAUCAAUGAAGCUCAGCUGUCACACUUGAUUCAUUGUUCUCAUUCGCUAAAAACUACAGGUGGUUUUAAUUUAUUGAAACUUUAUGACUUAUUUCCACCUUACAAUUUUUCUAGCCAUUAUUCUCUUUUCUUCGUGCAGAUUGCUAUAUGACCUGGCUUAUAUUAAUUAACUUGCUUAGGCAACAACAAUAUAUAUAAUUAAGCACCUCGCUUUCUGGUGCGAAGAACGCGCAUUGGUCAGAACACAACAUCAUUUUACCAAAUAAUUACUGAUCUUAGAAGUAUUUAUUGAUCCUGAUUUGGUCCCAAAGCACUUAGAACUCAAUGUGUAGUGCUUUAACUGAAUGCGUGACAACUUAUUGCGCAUAUAUUUAAUAGGAAGUUAAAUAGUGUCUUUGUGAUUUCAUCUGUAUCACGCGCGCGUGACUCAUCCAAAAUUACAAGUAGCUAGCAUGGUAAUCACAAUUUUUAAGCCAUCUUCUUGUUGGCCGAGCAAUUAAGAUGGAGGCAUGCUCGUGACAUCAUACGCCAACGCUACCUCCAAAUUAUUAGUAGGGGGGAAAGGAAAAUCAUAAAAUGCACCGCGGUCCCCCCCUCCUCUCCCUUUGCUUAUAUACCCCACCACCAAAUUGAAAAUUAAAGGAAACCUUCAACACCUCCACGACGUGCGUGUUGCUUCCUAAUUGCUAGUCAAUCCAAUAACGCCACCUAAUUUAAUCAAAAAGGUAUAUACAAAUACAAACAACAAACAAAUGCGAAUGAAAUAAUUACUAAAUGCGAAAUGCAGCAGGUCACGUGCGUAUCAUUUUAUUGCGAAUGAUCGAGCGAGAGCGUGGAGAUAAUAAUAUCGGAUACUUGGAUUUCCUAUAAAGAUGAUCUAGAAGCACAAACACUUCUCAAAAAAUUAAUUGUCAGCCCCCGUUGUGUAUUUAUGUUGCGUUCUUAGUGACCAAAGUUAACAAAAGGUGAAAAGGUAAGGACCAAAUGUAUGAUUAAAAUUUUAAUUCUAAUUUUAGACUAAAAUUCUAAAGUUAAAAUUUAAAUUUGAAUUAAAGCUGUAAUUUAAUUUAAAAAUAAAUUAGAAAUUUGAACUGGAACUCAAAUUUUGAAUUUGACUUUGAAAUUAAAUUAAAAUUUUGAUUUCAUGUUUUGCAAUUUAACUUUGACAUUCAAAACCAAUCAUUUCAUUUUUUUUUUUCACUUAGGUGUCUAAUGCUGACAUGACAUCCUCCGUCGAUUUUAAAUAUCUUUUUAACAGUUAGGACCUAAUUACAAUAAAAUGUAGAGUUUAGAGACUUGAUUGUUAAAAAAAAAGAAAAGAAAAAAAAGAGCAGACUGAAAAAAAGAAACUUAAAAUAAUAAUAAUAAUAGAAACUUUAAAAGAAGAGGAAAGGAAAAAAAAAAAAAAGGAACAAUAAACAUUACUACUUGGGAAUUGGAAUUGGCAAUGGAUUAUAAUUUGCCUGUUUUCAACUUUAAAGGAUGGCAGAUUGCGCGCGUGCGCAGUCUGGUUGCGGUCCCAUACACGUAUUUCCAACACACACAAAGAUAUAACAUGUAGAUAAAAGUAUAAGCACGCCUUUUUCUAUGCGUAUUCGUAUUGGGUCUUUAGAAAAAACAAAAACGAAAAGCCUAAGCCUACGUACACCACCAAUUACGAAGUGCAUCAGUCUUCGAAGUUUUUUUAUAAAUAGUUUUCAUGAAACUUUUAUUUCUAAAAAUAGACCUCCUUAAAAUUUUUUGCAAAAAUAGUUUCCAAAUAGGCCAGGUCAGCUCGGGGCAGGUGAUUCAGACAUAUGCGGUGAAUAGUUUACCGCGUUCACAUAUGCGGUGAACCAUUCACCGCAUUUGUGGGCCUAGUCAAUGGCCUCCGUAAAAAUAAGAAUGCGGUAAAUGGUUUACCGCAUUCCUAAAGCGGUUAACCAUUUACCGCAUUUAAAAGCGGUGAAUAGUUCACCGCUUUUAAACGCGGUAAUUUGUUUACCGCAUUUAUAUGCGGUGAACAAUUCACCGUCUUUUAAUCGAUAUACCCUACACCCCGCCCGAACCCCUUUCCUUUCUCUCUCACUCACCUACGCGCGAGCUCCUGUGUCUCCCGAGCUUCUCCUCUCUGUCUCCCGCACGCUCCCUCACUCCUCUCUAUCUCACUCACUCCGACCCGAGUCCGACGCCGUCGUCGCUGCCGCCGUCGCCGGCGCCGACUGUACUGCUUCUGCCAUGCCUUCUAUCCUCAGCAUUGUAAGGACAUUGUUCCAUUAGGUUGGUGGUGAGAGGUUUGAAAAAAAUGUAAUUGUUUUUGAAAUAGAGUUAAUUGUUUGUAAAUUAUUGUGUUAUUUUACUGUAUUUUGUCUAUAUUUUGUGGUAUGUAUACUUUUAGAUCACAUUUUAAACCCUAUUAGGUUAGUGGUAGAGCCCAACACCGAGAUGUGAGAUGUAAUAAUGUGGUAGUUGGUUUCUUUUGUGAAGGAUAGUAUUUUUCGGUCAUUUAAAUUGCAUUCAUACUAUGCCUCUAUAAAACUUAGGUAUCAAAAUCUCAUACUUGUAAUAGAGGAAAUGUUACUUUAAGGGGAUAUUUGAUCGCUUUAUCUAAGAUUCCUAGGUAUUGAAUGUUUCAUACCGGUGACGAUGCAUUAUUGAUUUAAUUCAAACUCUCAUAUGUAGAUCGAAACCAACAAAUGAUGCUCCAUAAGUUAUUACUGUUUUUCGGGAAGUGAAGUGCUUUGGGUAAGUUUAGUAGCUUAUUUUUAAGUACAUGAUCUCUUGUUUCGAAGUUUUGAAUUUUGUAGUGAACACAUGUCAUUUGCAGUAUCAAUUCAGCACUUUAAUUUGAUAUGAUUAUGUUUGUUUACAAAUUUUAUAUUUUGUUUAAGUUAGGAUGGCGCGUAGUAAUGUGGCUAUAGUUGUUCAUUGGAAUGGAGAAAUAUUGGCACACGAUAACAAUCCAAAGUACGUUGGCAGUCGUAAGAAAUUAAGUGGUAUUCCAGUGGAUAUUACAUUUACAGAAUUCGAGAGAAAAAUAUAUAGAUUAACCGAUACUCCGAGAGAUGAGUAUCGUCUAAUUAUCAAAGUCCGAUAUUCGACCGGGAUGAAUCAAUUCGAUGUGGUUGAAGUUACGGACGAUGACUCACUGUGUGGUGUGAUGGCAUUGUCGGGAAACCCUCCGUGUUUUAUAAUGUUCGUUGAAAAACAAAUAAUUUUAUCUCAGGGGUAUUAUUCUAAAAUGUUAAAUAGUGACUUUAAUGUGGAUGCCCCGAAAGAGAAUUUUUUCGUACUGAUAUCGAAGGAGGAGCAAAUGCACCUACAUUAGUAUUGCAAAAUAUGAAUUUUGUAUAAAUAUUUUAACAUAACAAAUGUUUAUAUUGCCUUCUCCCAUCAAUUGUAGGGAGUACGAAUUUCCAAAUAUAGUUGUUGGUGAUCCUCCUCCCCUUCCACGUACUAUUUAUCAUGCCAUGGCUUCUACUUCUCAUGCCCCACUGGGUAGAGAGCAAGGCGUCUUAUGUGAAGAAGGGUUAGAAUACGCUAGUUUGUAAUUUAAUCAUUCACUGUUUUAUUUAGUUAGAAAGUGCUUAAUUACGAAGUAAUUGCAGAUUUCAUACCUCUCAUGAUGUGCAUGACUUUGGAUCGUAUCCAUUGGGAACCGAAAAUGACGGUAUAGGAAAUCGGGAGGAAGUGCAACAAGAAGUAGCUGAAGACGGUUAACGUUGGUGCCUUCGCCGGCCAUAUGAAGGAGAUUGUUGCGGAGGAGUUUCUGAGAAGCGAGGGACAUGCUCACCGUUGGUGCCUCCGCCAUAUGAAGGCUAAUGUGAAAAAAGCUGGUUUCAAAAAUGAAAAUGUGCUCAAUAAAUUUUAUACGGGCAUAGGAUGUGCUGCAACAGCAAAGGAAUAUUAUGAGUAUAAGGAUGAGUUGAAAGAAAUGAAUCCGGCGGCAUGGCUUUGGGUGCACGAGCUCCAAGGGGAAAGGGAAUAUUGGGCGAGAGCAUUUGAUGGAGGACGGCAUUUUGGGACAAUGACGACAAAUCGGUCGGAGAGUUUAAAUGGAGUGUUUAAGGGUGUACGUGGUUUACCUAUCACAGCAUUUGUGGCCACUACAUUUUAUAAGGUGAACAAUUAUUUUGUUAAGCGCCGUGAUAAAGGUGAGACAUACACUACAGUAUUGGCACCAAACAAGAGGUGUUAAUUAGGAGUUAUAUGAUAAUCGCAAGAGGACAACGUGUGGAUCGUUACGGAGUAAACGAGUUUCAAAUUACUACCGGAAAUGGACAAUUUGAGGUGGUUCUUGACGGGAGAAGCUCGACUUGUUCAUGCCAUGAGUUUGAGCUCACUAGGUUGCCAUGCUCACAUCUUCUAGCUGUAUGCAGUAAUGGUGUCACGCCCCGGGGCUCAGCGGAAGCCUAUCCGGCGCGUGUCCAGACCCGCCAUACGUCUAAAACAUAUAAGGCGUCUACAAAAUUUCGAUAGAUAAAACGAUAAUACAAGAGAUCUAGUGAUAUCAGAGCAUUGUAUAACUAGUUCUAUAACAAGGAAAGGACAUAAAGCUGAAAGUCCACUAAAUAAAAACAUAAAGUAAGUACAAUAGGGAUCCCAUAACAAGUGCUAAAAGGAGUACAAGGUGGUCUCUCUAUACAUGGUACAAGACCUCUCCCUCUCAAAAUAUAAAAUGGAGGAGUAACCACCUAGCGCAAAAGAACUCUCCGCGAGCUAGCUACGCGACACCCUUGCCGCGAUCCCGUGCCUCCGCCGGUGCCGAAGGCUCUGAAAAGGAAACAUAGAAACAGGGGCGUGAGAACUAUUAAAUAAUAGUUCCCAGUGGGCAAUUACUGACUUCAGUGAAAUGCACCACUAGGCCCGAAACUAUAAAAGAGGGUCAGUGUACAACUAUAACAAAAGCGAUAAAUGCACUGUAAGUAAAUAAAUAAACGAGUACCCAAUAAUCAUGAUAUCUCUACUUAGCAUGAUUUACAUAAGUAAGAAAGCAACUACUAGCUAUAUGCACAUGAACACCCAACAUAUAAAGCAUGAUUAUGCAACUACCCAAAGUCCACAAUGUAAUAGUAAAGAUGUCAUUGUUUACUAUUCUAGUCCAAGUCCACUUUAACAGUUAUAAAGUUCACAUAGCAUGUUCUGUCACCAAGUCCCAAUCAUAUAAGACCCACCCGAAGGCUGUCUGGCCUGCGCCGUGCCUAAUGGCCCCGUGGUAGUCAACAUCCCCACUCUAGGGAUGAGCCUCCCCCACGGCAAUCCACUUCGGCGCCCAAUCCCGCACGGGCGAGCAUAUGUCGCGAUGGCUAUCUCCGGAGUGCCGGCUUGUAGGGAGCGACCCUCACAAGCAUGUGCGAAUGAGCACAAUGGCAAGCAAGCAAUGAUCUGUCUCAAGUACCAAGUCCUCAUGUCUAACAACAUGGAAUAUAUCAAGUAUCUCAAUGGCCUAUCUCUAUGUCAUCAUGUCUCUAACAUGGAAUAUAGCAGAUACGUAGUGGCCUAUCAAUAUGUCUCUAUGUUGCAGUUUAAUAGUUUACUAGUUUCAAGUGCCCCUUGAUGACACUCUUGUUCUUCUAUGUCAAAGCAUGGCAACUAUGUUUCAAAGUACAUGUUCCAAGUCAUGAUCCUCAUAAGAGAUGUACUUUCCACUUGCAAAAUGAACACUUUUCCCGUAUGCAUGCGUUCUACUCAUAUAGCUCUACUAUAUAGUGAAAUUUUUAUAAUACACAAGGCAUGCAUUUUAAGUGCUCUAAAAUUCAUAUAAAUUCCAUUUAGCAUAGAAAUGAAUUUAAAAAUAUUUUACAACAAGUAGAAAGAGCAUAGGGGCCAUUUCGCCCCAUUUCCACGAAGCCAAACCCACCGAUGACAACGAAACUCCUCGUUCGCUCCCACGAGGGUGUCCUCUAGUCUCCUAGUACCCUAGAGGUAUAGAAACAUGUGUCAUACGAGCCAAACGAACAAUACCUAGCUCAAUCAUUAAGCUAAUCAAGCAUAGGUGAGGAAAACUCACCUCUAGUGCAAAAAUCUCCUCUAAAGCUCCAAAAUAAAGCUAGGGCUCAUCCAAUCCAACCUAAUGGAAGCCUCUAAUCCACUCAAUCUAGCUUCAAAAGCCCUAGAUUCAAAAUGCCCAAUUUAAGCCCUAAAGCCUCAUUCUAGGGUUUCAUUACAAAGAGGCCAAUAAAAGUCUAAUUUAGAGGAAGAGGAUGAGCUACUAACCUUUAAGAAGCUUCAAACAAGGAUCAAAAUCCUCCAAGAGUGGAGAUCUCCCUCACCCCAAGCUCCAAGAUCAAGCUCUAAUGGUGGAAAAGCUUCCAACAAGCAAAAGAAGCAAAAAGGAGGGUUUAAUCCACCAAAAUCCAAGCUAAAAAGGGAUGAAAUCCAAAGAGAUGGUGAGGAGGGGUGCCCUACCUUCUCCUCCCUGUGAUCUGAGCUCAAGAGGUGCCCUGAGGGGCGUGGGUGCUAAAUAGAUUAGACACAAAUGCGAAAAAACCCCUGCAGUUCGGACUGCACGAAAACUGCCUCCUUGUACCGGUACACGGGCUCUUGUACCGGUACGAGGCCCACGAAAAUGCAAACCCGAGGCUCGGGUUGCGGGGUCUGCGGCUCUGUACCGGUACAAGCCCGAUGGCUGUACCGGUACAACCAUCAAUCUUGUACCGGUACAAGACCAGUCUUGUUCCGGUACAAGCUCUGCUGCAGGCUACCCGAGAGCUGUCCAAAAAUUCCGAUUUUGGGAUUUUGGUGCCAAGCCUCACUCCAACAUCCUCGGGAUGCGUGCCAGGGGUCGGAACACUAUCAACGACCCUCCAAAAACUGUGGAAAAGCUCCAAACACAGAUCAAACACUCGAAUCUUGCGAUUUGCAAGAUCCAGUGCAUUACAAAUGGUCAAAUGAACAUUGACUACUAUAGUCUGUGUUCUGAAUGGUUGACAUGUAAGAAUUAUUGUCGUACUUACUUCCCGCAAUUUCACCCUGUCCCAGACAAAAGAAGUUGGCCACGCCCUCAAGGACCACCGUUGGCACCACCACCAAUCAGGAGAAAGAAAGGACGUCCGAGAUCAACUCGUAUUGGAAAUGCCAUGGACGAGAAAGAAGGAAUGCAAAGAACUAUGUGCACUAUUUGUAAACAACAAGGACAUUAUAGGACUACAUGUCCAAAUAAUCAAAAUAGAACAAAUGAAGGCCGUAGAUGUAGAGCUUUAGGUUGAUGACUUAUGUUUGACUAUCUACAGUAUUUUUAUUUCUAGAUUUAUCUUUUAGCGUUCAAUUAAUAGUCACUAAUUUGUAUAUUUUAUUUUGCAGAUAGACGAUCACGAGAAUCCCGGGCCAGUUGAUGUCACGCCCCGGGACCGAUGCCAAUUUGGCCCGACCCGAGCCCGUCAAACAGACGCCGAACGGACAGAGUUUCCCCUAUCCGCCCAAGGCUCAUCACAUGUACAUUUUCAACAAUAGAGAAAAGCACUAGCGGAAACAUACACAAACGGCUUACACGAGGGUAAGCAAUUGCCAUUAGUGAAAGAAAAAGGAAACUAAACAUUCACAAGUAAUAUGAUUCAUUUUAGAUCAUAUACAUUGCAUUCAUCUAGUAAUUUAUCAAAUUCUUGCAUUCAUUACAUCAUUUCAUCAUUUCUUUCUUACAUCACUCUUACCUCAAAAUAAGCUUUACAUUCUUUCUUUACAUCACUAAAUCAUCAAAUACAAAAGAUGAUAAAAGGGUGUCUACUAACAAAAUGUAACCCAACACAUGGUGCUUCUGACUAAGGCGCGAUACCUUUACCUCGUCGCUCGCCGCGUCGAUGGUCCCGGCUCUGUGGAAAUAGUGGGUGAGAACUACAACAAAGUUCCCAGUGGGUUCGGCCCCAACAUCACCCGACUUUCCCACUAGGACUAACUCAGGCAUAAUAGAAAGGAUAAGUAAGAUUUAGUAACCAAUCUAUAACAUGAUGCUAAUAUGCCUGAACAAAUAGCAAGAAAUAUGCUCAACAUUAAAUAUAUGCAGAUUAUGCAAAUUCUUUCUUCUUUAUCUUACAUUUGUUCUUUGUCUUUAUUCUUUUACUCUUUGUUCUUUAUUCUUUGUUCUUUAAUCAUUAAGGCUAACCCAGGGGUUUCGCCACAUUAACUUGUUUCACAUUAAGUCCAUCAUCGCAGGAUCACCAGCUAGGACAUCCUUACGGGUCUACUCCAACCCGGAUGCAUAAACUCCGGAGCGCAUCGCCCGAGGGGGAGCGACCACCCUCGAGCACGAACUCAUAGCAAUAUGAUCAUAUCCUUAACUCAAAGAUUUAUAAGUUCAAUCUUGACUUUACACUAGCUCUAGUGUUCAUUACAUCACUUUAUAUUGCAAACUCAUGCAAUCGUUGUUCUUUACUUUUCUUUUACCUUUGCCACUUUUAGCAUUCUUAUUCUUUACAUUCUCGUUCUUAUUGCCCCACUUUACUUUAACUUUACACAUUGUCAUUUUCAUCAUUCUUUACAUCACUUUGUUCUUUGGCUCACACUAACUCUAGUGUGCACUUUACUUUACGUUUUCAAAAUGCCACUCGAUCUAUGUCAUUGUACCACUCUGUUCUUUUGCUCACUUUGGGUGCUCACAUUUCCUCUCAUGCAUACAUCUAGGGUUUCGACAUUAUUAGGUUCUCAACUAUCUCAUUAUGCAAGUUGUACUCACAAUCAUGCAAUCAUCACAUUUCAUCAUUACUUUACCCUAAAAUGCAUGCAACAAUAUAUAGAACAUAUGCUCAAAUGAAUGACACAUUAGGCAUAGAAGGAAGUUCAAUGAGUUUGGAAAGCACCACCCACCUUGUAGGUCUCUUUAGGUGCUCCGACGAUUUUCUCGGGAUUUCUAGACGUUUCGUUCUUUACCUGCGGCAAAACGAACCCUUAUUAGGCCAUUUUGCCCAUAACUUUACAUACACUUUUCGAAAUGCUAUUCCGAGCGCACCAACGCGUCGGGAAUACCCCCAAUUAGGUUUUUAGAGGGUCAAUUGCACUUAGAAACCUUCAUGAGCAAAAGCCCCAAUUUGGGUGCCCUAGCUCCAACGUAUAUCAAAACCUAGGGUUUGAUCUCAUUGGGAAGCAAAAGUAGCUUCAUUAUACUCUAAAUAGUCCAUUAGAACCAUCCCUAGCUCACUCCAAACCCUAGUUUGGAUUUCACCAUGAGAGGGGUCAAGCUCUUCUUCAAGCUUUACCUCCAACAACCAACCCAUAGUCUUGAUCUCAAAAGAAGCAAAAGAAAGCUUCAAAAACUCUAAAUACUCCAUUAAAACCAUUUCUAGGUUCAUUCAAAACUCAUUCUAGGGUUUUACUACAUUAGGGUUAAAAGCUUACCUUGUAAGCUCCCUUUUCUUGCACUAGAGAGGAAGAAGAUGAAGCCUACUUGCUCCAAAAGCUUCUUCUUCACCUUCCUUUCCUUCUUUUCCUUCCUUUCUUUCCUUCUUCUUCUUUUCCUUCUUUGUCUUCUAGAGAGAGAAAGAGAGGAGAGGGUGUGAGAGGGAGUGGAAUGAGAGGAAAAGCCCCUCAGCCCACUAACAUAACCAUUGGGUUGCAAAAAUGCUAAUAAACCCCUCAACUUUCAUCUAUUUCAACUGCCUGGUCUGGGCAGAUUUCGGGCUCGGGAACCGGUCUCCCCGACUAGGGACCGGUCUCCGAGAGCUCUCCCAGCGCAGCCAGAGCUGCUGCGCGCGAUGCAUCCGGUCUCUCCUAGGGGGACCGGUCUCUCGGGGACCGGUCUCUCGGACAGGGACCGGUUCCCGAGAGCUACUUUCUCAGGACUUAGCCGAUUUUUCGGCUGUCUCACUUCAUACGCGUUCGGGGACCGGUCUCUCCCACCAGGGACCGGUCCCCGAGAGCUCAAAAUCUGCAGUUUUGCAGAAUUUGAUUCUUUAGCUCUCGAAAACCUUCCACAACUCACUUUUGAUCAUUUUAACACCUUCGGACUUUCCGACGUGUUCCAUCCUCGCACUUUGGUCAAUUUGACUAAAGUUCGACAUUUUAUUUUCCGAAUUUUCGGUAUAUUACAGUUGAUCUAUCAGUUCUAUCAGGCCAAGAUAGGCAUCGGUCGAGCUAUGUGCGAUCAGAGGUAUGUUUAGUUAUGCAUUUACAAAAAAGUUUGUAAUUUAAAUACUUAAAAGGGGAAUUUACUAAAAAGUGAAUAAACUUUACAGGGGUACGCGCCAGUUCAGUUUACGAAGCAUGGCCGUAAACUGAACACAUAGACAGUCGAGCAUUCGGGAGUGAUAGAGCACUUACGACAUGCUAGCUUUUUCUACAUCUCCCGCCUCAGACGAGUACAGCUAGAUCAGGCUCUGUUAGGGGCGUUGAUAGAGCGAUGCAGGCGCGAGACGCAGACAUUCCACCUACGUCACAGAGAGAUGACAGUUACGCUACGUGACGUGGCCAUUAUAGCUGGACUACGAGUCUCCGGGGAGCCUGUUACAGGACGUGUUUCAUUUGAUUUGUUGCAUACAUGUGAGCUUCUUCUUAGGAUACAGCCAGACGAUGUCGUCACCGGCCAGAUCCGCUUGGAGUGGUUGUUUCAGCAUUUCCGGCAUAUUCCUUUGGAUGCUCCGGUGGCCGUGGUUGCAGCAUCUGCACGAGCAUACAUUUUAUUUCAAAUUGGAUGCAGUUUGUUUCCUAACCCCACUAGAUAUUGCGUUCACCUCAAGUCGCUACCGCUACUUGAGGAUUUUGACUUCUGCAGAGGCCUAGCUUGGGGCGCAACUACCUUGGCCUAUCUCUAUCGGGCAUUAGGGAAUGCCUCUAUGAAAGGAAAGGCCGAGUGUUGUGCUUUUGGUACACUACUACAGGUCAAAUCACGAUAACUUAGUUUUUUUUACUAAUAACUUAUAACUUAUAACUUAGUUUCUUUUACAAAUUUUAUAGUUAACUUUUUUUGUUCUUAGAUAUGGGCAUAGGACCAUAUACACAUUGGACAUCCCGAUUGAGUUGGAGCUCCACCGGAUCUCCAUGAUUGUCCAUUGGGUUGUCGGUAUGCUAUGUAUUUAAAAUAUAAUAUAAUAAAAUAAUAAAUAUUGAUAUUGUAUUGAUAUAUUAUAAAAUAAUUUAAUAUACUAUUAAUCACUUCUGCAGGUGGAACAUGGGAUUGUGGAAAUGUCAGGGCGAUUGACAUUGAGUUUAAUCGCGAUGAGCUAGAUCAGCAGAGAGAGUCACAAGUACGUAUAGAUUUCAUAAAUUAAAUACAUGCAUAUACAUUCUAAAAUCUUACAUUCAUUUUUUUUAAUACACUUUGUACAGGUUACAUGGAUGCCCUAUACGGAGGAUGUUUUGAUCGGUCUUCCUGCAUUUUGUCUUGAGGGCUCAGCAAUCUGGCGUUCGAGAACUAGUUUGAUAUGCUAUCAUAUUGUCGAGCUACAUUUACCUGAUAGAGUUCUUCGUCAGUUUGGAUUGCUGCAGCAUAUACCGGAGCCUGUAGAAGCUAUACAGAGGAUCACCUCACAGGGUAGAUCAGGCGAGGACUGGGCAGCGUUUCAUGCUCCAUAUAUUCAGCGUUGGGCAGAUCGUCUGGAGUAUAUUGCGAAGCAGAGUCCUUUCGUCGAUCUAGAUCCGAUACGAGCUACCUCUGUGUACAUGCAGUGGUAUUGGGGGAUCACACGGAGGUGGAUUUCUCGUCCUGUACAGCGGCCUCCACUUACUUUUCUGCCGCGUGGGAAUGUCGAGCGACGAUUGGUAAGAUUAUUUUAUUUUAUAGUUUAUUUUAAUAUAAGGAUAUUCAUUAUAUAUAAACAUGUAUGUUUAUAUAGGUGUAUGCUAUGCGGCAUGCUGUUAGCAGUAUUAGUCAUUUGAUGGAUGAUCCUCCGGAGUCCACUAGAAUGAUGGAUGCUCUAGCAUAUGUAAGGUGGGACCUCGAGAGUGUAUUAGAGAGCCUUCCGACAUUACCAGUGAUAGGGCAUUCGGAUGUUUCUUCUCCGACUUUUGGUUCUUAUGGUGAUAUUCCCUCCACUCCACACCUGCAUAUGAUUUCGGUGAUAUUCCCUCCACCUCUGCGCCUGCAUAUGAUUUCGGUGAUAUUCCCUCCAUCUCGAUGCCUGCGUAUGAUUUUCCAUCGACAUCCGUCCCAAUUCAUCCAUCUGAUGUCCCUUCGACAUCGGAAGUGUAGUUUGAUAUUCCGUCGGCAUCCAUCCCUCCAUUUGAUAUUCCAUCUACGUCAGAGGUAUUAUAUUUUGAUAUUUCAUUCACGUUUAUCCAUCUUUCUGAUGUUUCAUUCAUGUUGCAGGUUCGUCACGAUGAUGUUGUAUACCGACGUAGGCGACGACGACAGGGUCAUAUUGAGACGCAGGAAGGGAUACUACCAUCAGCUGUUGAGCAAGGGAUGGAGCCGAUUGUCGAGGGCAUCGCCAUCGAGCAUAUUGAUCAGAUGCAUGUCAUUGAGCCCGUGCAGCCUGAGAUGGAGCAUGACGUACAUAUUCGAGGACGGAGUCGAGGGCGGUCGUGGACGCAGACGUGGACGUGGCAGGGGACGAGGGCGAGAGCAUAGGAGGGGGAUGGAGGGGACUUGAUGUUUUUUUAUCAUUUAUGAGAUACUUAUGUAUAUUUGAUAUUUCAGAUCUUUCUACGUUGAUUUUUUAUAGUAUUACCUAAAAUUAUUCAUAUUGAAAUGUGUUGAUAUUGGUAUAACUCAUUUUAUAUGCUUAAAGUGUGGUUGAAGUUGGUAUAGAUGAUUUUAUAUAUUUAUUUAUAUAAUUGAAAUGCUUGAAAACAUUAUUUUUUGUAUAAUGUGGGAAUUUGCAAAGUUGCUGCUGUUUUGUUGUAGUACAGCUUGAAUGCGGUGAACCAUUCAUCGCAUAUAAAUGCGGUGAACUGUUCACCGCUUAUAAAUGCGGUGAACGGUUCACCGCUUUUAAAAACGGUGAACGGUUCACCGCUUUUAAUGUAUUUUUCUCACAGGCCGGGAAACACCAUGAAGGCGGUGAAGGUGGUGAAUGGUUCACCACCUUCAUAGGAUUUUUAAAUCCUUAUGAAAGCGGUGAACCAUUUACUGCUUUCACAUGAAAGCGGUAAAUGGUUCACCGCUUUCAAAGUCUCCCGCCACCUCACUGCCCACAUGGCAGUUUCGAGCCUAUUUUCGCAAAUACAAAUUUCAUAAGCCUAUUUUUAGAAUAAAAGUGUUGGAGGAGAUUAGUUGGGUAAAAACUCCUCAGUCUUCACUCUCGUGGCACCGCCGGAUACGUGAGGCGGGGUCCCGCGGCGGGAAGAAACUAUUGCCUGCACCGCGCGUGUGGAGCGCAGUCGUACGCCAUCGGGAUAUUAUUUUUAGUUAUUUGAAUGUGGUUACCCUAUAUUUCCGGAACACGUAAAUUCUACAAACUAAUAGAUUUGGGACGUCCAUUUCUUACAUGUGGAAAAAUAGUUUUUAUUUUAGGUACUAGAUUCAAAAUAUAUAAUCUUUAUAUUGUAGGUUUUCUAGAUACUAUAAAUUAUAUCUAUCACAUUAAGCCUCAUUNAAAGCUGGAGUGCAUUCUAAGUGCUCAAGUGUCAAAAAGAAAAUACUUCUACCAAUAUAUUUAAUUAUAUAAAAUUAUAACAUAAAAAGGAAAAAUAGUUUUUAUUUUAGGUACUAGAUUCAAAAUAUAUAAUCUUUAUAUUGUAGGUUUUCUAGAUACUAUAAAUUAUAUCUAUCACAUUAAGCCUCAUUGAAUUUGCAUUGUUAUUUUUUUCCUUUUUAUGUUAUAAUUUUAUAUAAUUAAAUAUAUUGGUAGAAGUAUUUUCUUUUUGACACUUGAGCACUUAGAAUGCACUCCAGCUUUCCCGCUAUUUAAUAAAUGACAAUUUUUUUCUUAAAAAAAUUCUAGUAAAGGGGAAAAAAAAGAGAUAAUUACUCUAAAAUCUUCUUUUUUUGCUGUUAAACAAAUAUUUUUAAGUAAGAAGAUUAUAGAUAACCAACCAUUCUUUCCUACAUUACUUUAUGUAAAAAAUCAUUAAAAGAAAAAAAUAAAAAACCAAAAAAGCAUUCAUGCAAACUAGUCUCUUUUUAUUAGACUACCUGUAAUUUAAGUCUCUCUUUAGAAUUGUAGAAAAUUGCAGAAAAACUAACUUUGCUUCUUUGUUAUAUAAUAUCAUGUUGUGUAUAAGGCAUUCAUUUUAAUAUAUUUUUCUACUCCAAUUCAAAUCGACAUAUUUUUCUUAUUUUUUUUUUCUUUUUUUUUGUGCAGAAAGUGUGCGUACGCGUUCUAUAUAUUUAUAUACAUACUGGGAGCAGAAAUGUAUAAUUCCUCGGAGGCGCGCGUGCGAGGUGGGUCCUCCACGGAAUGCGCGCGUGCUGGCGCUAUUGUGGCGGCUGAAGGCCCAGCAGAGAGGGGGUUUGGGUGGGCCCCGCAGUGCUCAGCCCGGCCCGGCAGCGUGUCCCGGAAUGAGGGCGCCGCGCACACGGGAUUGGUGGCUUCGGGAACGUAUGUGUAGGGUUGUGGCAUGUCUCCGGGUACAAGCCCACGUUUGGCGCCCACUCCAUCGAUUGCGGACGGCAGGGAAAGCGCAAGAUGAUUGGGCGUGGACCCCAGCUAUCAGCUGGGCCGGCUUGAAAACUAGCUAGCUAUAGGACAAUUAGCAUAGGGCUAGUUUAGCCUUAUAGAGUCGCUCGUAAGAGUUGAAAUGUGUCACGUAUUUCGAGCGGGAAGUUAGGACGCUGGAAGUAGAAGUGAGCGUGGGUUUUGAUUUUCCAUACUACAAAAUCAAUAAGUUGCCUGAUUAAUAUAAUAGGUGUACAUGUAGAUAUAGCAAAUUUCAUUAAUAUAACAAUGAAGUGUGUGUAUGGCCCAAGCAACACUGCAGAUAUAAAUAUUUUAAUAAUAUAUUUUAAAUAAUAUCUUUAUAUUUUUUUUGGGAGCCGAAUUCCUUAUCCUUACCUCGGUCAAAGAUCUCCCUCGACAAGCGUGCAGGAAUUUGGAACGGCUAUGAACAGUGACCCUCGAAGUUUGCGCCCAUCGACUGGAUCAAGCAAUUCGGCUGACGAGGGAUCGGAUCAGCCGAGUUCAAAGACUUUACUGUAGAUUCGGUUCGGCUAGAUGAGCCGAAUAUACGGACUAUACAAAAGCUAAGGUCUGCCGAUGAGCCGAAUUGAUAAAAACACAGCGUUUGGUCGGCCUAAAGAGCCGAAAACCCUUAAAUAUAUUGAAACUGGCUGGUGGAAAGAAAACAGGGAUCGACUGUGCCUGAUGGCAUACAGACUCGGUUGAUCUACUUAGGAACUAUUCUUAGGAAAAAAAGUAAAUACGGAAAAGUAAAAGUUACAAGUAGACUACUCCUAGGAAAUGCGAGAAAUUGUAAGGAAAAUAAGGGCGGUCUUCUAUUCACGAAAAAAAGACCUCUUUUUAGGACGUUAUUUGCUUAUUUAUAUAUCGCCCCCGUUGAUCAGUUAUUACCUAUCCAUGAUCGGCCACUAUUCCUUAAUUUUUCUGACCACUUUCAGCCGAUCGGAACCGCUUGCAACUGCUUGUGGUUGCAAUAACUUCCCUUAAAUCGUGCGGUUUAGGACUCUUUCGAUGCUCCUAGUAUAUAGCGCAUCAAUGAAGCUGAAUGGAGUACCGGUGUACCACAUGUCUGCGUCUUAUUGGCCCAACAAUUUUAUAUUAUUUUAUUAUCUUAAUUAUUAAUUAAAUAGAUUUAAGCAUAAAUAAUUGAGCUAGGCGGGUAUACUAUUGGUAGCACGGAGGCCUCCGUGUUACCAAGUUGUUUUCGAUGAUGCGGCUUCCAAAUCCACGAUCGGCUCCGUUAGACUUGAUCUACACUAUUAAAAGUAUUAUUAAAUUUUAUAAUUUUUCGACAUCAUUUGGCUAGUGAUCAACAGGUCUCAAAAUUGACAAUUUUAAUGAUAGAUGUGAUGCGUUUGUGAAUUUAACGGUGUAAUACAAUCCAAAUCUGAUGAAUUUUUUAGAGAAAAUUCUUUUUACUAUUUAGAGUAAGAUCAGUACUUCUGAUCUUAAAUUCAAGACUUUUAUCAUCAUUUUUUAUGAGAUUUUUAUUUUCAGCCGUUUAUUAUUAGACUACUUGUUUGAUAGGAAAUGAUGUCAAAAAAUUAUAAAAUUUAGUUUCUAAAUACUUUCAAUAGUGUAGAUCAACUCUAGCGGAGUCGAUCGUCGAUUUAGAAGCCGCAUCAUUGAAAACAACUUGAUAGCACGGAGGCCUCCGUGCUACCGAUAGUAUACCAGCCUAGCUCUAAAUAAUUUAUAAUUAAAAUAAUUAAAAUAAAAAUUAAUUUAAUUUGGUUCAUGUGCGGUAUAAAUUUUUAUAAGAACUAAUUGUUGACCUAGUGAUCCUAAUCUGCAACUAAAUUUCGAUGAUUACAAAUAAUAGUAAAAUUUAGACUAAUUUUUUUUAUCUUGAAUUUUGUAUUUACAUCUCUCAAAUUUUGAAAAGGAAUUCUAAAAGGGCAAGUUGCAAGAGGUGAACUACAUCUUUUGAAGCAAUCUAUAUAUGCUUCCAAAGUCAGGGAGACUAUAUUUGAUCCCUUUAAAUUUACAACUGUCUAUAUUUAUUAUGCUUUAUAUAAUCAUUAAAUAUAAAUUUGAUAAAUUUCGUGCACUGUAGAGAACUUUUUGCUAUAGUAUAUGCACGGUGUUCAACACAGUCACGAUCCGUAUGGUAGUGAUCAUGUUUCCUUUUCUCGAGGUCGAGGUCGAUCUUUUCAUAUUUAAGUAAUCAUGAAGACAUGGUAAGAUUGAUACAUUGCCUCUUCCAAUGUUGAUGAUCUGGGCCUGCAUGUAUAUUUGUGCUGGCUACGAAAGAUUCAGUAACAAAUAAGAUAAUUACCUACGUACGUGCCUUUUUAGCAAAAAGAUAAAAUCGAAUUAUAUAGUGAAGGCAAAAGGAGGCGGCAUAUGGUCUAGCUAGUCAUCUAUGAUUCUAUUUAGGACUAACCACAAAACCUUUAUUUGAUUUUCAAUUUUAGCAAUUUUUUUUUCAAACUUAUAAUUAAAGUAAUGAUUACUGUAAUUAAGAAUCUUCCUGGAAAAUGAAAGAAAUUGCAAAAACAGUACGUAAUCUACCAUGCAUGUGAACCAAAAUUUGCUAUGUGGCACUUUACGUUAGAAUAAACAGGUUUUUAUAACAAAUGCUGAAUUUAAAUAGUUAGUGCUGGGUUAGAAACUGAAUACGGGGCGAUGCUGACUGGAUCAUGGCGUUGACCAAGUCACGCUCUUCUUCGGGAUGCAAGUCGGCCCCUAGGAUGAUCAUGGAAUGCGCUACUAACGAACCAAGCGACUCGGUUGAGAAGGAAUCGGCUCUGUCACGCGCGCCCCGAUUCCACAGCAGAAACCCAUGGGGACGUCAAUAGACCAGCCAAACGGAUAGAGUUUUUUUGUCUUGGCGAAGUAUAUAUCAACACAACAUAACAGUAACAAAGCAAUACUAGAGAUCACAACUAAGUCUUCCAAGUCACAAGAACAAGAAUAAAGUCACUAAAUAAAUGAACUACAUAUAUCAUAGCCGUCACACCCCCAAACCAUUACCAAUUUGGCACAGUUCGGCUGCGUCGAACAGACGCCGAACGGGCAGCAACUCCCCUGCCCGCCCAAGGCUCACGACUUGAUCAUAUACAAGAAUUUGCUCAGGAUAAAUAAAUUCGUACAUACACGAUCAACAGGGCACAACAGUGCCAACAACAAAGAGUAAGAAUCACGAGUAAUGUCACGCCCCGGGACCGGCAGAGGCCCUCCCGGUAGCGCGCCCAGACCCGCCAUAUGUCACACAUAUAAGGCGUCUACAACAACAGCGGAAAUAAAGCAAGAGAUGAUCUACAACUAGAGAUAUCAGAGCAAGUACACAUCUAUAAUCUAUGAUAAGAGAAGUUGGAACAAACUAAAUAAUAAAGAGGAAACAUAAAGUUCUACAAUAACCAUCUAAAAAGUACACAAAAUAGGUGGUCUCUAUUACACUGGUACAGCUCUCAACCUCUCCAAAAAGAAAACAACUAGAGGUAGACCACCUAUCAACGCAUCCCUCGAAGCCAAGCUAACUCGAGGCGAUACCCUUUCCGCGGUCCCUAUCCUCUCCCGGUGUGGAAGGCUCUGAAAUAACAUCAAUAAAAAGAGGGUGUGAGAACUAUAAUUUAUAGUUCCCAAUGGGCAAUUACUGAGCUCAGCUCAAUGCACCACUAGGCCCCAAAAGAAAAGGGUAAGCACGAUAAACAACAAUAAUAAUAAUAAACAGUAAAUAUAAGAGCAAGUAUUGUUUGCUAAAUUUACUAUGCCAGAAACCAUAAGAUGUCAAUGUAUUGAACAUAUAUUCUAUCAAGAUGUGGUAUACCCCCUGCAUGUCUACUAUGCCCCAACAUGGCAAGCAAAUAGAUAACAUGAUCUGUUCUAACAAUAAAUGAUGAUUAUGCUCUAUCAUGGCAACCAAGUAUACUAAGAUGCAACCGGCAAAUUAUUAAGUAUACAACAUAUCUCAACACUACGCUACAAGCAUGUCAAAGUAAUCCAACUACUAAUCCUAUUUAGUAGUGAUUGUUAUCUUCCGAUUAAAUGUCAUUGUUUAAUCAUCUUCUAGGACCUACAUAAAUGUAGUCCAGCUUGUGCCACCUAAGUGUCGGUGGUAGCUCCAACAUUUCCACUCUAGGAAUGAGUCUGUCUCUCCUGACCCCGUAGGUUUCUCAAUACCGCACGAGCAAGCAUAAGUCGCGUAAGCCAACUUUGGAGUGCCGGCUUGUAGGGAGCGACCCUCACAAGCAUGUGCGAAUGAGCACAAAUGGCAAGCAAGCGUAGUCAACGUCUCAAAUACCCAAUCAUCAUGUCUCUAAUAUGGUAAAAGUCACUAGCAUCUCAAAGAUCUAGUUCUAUGUCUCAAAGUGAUGUUCCAACACUCACUAUGCUUAGUGCCUCUUUAUGGCACUUAAGCUUGUUAUAAGUUAACACGUUUCAUAAUCUAUGUUCCAUUCAUGACAUUUGUAUUAAGUUCUCAUUUAAUCCGAGCUCAAUGCCCCUUUAUGACAUUAGUCCAAUUAUUCACAAGUAGUACAAGUCUCCGAGCCUCUUUAUGGCUUACUAAGAUCCUUUAAAUCUCAAGUAGGAAUAGUUUUAAAUGCAUGCAAGUAAUGCUCAUUUUCACUAUAGGAAUUAUGAUUCCAAGUCUCAAUAGGAUGCCAAUCAUGUACAAGUUCCACAUGCUAGUUCUCUACUACAUAGAGGUCCGAAAAUCAUCACACAUAAUGUAAGGUACCGGACUUCUAAAAUUAUGAAGUUACGGUGUACAUUUGGUUUGAAAGCCAUUUGAAUGAUUUCGGUGAGGUUGCGGUGGAAUGUAAUAUACCGGAUUUUAAAUAUAAAAAUAAAAACAAAUAAAAAUAGUGUGAGAUACUAUUUUUAUUGAAUUUAGAGGAGUAAAACAUAAGUCAGGAGUGACUUGUGCUGAAAUCGGAAUGAAAACAGAAGAUAUAGAAUUUUCUGUUGGAGACGGGACAGAAAAAUAAGCAGAAAAUGCACAGUCUCAGAAAAUUAUGAAAAUUGGCGGAGAUGUCAGAAAUAUUUUUAUGAGGCUAGAUUUAAGGUUUCAUAUUUUUCUGACACCCAUAGAGUGAGAAAUAAAAUCCGAAAGCUAUCUGAUAAAGAUUGCAGUUCGGUACAGUUUUCAGUGACCAAACGGGGUCGAAACUGAACCAGUGAUCGUCAGCUUGUUAAGUUAAGUAAAACCGAACAUGACUGUCAAGUUUGAGCUCAAACGGAGAUUCAGGGAGCUCCGGCGAAAGUUAUCAGAUUUUAAGCUGCCUGGAGGUGAAUAGUGUUGGGGUGUAAUUAAAUAGAAGCAUGAUGCUUCUUCUUCCUCCUUCAGCCGUGCACACCCACACACACCUCACGCACACAUGGAGAGAGGAGAGAAACUCUCCUUUCUCUCUCUAGAGAUCUCUCUCAUUUCUCUAUAUCUCUCGCUCAAAUUCGCGGGGUUGGUGGAGAAUAUGCUUGCGAACGCGUUGGAGGCGACGGAUUGAGCUUUCGUGCGCCCGUUGGAGCGGUGUGUUGUCGUCGCGGCGUUCACAUUGAGGUAAGCUUUUAGGAUUUGGCUUAAUCCUUAGCUUUAAGUAUUCUAAUAGCCUCUAAUGAGCUUUGUUAGCAUGUUGAUCCAUUUAAUUUUGGAUUAUUUUGAGGUUAAUAGCAUAUUAGGGCUCCGAAUGGGGUUUUGUAAAAUAUGAGGGUUUGAUCUAAUUUGACCCUUCGUAAACCUAAUUGCUAGGUAACGAAACGCGUUGGCGAAGACGGUUCGGCAAUCCGACGAGCCGUUACAAAGUUAUUAAAGAAAUGGACGUUUAGGCUUCGGGUCCGCCGGGAGGGCCGAGGCGACAUCGUAAAUUCAUGAAAAUGGAUUUGAAGCAUCGUGGCACAUAACCGAAGACCUUUAAUUUUCGGAUCGUGAAUUGGAGGCCGUUCGGGUGGUCGCGUGAGAGAUCGGGCCAAACCGGGUGCCGGGUGCCGCGGGAGGCCGAUUGCAAGUGUCGACAAGCAAUCGGAAUGCGAAAUGAGGUGGGUUGUGCUUACCGAAGCGACUAGGUCGCCCUUUAUGUUUAAGAAACAUACGAGUUCACAUUGAUGCAUAUAGUUGUAUUGGUAGGCUUACAUGAUAAUAUGAAUGCUUGAAACAUAUUAUGUAGUUGAUAUUACCUACCAAUGAGAUGAAAUGUAUAAUGAAUUAAAUGCUAAAAGAAUGCAUGAGAUGCUAAGUAUAGACUACUUUGGAUGAUGAUUAUAUGUAUGUUGACAUAUCAUGUGAUGCUAGUAAUAUAUGUGCAUGAUGACAUGUUGUGAAUUAACAUAUUGUGGAUUAUGUUAAAUAGAAACAUAUACAUGAUGACAUAUAUUGCAUAUGAUAGAAGAAUUAUACAUGUUGCCAUAUUGUGGAACAUAGUGGAUGAAUUAUGCAUGUUGAACUUGGUCGAUUAGAGAAAUUGACAUUGGAAAACAAGAACACAUCGAGUGGCAUUAAUGUAGUGUAUUUGACACUAGAGGUUUGAGAACCUAGGGAUAGGUGAAUCCCUUAGAAAAUGCCUUGUGGAUAAAGAACUUAGUAAACCUAAGUACCCUCACAUGGAGAGGUUGUCGAUGAGUUAUUGAGAUAUUGACUCUAGUUGUAGAGCAUCCUCACUUGGAGAGGAUUUGAUUGGGUUGUUGACUCUAGUUGUAGAGCAUCCUCACUUGGAGAGGAUUUGAUUGGGUUGUUGACUCUAGUUGUAGAGCAUCCUCACUUGGAGAGGAUUUGAUUGGGUUGUGGACCCUAGUUGUAGAGUAUCCUCACUUGGAGAGGAUAGAUCUAGCUCACAGUCUGCGUUUGGGAUGGUAUAGCCAUCCAAUCCCCACAUGGAGGGGAUUGUCGUCGAGUACUCCGGAGUGUCGUGCGACUAGGACCACUUGGAGGUCCGGACCACAUGGAGGUCCGCAGACGGUCCCGGGCUUGGGUGCACUUGGAGCUCCCUCCCCACUUUGGGAUUGAAAGGUGAGUUAUUGGCGAACCCUAGGGCUUCGCUACAGAUUGGGUAAAAGAACAGUGAACAAUGCCAUUGAACAUUAUUAUUCGAACAUGGAUCGAAUUCGUUAGCAUGAUAGUAAACCUUUACUAUUUGAUGCAUGGUAUGAGUUUUAGUUGCAUCCCAGUUGAGUGGAUUUAGGGCUGAGGUGCAUGUGAGACAUCCUUCACCUUGAGCCUGGCUUUGUGCGGUAUUCCGCGUGUGAUUGACUCAAGACCGAGUCGAGUGGAUAGCUUAUAAAAGCAGGUUAAACCCUAUGAGCAGAAUUGUAAUUGACAAGAAUCUAAGAUAGAGGAAAACUUAGAAGUCAAUUGGUUGAACUGUGAAUAACAGGAAUAAAAGUAGUAUCGAUUGAACUACUAGUUGGUUGCAUGGUUGCAUAAACUGCAUGAAUUUCAUAUUGCAUUUUGUGAGGCACAACAUGUAUUUCAAUACUUGAAUAUAUAUAUCUGUUGGAUAUCUGUUGGACUAACAUGUUGCAGGGCCUCCUUAGACCUAUUGGUCGAGCUUUUCCCUUGGGUGGCCGUACCCACUGGGAACCAUGGAGUUGGUUCUCACCCCACGUUGUUUUGGGGUGUUACAGGUUCGCACGUGAGCGGCGCGGCGGCGCAAGGCGAGGGCGUAGCUCCAUAGAUAGCGCCCUACCCCAGAGACCAGAGAUAGAGGUACCCCGAGUCGGCAUAGCCUAGGGGUAGAGGGAAAAGAAAAAGAGCAAACUUGUAAUAAUAUUGCGAUCAUUGAUUGUAUUUGGAAGAAAAUGUAAUGUAAUAAUGCUAAUGUGAUGUAAAAAUGAAUCUAAUGAAUGCUUGUAAUAACAUAGGAUGUGUUAUGUUGUUUGAUACCUUCCUUAUGCAAUCUUGCUUGAAUACUGUUCCUGGUUGGAACUUCUUGUACUUGUAUUGAUUGCGACGCCUAGGACGUACAGGGGAGACUCUGUCCGUUCGGCGGUCUGUCGGCGGCGCCGCGACCUCGGCCAAAUAGGCGGGUGGUCGCGGGUCGUGACACAUAACAUAAGCAUGUUAAGCAUCCUAAAAUUCACAAUAAUUACAUUUAUCAUGAAAAUGGAUGAAUUUUUACUCUACGAAGCAUAAAACAUAGGAUAUGAGAAUUUCUCAUAUGCUAGGCUAGGUCAAACCCACCGAACUUCGCGCAACCCUUCAUUUGCUCCAACGAAGAUGUCCACUAAUCUCCUAGCACCCUAGAAGCAUAAAAAAGUGAGCUACAAGAAGUAAACGAACAACUACUAGCUCAAACAUUAACCUAUCAAGCAAAAGGGCCAAAAUCUCACCUAUAGAGAAAAAUCUCUUUUCAACCUUCAAAAGAAAGCUAGGACCCUUCCAAUGGAACCUAGAGGAAGGUUCUAAUCCAAUAAAUUGAGCUCCAAAAGCCCUAAAAUCAAAAUGCCCAAAAUCAACCCUAAAACCUCAUUCUAGGGUUUCAUCUCCUAAAAACCAACAAAACAUGGUCUAGAGGGAAGAAAUGAGCAACUAACCUUCUUAGAAGCUCCAAUCCAAGCUCCAAGGAUGAAGAUCUCCUCUCUUGCAAGCUCCAAGACAAAGCCUCCAAGCACCAACAAGGUGGGAAGAGAAGGAGAGGAAAAUGCUCCAAGUCCUCAAGCUAGAUCCUCCCCCUCUUCUUCUCCUUCUUCUUCUUCUCUUCCUUCUUCUCCUUCUUCUCUCUAGGGUGUUGGGAGAAUGAGAGAAAGAGAAAUGAGAAAAGGGAGAGGGUGAAAUGGCCAUAUAGGCCAUCAAAUGCAACAAAAUCCAAAAAGGCCCCUCAAUUUCCCAAUAUUGCAACAGCCCGGACUGGGCAGUUUUCGGACUGAGGGACCGGUCUCCCCGACCUGGGACCGGUCUCUCGGCCUGCCCCGAAAAUCCAACGUUCGGGAACUGGUCUCUCCCCGCAUAGGACUGGUCUCUCCCCGCGUGGACGCGCUCGGGGACCGGUCUCAUCCGCCAGGGACCGGUUGCCUCAAGGCUGCCGUAAUACUGUUCCCGGGGGACCGGUCUCUCCCAGCCAGGGAUCGGUCCCCGAGAGUAAAAACUCUCAGGACUCGUCCAGAACUCAGAUUUUCGAACUUUUUAGGUUGGAAAACAUUUUACGACCCUCCACCAAGUGUGGAAAAGCUCGGAACACAUCAAUCAGUUCAACCUCGCAAUUUGCAUAGGUCCAGUGUGCUACAUUCACCCCUCCUAAAAAGGAGUUUCGUCUGCGAAACUCAAAGCAACUACAUACCUCAAGACUUCGUCUGAAAAAGAUGGGGAUAGCGCUCCUGCAGCGCGUUCUCUAGCUCCCACGUGGCCUCCCACUCCCCGUGGUUGCUCCAAAGAACCUUCACAUACGGAAUGUCCCGAUUCCGUAGUUUCUUCACCUCAUGGGCCAAGAUCUUCACGGGUUGCUCCUCGAAGCUCAAAUCCUCUCUCAGCUCCAAUGGUGUAGCGUCAAGCACAUGAGCUGGAUCAUGGAUGUACUUUCGAAGGACCGAUACAUGAAAUACAUUGUGUACACCCGAUAGAUUCGGAGGUAGAGCAAGUCGAUACGCUACCGGGCCUACACGCUCCAAAAUCUCAUACGGUCCAAUGUAUCGGGGGCUCAGCUUACCGCGAAUUCCAAAUCUUCUAAUCCCUCUGGUCGGCGAGACUUUCAAGAAGACAUGAUUACCAAUCUGAAACUCUAAGUCUCGUCGACGCCUAUCAGUAUAACUCUUUUGCCUACUCUGGGCUGUCAAUAGUCGCUCCCGAGUAAUGCGAACCUUGUCCUCCGCUUUCUAGAGCACAUCUGGGGCUAAAGCCAAUCUCUCACCAACUUUACUCCAAUGAAGUGGCGAUCUACACUUGCGUCCUUAGAGUGCCUCGAAAGGUGCCAUCUUGAUGCUUGCUAGAUAAUUGUUGUUAUAAGCAAACUCUGUCAUUGGUAGAUGCUGCGACCAUCCUCCCUGAAAAUCUAUCACACAGGCUCGAAGCAUAUCCUUGAGAGUCUGUAUAGUUCACUCAGAUUGCCCAUCACUCUGGGGGUGGAAAGCUGUACUGAAGUUUAAGCGCGUACCCAAAGCAUCCUGUAAGCUCCUCCAAAAGUGAGAUACAAAUAGGGGGUCUCAAUCUGAUACUAUGGAAGUACGUACCCCGUAUAAUCACACAAUCUCAUCCAAAUAAACUUGUGCGAGUCUCUCACCAGUCCAAGUAGUGUGGAUAGGUAUGAAAUGUGUCGAUUUCGUCAGCCUAUCCACGAUCAACCAAAUAGCAUCAUACCCGGCCUGAGAGCGGGGCAAACCCAUCACAAAGUCCAUGGUGAUCUUCUCCCAUUUCUAUACUGGGAUCGGUAAGCUUUGCAAUUUCCCCGCGGGAACUCGGUGCUCAGCUUUCACCUGUUGGCAGGUUAAACAUCUAGCAACAAACUCACCGACGUCCUUUUUUAUCCCGGGCCACCAAUAAAGCAACUUUAAGUCCUUAUACAUCUUGGUGCCUCCCGGAUGUAUAGCAUACGGUGCUCGGUGUGCCUCUUGAAGAAUUUCUUCUCUAAGUGCCGAUUCCGCCGGUACACAGAUCCGUCCACGGAAACGCAUCAAUCGAUCAUCGCCCACAGAAAAGUCACCGGUGCAACCAUUACUCAUCUUAGCUCGAAUCUUUUGCAACUCCACAUCGGAGACUUGCUUUUCUUUAAUCCUUUCCACCAGUAUAGGUUGCACCACCAAAGUCAUCAGUCUCAAAGGUGUAUCAGGAGUCACCACCUCCAACUCUAACCGCUUCAUCUGCUCGAUCAACGGCGAUUGAGUGACCACAAGCAUUGCUAAGUUUUCCGUCGAUUUCCUACUUAGCAUAUCCGCUACCACGUUAGCCUUGCCUGAGUAGUAAAGAAUAGUCAAGUCAUAAUCCUUGAGUAGCUCCAACCUUCUGCGCUGCCUCAAGUUCAGCUCUUUCUGAGUGAAUAAAUACUUUAAGCUCUUGUGAUCCGUAUAUACUUCGCAUCGCUUGCCGUACAAGUAAUGGCGCCAUAGCUUCAAUGCAAAGACCACGGCCGCCAACUCCAAAUCAUGAGUAGGGUAGUUUCUUUCAUAAUCCUUCAGUUGGCGAGAAGCAUACGAGAUCACUUUCCCGUCCUGCAUCAAGACACAGGCCAAUCCAUUAAAGGAAGCAUCACUAUAAAUCACAUACUCUGCUCCAGCAGUUGGCAAGGUUAGGAUCGGGGCGGUCAUCAAUCUCUGCUUCAAUUCUUGGAAGCUCCUUUCACACGCAUCAUUCCAAACAAACUUGGUGCCUUUAUGCGUGAGCCUCGUGAGGGGAGUGGGUAACUUUGCAAAUCCCUCAACAAACCGUCGGUAGUAGCCGGCAAAGCUAAGAAAACUCCGAAUCUCGGUGACACUCGUCGGCCUCGGCCAGUCCUUGAUAGCUUUAAUCUUUUUAAGAUCCACAGCUAUACCUGAUCCUGAAAUCAAAUGGCCCAAAAACGCCACCUUUCUAAGCCAAAACUCACACUUUUUCAAUUUGGCGUAGAGCUCCUUUUUCCGAAGUACUUGAAGUACAAGUCUCAAGUGUUCCUCGUGAUCCGCAUCACUUCGGGAAUAGACCAAAAUGUCGUCGAUGAAUACUACGAUGAAUCUGUCUAGAUAAGGCUUGAAAAUAUUGUUCAUUAGAUCCAUAAAAGCUGCCGGGGCAUUAGUAAGCCCAAACGACAUAACUGUAAACUCAUAAUGUCCAUACCGUAUUCUAAAAGCCGUCUUCGACACAGCCUCAGGCUUAAUCUUCAGCUGGUGAUAUCCCGACUGCAAGUGGAUCUUGGAAUACACACUAGAUCCCUGGAGCUGAUCAAACAAAUCAUCAAUCCUCGGUAAUGGAUACUUAUUCUUGAUCGUGACCUUAUUGAGUUCACGAUAAUCCACACACAAGCGAAGCGAUCCAUCCUUCUUCUUGACAAAUAGGACCGGUGCUCCCCAAGGUGACACACUCGAUCGCAGAAAACCCUUGUCCAGAAGGUCCUGCAGCUGUGCCUUCAGCUCCUUCAAUUCCGCCGGUGCCAUCCUAUAGGGCGCUUUUAAGAUUGGAGUAGUCUCGGGGACGAGAUCUACCACAAACUCAAUCUCCCUAUCAGGUGGCAUGCCUGGUAACUCCGCUGGAAACACAUCUCCAAACUCCCGCACGACGGGGAUGUCCUCAAUCCUAGGGGCAUCGACAUCACCCCGCAACACAACGGUAGCCAAAUAGGCUACGAAGCCUCUGCUAAUCAACUGUUUAGCUCGAGAGGAGCUAAUCGUCAUCGCAAACAGCAAACUCUGGCAUCCUCGGUACACAACUUCCGCCUGCCCCGGCUCUCUAAACGUCACAGUUCGAUCCUUGCAAUCGAUAGUGGCGUAGUACUUGGUCAACCAGUCCAUGCCCAAAACAACAUCAAACUCUCCGAGUUUAUGCAAGGCUAGCAAGUCCACAGGCAUGACCCAAUCUCCAACCCGAACAGGGCAACUGGGGUAAAACUCUCGAAUAUCCAAAGAGUGAUCGGGUACUACAACUCGUCCCGGAUGCAACAAAGAUGUCAGUGGGAUGCCAUGCAACUCGGCAAACAGCCGGUCUAUGAAUGAAUGCGAUGCAACGGUAUCAAAUAAUGCUCGUACUCGAAUACCAUAAAGUAAAAUGAUACCUGUGACCACAUUCUCGGCUGCUACCGCCUCCUCAGUCUGGGCCGCAUACAUGCGCCCACUCGGGGCCUGUCAUGACCCCUCCGCUUGCCGCUGAACUGGCGGCCGUCCAGCCUGGUGAUGCGCAGAAAGUGUCCCCUGGCUGGGGCCCGGUAAAACUGGUGCAGAUGCCGAAGAUGGCGCUGGUGCUGGACCCCUUCUGGCAGUCCGACUGGAAGUGGCCUUCCUGGCCACACAAGUAGCACCUGCCCCGACUGCGCGCUGACCUCAGCGAAAAUACACCACUAGGCUAUAGAAGCAAAAGUAGCAAAUAAACUACAAUAAACAACAUGUAUGUGAAAUACAACAAUUAACUUGGCUAAGCUACUAUGCCUCAUGUUUAGCAUGAUAUUAAACAUGAGAAGUUACUAAUCUAUCAUGAUUGAGUAUAUCCGAGUAUACUAGUAUGCUUUAAACAUGACUAUCACAAAUAUAAAUAUGCACCAAGUAUGAAUCACAAGUAUAAUGGCCCCGGGUAGUCCAGCAUUUCUCUAGAAAUAUGACUGUCCCACGGUGACCCAGUAGGCCCUCAAUCCCGCACGGGCGAGCAUAUGUCGCGUAGGCCAACUCCGGAGUGCCGGCUUAUAGGGAGCGACCCUCGCAAGCGUGUGCGAAUGAGCACAAAAGUCAAGCAAGCAUAGUCAUCAUCUCAAACGUAGUGUACACACUAGCAACCCAAAGGUCUAGUUUUUCUCCAAAUGUAAAAGCUUAACCGUUUACUAAGUCUAAUGCCACUUCAUGACAUUAUGAUUUACUAUGUCCACACCUAUUCCAAGUUCAAUGCCACUUUAUGACAUUAUAUGAUCUCUAUGUUUAGCAUAUGUCCGUUGCUCUCAAAUUAGUAAAAGCUUGUCAUUUCACUACAUAUAAUAUGAUUUCGAACAUAUCAUGAAAUUGCCACACACUAGCAUGAAUACUAUAUACAUAUAUCACUGCUACAUAGGGAUGAAAUGACAUGUUACAUAACAUAUGCAUUUAAAGCAUUCUAAAAUUCAUUUAUGCUCUAUCUAGCAUGAAUAUGCAUGAUUUUUUAUUUUACAAUAUAAAAUAUAAUAUAGGGGGAGUUCACCCAUUUCGGUGAGGUCAAAUCCACCAAAAACUCUUUGUAACCCUUUCGUUUGCGCGAACAAAGGUGCCCACUAGCCUCCUAUCUCUCUAAAGAAAAUUCUAAGAGGGUUAGACGAAAUGAACGACACCCAAAGUGUUCAUCUUUAACCAACCCAAGAAAAUGAUCAAACUCACCUCAAAUGGUAGAAAACCCUCUCAAAUCCCAAAUGGAAGCUAGAGCCCUUCUAAUCCAACCCAAAUGGAGGUUCCACACCUAUCAGUUAAGCCCAAAAGCCACAAAUCAAAAACCCCCAAAUAAACUAUAAUAUACCGAGAAUUUAGAAAAAUAAAUGUCGAACUUUAGUCAAAGUGACCAAAGUGCGAGGAUGGUAUACGUCGGAAAGUCCGAAUGUGUUAAAAUGAUCAAAAGUGUAUUGUGGGAGGUUUUCGAGAGCUAAAGAAUCAAAAAUCUGCAAAAUACAGUUUUUGAGCUCUCGGGGACCGGUCCCUGGUCGGAGAGACCGGUCCUCGAACGCGUGAGAAAUGAGGAAGGCUGAAAAUCGGCUAAGUCCCAGAAAACUAGCUCUCGGGAACCAGUCCCUGCCUGAGAGACCGGUCCCCGAGAGACCGGUCCCCCUAGGAGAGACCGGUUGCACUGCGCGGGGGCCUUGGCUGCCUGCGGGGAGAGCCCUCUCGGACCGGUCCCAAGUCGGGGAGACCGGUCCUCGAACACGAAAAUGGCCCAGUUUGGGCUGUUUGAUAAGAUCAAAGUUGAGGGACCCAAAUGCAAUUAUGCAUCAUAUGGGGUUAUGUUAAGGGGCAAAUGGGAUAUUUCUCUCAUUUCACUCUCUCUCACACACACUCUCUCCUCUCUUUCUCUCUCUAGAAGACAAAGAAGAGAAGAAGGAAAAGAAAGAAGAGAAGGAGAAGAAGGAAAAGAAGAAGAAGAAAAGAGAAGGAAGGUGAAGAAGAAGCCAAGGAGUAGAGCUACUUCCUCUUCUUCCUCUUUGGAUCAACAUAGGAGCAAGCUUAGAGGUAAGCUUGAACCCUAAUCAUGGUAAAACUCUAGAAUGAGAAUUAAGUGACCUAGAAAUGAUUUUAAUGGAACCUAUUGAGUAUUUGAAGCUUUCUUUUGCUUUUUUUAGAGAUCAAAACCAUGGAUUUGGGUGUUGGUGGUGAAGGUUGAAGGUAAGCUUCAACCCCUCUCAUGGUGAAACCCUAAAAUGGGUUUUGAAUGAGCUAAGGAUGGUUCAGAUGGAACCUUUACAUGAUUUGAAGCUUACUUUUGCUUCUCUAAGAGAUCAAACCCUAGGUUUUGAUAUGCUAUGAGCUAGGGCACCCAAAUUUGGGGUUUUUGCUCGGGAGGAUUUCAAAGUGAAAUUGACCCUCUAAAAACCUAAUUGGGGGUAUUUUUGACGCGUUGGUGCGCUCGGUUUAACAUUACGAAAAGCCAAGGUAAAGAUAUGAGCAAAAUGGCAUAAUAGGGCUUCGUUUUGCCGCAGGUAGCAAACUAGGAGGCUAAAAAUCUCAAAAAAAUCAUUGUAGCAUCCUAGUACGCCUACGAGGUGGGUGGUGCUAUCCAAACUUGUUGGAAUUCCUUCUAUGUCUAAUGUGUCAUUCAAUUGAGCAUAUAUGUAUAUUGUUGCAUGCAUUAUAGGGCAGAUGUGAUGAUAUAUAUAUGAGUGUUGCAUGAUGUGAGUACACGUGCUAUUUGAAAUGUUUGAGAACCUAUUCAACCCUAUAUGUAUGCAUGAGAUGAUGUGAGCGUCCAAUAAGAUGAAAGAACAAAGUGACACAAUAAAACAUAGAUCGAGUGGCAUAAAGAAUGAGUAAAGUUAAAGAACAAUGAUUUGCUAGAGUUAGCAAAAUAAAGUGAUGUAAAGAACACUAGAGUUAGUUGGUGGCAUCAAAGAGAAAUGUGACACAAAGAACGAUGAAAAUGAUUAGAGACAAGUAAAGAAAAUGAAAGUGGCAUAAAGAACGAGUAAAGUUAAAGAACAAUGAUUGCUAGAGUUAGCAAAAUAAAGUAAUAUAAAGAACACUAGAGUUAGUGUAAAGACAAUGAUUGAACUAUAUCCUUAGAGUUAAGGAUCGAUCAUACUUGCAAUGAGUUCCGUGCUCGAGGGCGGUCGCUCCCCCUCGGGCGAUGCGCUCCGGAGUUUUGCAUCACGGGUUGGAGUCAACCCGAGGACGGUCUUAGCGGGAGGCAGCUCAGGGCCCGCGAUGAUGGACUUAAUGUGGGCAAGUUAAUGUGGCGAAACCCCCGGGUUAGCCGUGAGAUUAAAGAACAAGAACAAAGAGCAAAGAUUAAAGAAUAAAGAGUAAAGAACAAUGAACUUGCAUACUUGCAUAAUUUAUAUUAAGCAGACUUCUUGCUUUAUUGUUCAGGCAUAUUAGCACCAUGAUUAUAGUUUGGUUACUAUUCUGCUUAUCCUUUCUAUUAUAGCGAUGGACUUUGUUACGGGUCUGCCUCGAUCACAAGGCGGACACGAUGCGAUAUGGGUUAUAGUGGAUCGAUUGACAAAAUCGGCACACUUGCCGAUACAUACUACGUGGUCGGGGGACAAGCUAGCUCAAGUUUAUUUCGACGAGGUUGUGAGACUUCACGGGGUUCCGAUAUCAAUUGUAUCGGAUCGAGACCCCAGAUUCACGUCCCACUUUUGGAAGAGUUUGCAAGACGCGCUAGGCACACGGCUCGACUUUGGCACAGCGUUUCAUCUUCAAAGUGAUGGACAAUAACUCAGGCAUAAUAGAAAGGAUAAGCAGAAUAGUAAUCAAACUAUAAUCAUGAUGCUAACAUGCCCGAACAAUAAAGUAGGAAGUAUGCUCAAUGUGAAUCAUGCAAGUAUGCAAGUUCUUUGUUCUUUACCCUUUAUUCUUUAAUCUUGUUCUUUGUUCUUUAAUUUCAUUGCAAGUAUGAUUGAUCCUUAACUCUAAGGAUAUAGUUCAGUCAUUGUCUUUACACUAACUCUAGUAUUCUUUAUAUCACUUUAUUUUGCUAACUCUAGCAAUCAUUAUUUUUUAACUUUACUCAUUCUUUAUGCUACUUUCAUUCUCUUUACUUAUCUCUACUCAUUUUCAUCGUUCUUUGCGUCACAUUUCUCUUAGAUGCCACACACUAACUCUAGUGUCACAUUACUUUACAUUGUCGGAUGCCACUCGAUCUAUGUUUUAUUGUGUCACUUUGUUCUUUCAUAUCAUUGGACGUUCACAUUAUAUCUCAUGCAUACAUAUAAGGUUGAAUAGAUUCUCAAACAUUUCAAAUAGCACGUGUACUCACAUCAUGCAACACUCACAUAUAUAUCAUCACACUGGACUUUCGCAAAUGGCAAGGUUUGAGUGUUUGAUCUGUGUUCCAAGUUUUUUCAGAUAUUCUGGAGGGUCGUCGAUAGUGCUCCGACCUAUGACUCGUAUCCCGAGAUUUGCGGUUUAAAACUUUGCACUAAAAGCCAAAAAGUUGGAUUAUUGGUGUGCUCUCGGGUAGCCUUCAGCAGGCUGUGUACCGGUACAGGGUUGAUGGCUGUACCGGUACGCGCUGAUGGCUGUACCGGUACGCGGGGCCGUGUACCGGUACACAGGCAGCUUCUCAGCCAACCCGAUGCUCGGGUUUGGCAUUUUCUUGGGGUGUGUAUCGGUACGCGACCCUGUGUACCGGUACGCAGUGCAGUCCGCAGACUGCUUGAACUGCAGGGGUGUUUUUGCGAUUGUAGCUUCUCUAUAUUAGUACCACACGCCCCCUGAUGUUCCUUGAGCUUGGAACCAGUGGAGAGGAAGGUAAGGGAGCUCUCUAUUCUCCCUCUUUGAUUUCCUUUGUUUUUGUUUGGGAUUUUUCGAGGUUUAAUCCUCUCUUUUUGCUCCUUUUUGCUACUUGGUGCUAUUUCCACCAUGGGAGAAAACUUGAGGCUUGGAGUUGAGCUUGUUGAAGGAGAGAUCUUCAACCCUAGUUGACUUCUAGCCUAGUUGGGAGCUUCUAUAAAGGUUGGUAACAUGUUUCUCUCAUUAGAUUCAUGUUUUACUUGAUUUUUGUUUAGAAACCCUAGAAAUAAGGAUUUAGGGUUUGAUUUGGGGAUUUUUGAUCUAGGGCUUUUGGACCCCAAUUGAUGGGUUUAGAACCUUCGUGUAGGUUGCUUUGGAAGGGCUCUUACUCCCGUUUGGAGAUCGAAAGAGCACCCUUCGCAUUCGGUGAGUUUUUAGCCUUAUGUUGAGUUGGUUAAUGUUUAACCUAUUCGUUGUUCGUAACGUUUGUGUAUCGCUCCUACUUUAACCUUUAGCGGGCUAGGAAGCUUGUGGGCACCUUCGUCGGCGCAAACGAAGGCCGUGUGGAACUCUCGGUGGGUUUCGCCUCACCAAAAUGGGAUAAAUUAUCCCUAUAAUGGGUUUUACUUUUCGUAAAAUGAAAAUGUAUGCAUAUUCUUACUAGAUAGAAUAUUUGAGAAUUUUAGAAUGCUUAAUAUGUGCAUGUUAUGUAUAAAGUAUAUUUGUGACGCACUGGACCUUUGCAAAUUGUAAGGUUCGAGUGUUUGUUUCGUGUUCUGAGCUUCUCCACACUUCGUGGAGGGUUGUUGACAGUGUUUCGACCCAUGGUUCGAACCCCGAGAUUGGAGGUUUAAAACCUAGCACCAAAUUCGAAAAGUCGGAAUUUUGGUCAGCUCUCGGGUAGCCUCAGCAUGGCUAUGAACCGGUACGGCGUUGAUGGCUAUACCGGUAUGCGUUGAUGGCUGUACCGGUACGAGGCUGGUGUACCGGUACACAGAUGGAUUUCGUGUAAACCCGAGGCUUGGGUUUGGCUGUUUCUCAGGUGUUGUACCGGUACACAAGCCCGUGUACCGGUACACAGUACAGAGCGAGCAGUUUUCGAGUAGGGGUGUUUGUGCAAUUGUUACAACACCUAUAAAUGGCACCCCAGCCCCCUUAGAGGACUUUAUUGUGCCAUAACCAGUGGAGAUCAAAGGUGAGUGCCCCUCCCCUUGGUUCUUCUCCAUUUUUGAUGGGUUUUUGCUUGUUUUGAUCUCUCAUCUUUAUGUUUCUUUGCUCCUUGUUGGUUUCCUCCAUGGGAGAAUCUUGGAGCCCGUGAUUGGAGCUUCGUUGAGGGAAGAUCUUGGGAGCUUGUGGACUUUGGGCUUGUUGGAAGCCUUCUAGAGGUUAGUGGCUAAAUUCUUUCCCCUAUAUCCUUAUUUUGAUGCUUUUUAUUGGUAGAAACCCUAGAUUUUGGAUUUUAGGGUUAGAAUUGGGAAUUUUGGAUUUGUAACUUCUAGAACCAAAUUGAUUGGUUUAGAACUUUGAUUUAGGUUGGAUUUGAAGGAUUCUUGUUUCCUUUUGGAGAGCAAGUGAGAUUUUCACAAUUUUCGGUGAGUUUUUAGCCCUUUCCUUGAGUUGCUUAAUGUUUGAACUCAUGAAUUGUCGUUUCGAUGUUGUAACUCCCCUAGCCUAUCUCUUAGGGUGCUAGGAGUGUUUACCGAAGCUUCGUUAGUGUUUCGGACGCCUGCGCGGAGCUUUUGGUGGGUUUGGCUUCAUUGAAAUAUGGGGAAAUGCCUCCUACGUUGUUAAAUGUUUACGUAUAAUAUAAAUGCAUGCAUAUCCAUAUUGAAUAGAAUUUAUAUAAAUUUUAGAAUGCUUAAAACCCCUAUGUUAUGCAUUAUGAAAAAUUGACUCUAUGUUGUAGAGAGAAGCAUAUGCAUUGUACGCAUGCAUGAGUUUAAUAUUCUAAUGAAUGAUGUAAGAUCAUGUUUCUUGUGUGGGAAAUGAUUAGAAUGACAAGCUUUUAGACUUAUUAUUCAUAUUGGGAUAUAGUAAGCAAAAGUGUCAUAAAGGGGCACUUGAACUAAAAAAUUGUUGAACUACAACUUAGAGACAUGAUGAUAGGCUACUGAAAAUCUACUAUAUUCCAUGUUUUAGACAUGACGACAUAGAGAUAGGCCAUUGAGACAGUUACUAUAUUUCGUGUUUUAGACACGAUGACAUAGAGGCAGGCCUUUGGGACAUGUGCUGUAUUCCAGAUUUUAGAUCCGAUGAAACAGUGAUGAACCACUGGGACUUGAGACGGACUUAUUCGCUUGCAUGCCAUUGUGUUCAUUCGCACAUACUUGUGAGGGUCGCUCCCUACAUGUCGGCACUCCGGAGAUAGCCAUCGCGAUAUAUGCUCGCCCGUGCGGGAUUGGGCGCCAAAAUGGGAUGCCGUGGAGGAGGCUCAUUCCUAGAGUGGGGAUGUUGACUACCACGGGGCCAUUGUUUGCACGACGCAGGCCGGACUAGCUACGGGUAGCUUCCACAGGAUUGAGUUAUUGGUGACAUAUUGUACCUUUUGAACAUUGACUAGAAUAGUAAACAUGACAUCUUUACUAUUUACAUUGUGGACAUCAGGUUAGUUGCAUACUUAUGCAUUUAAAUGUUGGAUACUCUUGUGCACUUGUAGUAGUUGCUUUCUUACUUAUGCAAAUUCAUGCUAAGUAGAGAUUAUGUGAUAGAUUAUUACUUAUGCAAAUCCAUGCUAUGUAGGGAUCACGUGGUAGAUUAUUACUGAUGAAAGUAGAGACUUUAUGCUAUACCGAGCUUCCAUCUCAGUGAUUUAUUUGUUCAUAUUAUUCUUACUUGCCUUACUUACCCUACCUGUUUAGUUUUGGGCCUAGUGGUGCAUUUCACUGAAGUCAGUAAUUGCCCACUGGGAACUAUUAUUUAAUAGUUCUUACGCCCUCUAUUUUAUGUUUUCCUUUUAGAGCCCUCUGCACCGGCGUAGGCACGGGACCGCGGCAAGGGGAUCGCUAGCUAGAUAGCGAGGAUUCACUUUUACUCUUAGGUGGUUUCCCCUCUUUUUAUGUUUUGGGAGAGCGAGAGUUUUUGUUUGCCAUGUAUAGAGACCACCUAUGUACUAUUUUAGUAUUUGUGUUUUGGAUCUUCGGUUGUACUACUUUAUGGUUAUUAGUGAUUUUAGCUCUCUACUCUUCACAUUGCUUUAGUCUCUAGAUGAUGUAUAUUGUUUUGAUACUUCUAGAUGCUUUCAUUUAUUGUCUCUUUUAUCGUUUUGUUUUAGACCCCUUAUAUGUUUUAGACGUAUGGCGGGUCUGUGCACGUGCCGGGUGGGCUUCCGCUGAGUCCCGGGGCGUGACAACAUUGGACAUUUAUGUAGUAGAGAGCUAUUCAUAUUUGGAACCUUGCAUAUGGUUAGCAUUCUUAUAUUUGAUUGAGAUCAUGUUGCAUGUAGUGCAUAUGACAUGUAGGUUACACUCUUGGACUUGAAACGCAUGCCUGGCAUGGUUGGACAUAUUGUCAUUAAGUGACAUAGGUUAGAGUAUAUGUAAGUAGUAAGCUAAUGUCAUAAAGCGGCAUUAGGCUCGGACUAGAGAUUGGACUUGGUAAGCUAAUGUCAUAAAGCGGCAUUAGGCUUGGGAUGGUUUUGUGGCAUAGUGAGAUAAUGCCAUAAAGAGGCAUUGGAUAUAGUGAACUUAGUAAACCUUCACUUGAGGCAUAGACUAGACCCUCGGGGUUACUAGUGAGUAUUUCCAUGUUAGAGACAUGAUGACUGUUGAGUUGCUAUUCCAUGUUAGAGACAUGAUGACGAGAUCCGUGAUAUGAUGACUAUGAUUACUUGCCAUUUGUGCUCAUUCGCACAUGCUUGUGAAGGUCGCUCCCUACAAGCCGGCACUCCAGAGUUGGCCUUUUUUCGACGCAGUUCGCACGUGCGGGAUUGAGACGCCUGUAGGGUCGCGUGGGACAGUCUCAUUCCAAAGUGGGAUGACGAGCUACCACGGGCAGCUAGGCGGCGAGGCGCCUGUAGGGUCGGGUGGGACAGUCUCAUUCCUCGAGGGGGGAUGUUGGAGCUACCACCGGCAGCUAGGCGGCACAAGUUGGACUACACAUGUGUUGGUCCUGGAUGAGAUUGAAUGAUGAACCUUAAUCAAUUAAAUGACAAUCACUACUUGAUAGUAUAUCGUAGUUGGAUUUAGCUGACAUUGGGAUUUGUGAUACCCUUAGUUCCCAUGAUAGUACAUACUAGAUAUGUAUUGAAUUUUGGGACAUAUUGUAUACUUGAUAGUAUUACUUGUUACAUCACAGCUUACUUGGUAGCCAUGAUAAAGCAUACUUGUUAUGUAUCGGCAUAUUGGAUUCAUGAUAGAGUAGAUGUACUCCAUGUUCAUAUCAUGUAUACCUGUGGCAUAGUAGUAUAGCAUUUCAUUAUAUGCUUUUAUUUUCGCAGUUGUUAUUUCAUUUUCUAUAUCUGCUCAUGACUUGGGCCUAGUGGUGCAUUUUGCUAAGGUCAGUAAUUGCCCACUGGGAACUAUAAAUUAUAGUUCUCACGCCCCCUGUUUUAUGUUUUCUUUCAGAGCCUUCCACUCCGGGAGAGGCUCGGGAUCGCGGGAAAGGAAUCGCCUCGGGCUAGCUAGCGAGGGAUUAUUGGAUAGGUGGUCCACCUCUCUUUUGUUUCUUUUUGGAGAGGUUGAGAGAUUUGUACCAUUUGUAGAGACCACCCCUUUUUGUACUUUUGAGAUGGAUACUGUAUAACUUUAUGCUUUACUUUUAUUGUUUAGUUAUGUUCUACCUACUAUAGAUUCUAGAUGUAUACUUGCUCUGAUAUCUCUAGAUGUAGUUCAUCUCUUAUCUUAUUCUUCCGCUUUUGUUGUAGACGCCUUAUAUGUGUAGGCAUAUGGCGGGUCUGGGCGCGCUACCGGGAAGGCCUCCGCCGGUCCCGGGGCGUGACAUCUACCCUAUAAUGCAUGCAACAAUAUACAUAUAUGCUCAAAUGAAUGACAUAUUAGGCAUAGAAGGAAUUACAACAAGUUUGGAUAGCACCACCCACCUCGUAGGUGUAUUAGGAUGCUACAAUGAUUUUCUUGGGAUUUUUAAACUUCUAGUUCAUCACCUGCGGCAAAACGAAGCCCUAUUAGGCCAUUUUGCUCAUAUCUUUACAUUGGCUUUUCGUAACGUUAAACUGAGUGCACCAACGCGUCGGAAAUACCCCCAAUUAGAUUUCUAGAGGGUCAAUUUUACUUUAGAAACCUCACAAGGAAAAGCCCCAAAUUUGGGUGCCCUAGCUCAUAGCAUAUCAAAACCUAGGGUUUGAUCUCUUAGAGAAGCAAAAGUAAGCUUCAAAUCAUGUAAAGGUUCCAUUUGAACCAUCCUUAGCUCAAUCAAAACCCAUUUUAGGGUUUUACCAUAAGAGGGGUUGAAGCUUUCCUCUAAGCUUCACCACUAGCACCCAAAUCUAUGGUUUUGAUCUCUAAAAGAAGCAAAAGAUAGUUCCAAAUACUCUGAAGGUUCUAUAAAAACCAUUCUUAGCUUAAUCCAAACCCUAGUUUGGGUUCUACCAUGAUUAGGGUUCAAGCUUACCUCUAAGCUUGCUCCUGUGUUGCUCCAAAGAGGAAGAAGAGGAAGUAGCUCUACUGCUUAGCUUCUUCUUCACCUUCCUUCUCUUUUUCUUCUUCUGCUUUUCUUUUUUCUUUUCCUUCUCUUCUUUGUCUUCUAGAGAGAGAAAGAGAGGAGAGAGUGUGUGUGAGAGGGAGUGAAAAUGAGAGAAAUAUCCCAUUUGCCCCUUAACAUAACCCCAUAUGAAGCAUAAUUGUAUUUGGGUCCCUCAACUUUGAUCUUAUUAAACAGCCCAAACUGGGCCAUUUUCGUGUUCGGGGACCGGUCUCCCCGACUUGGGACUGGUCUCAGAGAGCUCUCCCCACAGCUAGCAGAGCUCCAGCCUGAUGCAACCGGUGUCUCUCUCUCGAGGACCGGUCUCUCGGGGACCGGUCUCUCCUCGCAGGGACCGGUUCCCGAGAGCUGGUUUUCUGGGACUUAGCCGAUUUACAGCCUUUCUCUUUUCUCACGCGUUCGGGGACCGGUCUCUCCCACCAGGGACCGGUCCCCGAGAGCUAAAAAUCUGCAGUUUUGCAGAAUUUGAUUUUUUAGCUCUCGAAAACCUUCCACAACGCACUUUUGAUCGUUUUAACACCUUCGGAAUUUCCGAAGUGUACCAUCCUCGCACUUUGGUCAAUUUGACUAAAGUUUGACAUUUAUUUUUCGAAUUUUCGGUAUAUUACAUUCUCCACCCCUUUAAAUAAUUUCGUCCGCGAAAUUACACAUACCUUAACUCGUCGACUCAAAUAAAUACGGAUACUCUUUCCACAUGGUCUCCUCGAGCUCCCAAGUGGCUUCUCACGCAGCAUGGUUGCUCCAUUGGACUUUCACAUAUGGAAUUCUGCGACUCCGCAGCUUUCUUUCUUCUCUCUCGAGGAUGCACACCGGGUACUCCUCAUAAGACAUAUCCUCACGUAACUCCACGGGCUCGUACUCCAAUACAUGUGUUGAGUUUCGAAUAUACUUUCGGAGAUUUAACACAUGGAAAACAUUGUGAACUCCCGCGAGUCUCGGUGGUAGUGCGAGCUUGUAUGCCACCGCACCCACGCGCUCCAAUAUCUCAAAUGGUCCGACGUAUCGGUGGCUUAGUUUCCCGUGGACCCCAAAACGUUUGACUCCUCGCAUUGGCGAUACUCUAAAAAAUACGCGGUCUCCAACCGCAAACUCUAAGUCCUUUCUUCGCUUGUCAGCAUAACUCUUUUGUCGAGAUUGCGCCUGUCACGCCCCGAGACCGAUACCAAUUUGGGCCGGCCCGAGCACGUCAACAGACGCCGAACAGACAGAGUUUCCCCUAUCCGCCCAAGGCUCAUCACAUGUACAUUUUCCUCAAUAGAAGAAAAGCACUAGCGGAAACAUACACAAACGGCUUACACGAGGGUAAGCAAUAGCCACGAGUGAAAGAAAAAGGAAACUAAACAUUCACUUGUACUAUGAUUCAUUUUUGAUCAUAUACAUUACAUUCACCUUGUUCACUUUCGAAUUCCUUACAUUUCAUUUCAUUAUUUCUUUCUUACAUCACAUUUACCUCAAAAUACACAUUACAUUCUUUUCUUUACAUCACUAAUCAUCAAGUACAAAAGAUGAUAAAAGGGUGUCUAGUAACAAAAUGUAAACCCAACUCUGGUGGCCUCUGACUAAGGCGCGAUAUCUUUGCCUCGGUCGCUCGCCGGCUCGCUCGGUCCCGGCUCUGUGGAAAUAGUGGGGUGAGAACUACAGCAAAGUUUCCAGUGGGUUCGGCCCCAACAUCACCGACUUUCCCACUAGGACUAACUCAGGCAUAAUAGAAAGAAUAAGCUGCAUAUAGUAACCAAUCUAUACAUGAUGCUAAUAUGCCUGAACAAUAAAGCAGAAAUAUGCUCAACAUUAAAUAAAUGCAGAUUAUGCAAAUUCUUUGUUCUUUUCACUUUACUCUUUGUUCUUUGUUCUUUAAUCUUUGCACUUUGUUCUUUGCUCUUUGUUCUUUAAUCUCAAGGCUAACCCGGGGGUAUCGCCACAUUAACUUGCUUCACAUUAAGUCCAUCAUCGCAGGAACUCACCCGCUAGGACCGUCCUUCGGGUUUACUCCAACCCGUGAUGCAUAACUCCGGAGCGCAUCGCCCGAGGGGGAGCGACCGCCCUCGAGCACGGAACUCAUAGCAAGUAUGAUCGAAUCCUUAACUCAAAGGAUUGUAUGUUCAAUCUUGACUUUACACUAACUCUAGUGUUCUUUCAGCACUUUUUGUUGCCACUCUAGCAAUCAUUGUUCUUUACCAUUCAUUACUCUUGCUAUCUCAAGCAAUUAUAUUCUUUACAUUCUUUACUUUUGGCUACCUCUAGCACUUCAUGUUCUUUACUCCCCACAUUACUUUAACUUUAAGCAUUGUCAUUUUCAUCAUUCUUUACAUUACAUUGGUUCUUUACCUCACACUAUCUUUGGUGUCAUUUCACUUUAACUUUAUCAAAUGCCACUCAAUCUAUGUCAUUCUGCCACUCGGUUCUAUUGGCUCACUUUAGUACUCACAUUUUCUCUCAUGCAUACAUAUAGGGUUUUAACAUUCAUAAGGUUCUCAACCAUCACAUUUGGCAAGUUGUACUCACAAUCAUGCAACAUCACAUUUUCAUCAUCACUUUACCCUAAAAUGCAUGCAACAAAUAUGUAACAUAUGCUCAAUUGAAUGACACAUUAGGCAUAGAGAGAAGUUCAACGAGUUUGGAAAGCACCACCCACCUCGUAGGUCUAUUUAGGUGCUCCGAUGAUUUUCUUGAGAUUUAUAGGCUCCUCGUUCUUCACCUGCGGCAAAACGAAGCCAACUUAGGACAUUUUGCCCAUAUCUUUCUAUAGACUUUUCGUAACGUUAAUCCGAGCGCACCAACGCGUCGGAAAUACCCCCAAUUAGGUUUUUAGAGGGUUGCACUUAGAAAUCCCCAUGAGAAAAAGCCCCAAUUUGGUGCCCUAGCUCCAAUACAUAUAUCAAACCUAGGGUUUGAUCUCAUUAGGAAGCAAAACCCUAGAUUAGGUUCUACAAUGAUUAGGGUCCUCAAAUGGUUCCAUAAAACCCAUUUUAAGCUUAAUCCAAACCCUAGAUUAGGUUCUACAAUGAUUAGGGUUCAAAGCUUAUCUUAUGAGCUCUCAUUUUCCAAGCUAGAGAGGAAGAAGAUGAAGUCGUUUCACCUCUUGAUCUUCUUCUUCACCUUCUUUUCCUUCUUUUCCUUCCUUUCUUUCUUUCUUCUUCUUCUCCUUUGCCUUCUAGAGAGAGAGAGGGGGAGAGAAGAGAGUGUGAGAGGGUGAGAAUGAGAGAAAUGUCUCAUUUGUCCCCUUACUAUACUCUAUGGGUUGCAAAAUUGCAGUUAAACCCCUCAACUUUCACUCUUUCACACAGCCUGGACUGGGCUGUUUGCGCAGGCGGGGACCGGUCUCUCCAUCACGGACCGAUUCCCGAAGGCCGUCCCAGCGCAGCCAGAGCUGCUGCGCGCGAUGCAUCCGGUCUCUCCUUGGGGGACCGGUCUCUCGGGGACCGGUCUCUCAGGCAGGGACCGGUUCCCGAGAGCUAAUUUCUCAAGACUUAGCCGAUUUUUCGGCUGUCUCAUUUCAUACGCGUUCGGGGACCGGUCUCUUCCACCAGGGACCGGUCCCCGAGAGCUCAAAACUGCAGAAUGCAGAUUUUGAUCCUUUAGCUCUCGAAAACCUCCCGUAACUCACUUUUAAUCAUUUUAACACCUUCGGACUUUCCGAAGUGUACCGUCCUCGCACUUUGGUCAAUUUGACUAAAGUUCGACAUUUUUUUAUUUUUCGAAUUUUCGGUAUAUUACAGCGCCGCCGCUAACCGUUGACGGGUAAGGCGAACUUUCUCUUCCGCCUCCCGUACAACAUCCGGGCCAAGAGCCGUUCUCUCGCCUACGUCGCUCCAAUGAAUAGGAGAACGACACUUUCGACUAUACAGUGCCUCAAAUGGCACCAUUGCUAUACUCUCCUGAUAACUGUUAUUAUAUGCGAACUCCGCCAUCGGCAAGAAAUCAUGCCAUCCGCCCUUGUAAUCUAGGACACACGCUCGAAGCAAGUCCUCAAGGAUUUGUAUUGUCCGCUCCGACUGUCCAUCACUCUGAGGAUGAAACGCUGUGCCAAAGUCGAGCCUUGUGCCUAGCGCGUCUUGCAAACUCUUCCAAAAGUGGGACGUGAAUCUGGGGUCUCGAUCCGAUACAAUUGAUACCGGAACCUCGUGAAGUCUCACAACCUCGUCGAGAUAAACUUGAGCUAGCUUGUCCCCCGACCACGUAGUAUGUAUCAGCAAGAAGUGUGUCGAUUUUGUCAAUCGAUCCACUAUCACCCAUAUCGCAUCGUGUCCGCCUUGUGAUCGAGGCAGACCGGUAACAAAGUGCAUCGCUAUAUUUUUUCAUUUCCAAACGGGUAUCGAUAGACUUUGUAGCUUUCCCGCUAUAUUUUUCCAUUUCCAAACGGGUAUCGAUAGACUUGUAGCUUUCCCACCGAAAAUCGGCGCUCUGCUUUCACUUGUUGACACGUGAGACAUUGCGCCACAAACUCCCCAAUAUCCUUUUUCAUGCCGGGCCACCAAUAGUGCUCUUUCAAGUCUCAGUACAUCUUAGUGCCGCCCGGGUGUAUACUAUAAGGGAGUCUGGUGUGCUUUUUGCAUAAUCGCCCUUCGCAACUCAUCAUCUUUAGGCACGCACCAACGAUUUCGGAAUCGAAGUGCGUCCUCGGCUCCAAUACCAAAGUCUUCGGCAUUGCCACUUUCAACUUCAUCUCGAACCUUUUGGAGAUAAGGAUCUAAAGUUUGAAGCUCUUUAAUCCUCUCAAACAGGGUCGGUUGCACAAUUAAUGCGGCAAGUGUAGCCGGCACUCCCGGCGCUACCACUUCAAACCCAAGUCGUUGCAUUUCCUUUUGCAAUAACGACUGAGGCAUAAUUGCCGUCGCUAAAUUCUCCGCCGAUUUUCUGCUUAGAGUAUCGGCCACGACAUUGGCUUUCCCGGGGUGGUAUAGUAUAGUGACAUCGUAGUCCUUCAACAACUCUAACCACCGCCGCUGUCGCAUGUUCAACUCUUUCUGGGUGAACAAGUAUUUGAGACUCUUGUGAUCCGUGUAUACUUCACAAUGUUCACCAUACAAGUAAUGCCUCCAUAGCUUUAGCGCGAAGAUCACCCGCGGCUAACUCGAGGUCGUGAAUCGGGUAGUUUCUCUCAUAACUCUUCAAUUGGCGCGAUGCAUAUGCAAUGACUCGCCCAUUUUGCAUUAAUACACACCCGAGACCAACAUACGAGGCAUCACUAUACACUACAAAGGUCUCCCCCGGAGUCGGCAAGGCAAGCACCGGGGUCGACGUCAACCUGCUCUUUAACUCUUCGAAGCUCCGAUCGCAAUCGUCGCUCCAAACAUACUUUACUCCUAUGUGGGUGAGGCGCGUUAGUGGAGUGGUUAUUUUGGCUAACCCCUCCAUGAACCGCCGGUAGUAGCACGCAAGUCGAAGAAAACUGCAGACCUUCGCUACAUUCGUCGGGUGAGGCCAAUCUUUUAUUGCCUCUACUUUCUUCGGGCCUACCGAAACUCCGUCGCCCGAUACCACAUGGCCCAAGAAUGUGACCUCCUUUAGCCAAAAGUUAUACUUCUUUAACUUUGCAUAGAGCUUCUCUUGCUUGAGUAUCUGCAACACAGCUCUCAGAUGCUCUUCGUGCUCCUCUUCAUUCUAUGAGUAAACCAAUACGUCGUCUAUAAACACCACGACGCAUCGAACCGACAACGGCCUGAAGACUCGAUUCAUCAAGUCCAUGAAUGCUGCCGGGGCAUUAGUAAGCCCAAACGGCAUUACCGUGAAUUCAUAAUGGCCAUACCGCGUACGGUACGCCAUUUUGUGCACAUCCUUCGGCCUAAUCUUUAAUUGAUGAUACCCCGAUUGGAGAUCAAUUUUCGAAUACACCUUGGACCCUUGCAACUGAUUGAAUAAAUCGUCAAUCCUCGGCAACGGGUACUUGUUCUUUAUCGUUACUUUGUUCAACUCACGAUAGUCUACGCAGAGUCGAAGUGUGCCAUCCUUUUUCUUCACAAAUAGUACCGGAGCUCCCCACGGCGACACGCUCGGCCUCACGAAGCCUUUAUCGAGCAGGUCUUGUAAUUGGCCUUUUAGUUUUUUUAACUCUACCGGUGCCAUUCUAUACGGAGCCUUCGAAAUUGGCGCCGCCCCGGGAAUCAAGUCAAUGACGAACUUAACUUCCCGGUCCGGUGGCAAUCCCGGUAACUCCGCCGGAAAUACAUCCGGGAAUUCGCAUGCUACUCGAAUAUCCCCCAACUCUGGGUGCUCCUUUCGAGCAUCUACCAUGGUUGCCAAAUAGGCCUUACACCCUCCUUUGAUCAUUUUCUUCGCCCUUACAGACGAUAUGGUCGCCGCGAAGCGCCUACUCUUGCACGCUUGAUACACCAACUCUUCUUGAUUAGGCUCACGAAAAGUGAUCACCUUGCUUUCACAAUCUAUGACCGCAUAGUACUUGGAGAGCUAGUUGGUUCCCAAAAUAACAUCGAAUCCCCACAUUUGAUCCAGCACUAGCAGAUCAAUCGGCAUAAUCCACUCGCCUAUUUGCACUGGACACGCUAAACACUCAUUAUGGACACUGAACGAAUGUUCUAGGGCGUUCACCCACCAAUAGUCCUCGUUGUAUACCAUCCCUAUGCCAUGAGUUUGAGCAAAUGAUGCGCUAAUGAAUGAAUAAGAUGCGCCUGUAUCAAAUACUACUCUAGCUCUAGUGCCUUUAAUCACAAUUAUACCUGCCAUGACGUCGUCGGGUGCUGCAGGUUGCUGCUCCUCCACCUGAGCGGCAAAAACCCGGCCGCUAGGUGCUCUCGAUCCCUCCGACUGACGCGGUAAUGACGCGCGCCCAGCCGACAUCACUGGUGGCAACCACGCAAGCUGUCUCGGGGUAGACGGCGGUGAUGCCGCCACCGGUGCAUACGAUGUCCACGUCGGGCACUCCCGAAUAAGAUGUCCCGGUUAGCCACACUUAAAACACUUGCGGUCUCGCUGCGGGCAAGUCGAUACUCGGUGCUCUCCGCCACAAAUGACGCACCGAGGAGGUCUCCAGUUCCUCGACUGCUGUCAAGAAUACCGAGGGGGUUUCUUAGCAUUCGGCCGGCCGACGGCACCGCCCGCCGUUCGCUUCUUGCCUUUGUCCCUGCUCUCGGCCAUAGCCUCCCGUUCCUCUCGAACGUGAGCGCUGCCAUGCUCCACCCACAAAGCUCUAUCGAAGACUUCCGCAAAGGUCGUCAGCUUUAGAAUCUGCACCUUCUCAUAAAUCCUCGGCUGGAGUCCUCGUAAGAACCAAUCAGCCCAGUCCCGAUCAUCUCGAACAACAUCGGGAACGCAGUCAAUAAUGUGGGAGAAUUUCUGCUCAUACUCCCCCACCAAUCGAUCACCCUGUCGCAACUUGCGAAACUUUUCUUACAACCUCCGCUUCACCGUGUCGGGGAAGUAGUUCGUGAAUACCGCUCUCUUGAACUCCUCCCAUAGCAUGAGCGGAACAUCGGUAGGUCGAUCCCGCUUGACUCGCUUCCACCACACCAUCGCCGCCCUCUCAAGAUAAUAAGUGGCGAGGUACACUUUGUCCUUCUCCGAGGUAUUGAGAUCCUCGAAGAGUGUCUGCAUCGAGUGAAUCCACGACUCCACGACCGCAGGCUCCACCAAACUGCCUUCGAAGGUAGGUGGGUCGAACUUCUUGAACUGAAUAAGAGCCGGCAACGUGCGCUCUCGCUCCGCCUCUACCGCCGCGCUAUCGGGAUUUGAGGUUCCCAAUCCGGCCGGUACCGCCAUAACCGGCACAGCCGCAACCGGCUCCGCUGCUAAACCCUCAACCGCAACAGGGGGUGCCGCUGCUAAACCCUCAACCGCAACAGGGGGUGCAGGAGAUCCGGCACCCGUCUGCGUCGCCGCCGCCUGUUACUGCUCCAAAGCCUCCUGGAGCUACUGAAUCUGCUCUCCUUGACGUUGAACAGACUCCGCUUGUUGCCGCACCAUGCCGAUAAGCGCGUCCAUCUGCUCCCUAAGCUCUCUGUCGCCACUCGCUCCGGAUCGCUCGGGCGCCGCAUUCGACUCCUCAGGCAUCGACCUUGUCUGCGGUCGACCACGAGGUGCCAUUGCUUCCUGAAAAGAAGCAACUCGCAUUAGCUACAUGACCAACAUUACUCAUCACUACCCAAUUCGGCGAAAGCAACUUAUACAUUCGUUCUCGCCCCAAGCAUCAUGUCGUCGGCCGCCCGACACAACACUAAAGUAGAGGACAAAUGAAAAUUAAACUUAGCCUCUAAUCACAUUAGAGACAUCCCAACUUAACCCAAUCACAUGCUUUCGCUAACUUUGAUUCCGCGUCACUCACGUUUCCUAGAUCCUUAAGGUCUUCCAAUUCUAAGGGUCUCUAGGUCCAUUCCUAUUCUUUCACUCUAGGCUCUGAUACCACAAUAUCUGUCACACCCCGGGACCGAUACCAAUUUGGGCCGGCUCGAGCACGUCAAACAGACGCCGAACGGACAGAGUUUCCCCUGCCUGCCCAAGGCUCAUCACAUGUACAUUUUCAACGAGAAGUGCACUAGCAGAAACAUACACAAACGCCUUACACGAGGGUAAGCAAUAGCCAUGAGUGAAAGAAAGGAAACUAAACAUCUACCCAAGUAUUAUGAUUCAACUUUUGAUCACAUACAUUGCAUUAACUUUCAUAUUCAUGAUUCUUUAUAUUGCUUGCAUCAUUUCUUUUACAUCACAUUUGCUCAAAAUAAACAUUACAUUCUUUGCUUUACAUCACUAGUCAUCAAGUACAAAAGAUGAUCAUAGGUAAACUACUAACAAAAUGUAAGAUGAACUCGACCCGGGUGGCCACUAUCUAGGGUNGGGAGCGAGUAAUCGGCAUCGUCACUACAAAACAUAAAAGCGCAAGUUAGUAACCCACGCUAUCGCAUCCCCGCUCAAAUAGAUAAAACCCCAAAUCAUGCGAAAGUAAGGAAGUGUCCUUCACUACUAACUUCCGAUGUUACGUUGUCGGCCGCCAACGUAACCCUCCGCGAAGUUAGAAGCCAUACACUUCGAUCAAACUCUAACUUUUAGAGUUGUCAUAAACCCAAUCAUAAUACUUUCGCUCACAAGUCAAUUAGACCUCGUCUCUCACGAGCCUAAUUCCUAUAGUCCAACCGGCCGGUCUAAGGUUCGCUAGGUCCACUAAGACUCAACCCUAGGCUCUGAUACCAAAUUAAUCUGUCACGCCCCGGGACCGGCGGAUGCCCUCCCGGUAGCGUGCCCAGACCCGCCAUAUGUCUACACAUAUAAGGCGUCUACAAUAAAAGCGGAAGUAAAAGCAAGUAAUAGAACAAAUAGAAGAAGUGAAAUAACUAGCAGCUAAUGAUAUCAGAGCGAGUAAAAUUCUAACAUCUACACCAAGGUAAAGAAGUAAAGCUAGACAAUAAAAGAAUUCAUAAGUAGUACAAUAUCUGUCUCAAAAGUACAAAAGUGGUGGUCUCUAGUACACUGGUAAAACUCUCAACCUCUCGCAACAAAAAAUAUAAAUCGAGAGGUAGACCACCUAGCAACUCGUCCUCGAAGGAAGCUAGCUCGAAGCAACUCCCUUCCCGCGAUCUCUGGCCUCACCCUGCGUGGAAAGCUCUGAAAAAAAAACAUCGAAAAAAAGAGGGCGUGAGAACUAUAAUUUAUAGUUUCUAGUGGGCAAUUACUGACCUCAGCUCAAUGCACCACUAGGCCCCAAAAGAAAAGCGUAAGUACCAUAAUAAUAGCAAUAAUAACUGCGAUAUGAAAGCAUAAGUAAAAUGCUAAAUUAUUAAACUCAAGUAUACACGAUGUCAUGGUGAUGUACAUUUACGAUAUCAAAAUAGUAUGUCAUUAACCUUUAUGAAUACAUUAUGCAUAAGUUUUGUCAUGGCAACCAAGUAUGCUUUAAUGCAAAAGGAGACUAUCAAGUAUACUACAUGUCUCAACUGUAAUACACUGGGUCUUAGCAAAUUGCAAGAUUCGAGUGUUUGAUCUGUGUUUGGAGCAUUCCCACAGUUUUUGGAGGGUCGUUGAUAGUGUUCCGACCCCUGACAUGCAUCCCGAGGAUGUUGGAGUGGGACUUGGCACCAAAAUUCCAAAAUCGGAAUUUUUGGACAGCUCUCGGGCAGCCUGCAGCAGGGCUUGUACCGGAACAAGACUGGCCUUGUACCGGUACAAGGGUUGAUGGUUGUACCGGUACAGCCAUCGGGCUUGUACCGGUACAGAGCCGCAGACCCCGCGACCCGAGCCUCGGGUUUGCAUUUUCGUCGGCCUUGUACCGGUACAAGAGCCCGUGUACCGGUACAAGGAGGCAGAUUUCGUGCAGAAUGAAACUGCAGGGGGUUUUGUGCGUUUGUAGCCUUCUAUUUGUAACCCCACGCCCCUAGGGCAUCUCCUGAGCUUGGAACCUGCAGGGAAAAAGGUGAGGAAGCUCUCCACACCUUCCUUUGUGAUUUCUUUGAUUUUGGUUGGGGUGUUAAGAGGUUAAACCUUCUUUUUUUGCUCCUUUUGCUUGUUGGAAGCUUUUCCACCAUUGGAGCUCGAUUUUGGAGCUUGGUAGAGGGAAGAGCUUGGGACUUGGAUGGUUUAGAGCUUGGAUUGAAGCUUCUAAGAGGUAAGCAACAUGUUCUCUCCCUCUAGAUUCAAGUUUUAUUGGAGAUUUUGAGAUGAAACCCUAGAAUGAGGUUUUAGGGUUAAUAUUGGGCAUUUUGAAUCUAGGGCUUUUGGAGCUAGAUUGAGCGAAUUAGAGGCUUCCAUUAGGUUGGAUUGGAUGAGCCCUAGCUUCAUUUUGGAGCUUUAGAGAAGAUUUUUGCACUAGAGGUGAGUUCUUCUCACCUAUACUUGUCUAGCUUAAUGAUUGAGCUAUUGAUGGUUCGUUUCGUUCGUGUGACGCUUGUUCUUGUACCUCUAGGGUACUAGGAGACUAGAGGACACCCUCGUNACUUACUUCAUAUUUUUAUUUAGUGGACUUUCAGCUUUACCUUAUACUUUGCUGUAGCAUUUAGACAUUUAUUAUGCUCUGAUACUCCUAGAUGCCUUUUAUUAUUGCUUUUAUUAUUGCUGUUUUUAGACGCAUUAUAUGUUGUAGACAUAUGGCGGGUCUGGGCACGCGCCGGGCGGGCUUCCGCUGGGUCCCGGGGCGUGACACUAAUAUGCCUGAACAAUAAAGCAGGAAGUAUGCUCAAUGUAAAUCAUGCAAGUAUGCAAGUUCUUUGUUCUUUACCCUUUAUUCUUUAAUCUUGUUCUUUGUUCUUUAAUCUCACGGCUAACCCGGGGAUUUCGCCACAUUAACUUGCCUACAUUAAGUCCAUCAUCGCGGGCCCUCAGCUUCCUCCCACUAAGACCGUCCUCGGGUUUACUCCAACCCAUGAUGCAAAACUCCGGAGGCCAUAGUCCGAGGGGGAGCGACCGCCCUCGAGCACGGAACUCAUUGCAAGUAUGAUCGAUCCUUAACUCUAAGGAUAUAGUUCAGUCAUUGUCUUUACACUAACUCUAGUAUUCUUUAUAUCACUUUAUUUUGCUAACUCUAGCAAUCAUUGUUCUUUAACUUUACUCAUUCUUUAUGCCACUUUCAUUUUCUUUACUUAUCUCUACUCAUUUUCAUCGUUCUUGGCGUCACAUUUCUCUUUGAUGCCACAUACUAACUCUAGUGUCACAUUACUUUACAUUGUCGGAUGCCACUCGAUCUAUGUUUUAUUAUGUCACUUUGUUCUUUCAUCUCAUUGGGCGUUCAUAUUAUAUCUCAUGCAUACAUAUAGGGUUGAAUAGGUUCUCAAACAUUUCAAAUAGCACGUGUACUCACAUCAUGCAACACUCACAUAUAUAUCAUCACAUCUACCUAAUAAUACAUGCAACAAUAUACAUAUAUGCUCAAUUGAAUAACACAUUAGGCAUAGAAGGAAUUCCAACAAGUUUGGAUAGCACCACCCACCUCGUAGGCGUACUAGGAUGCUACAAUGAUUUUCUUGGGAUUUUUAAACUCCUAGUUCGUCACCUGCGGCAAAACGAAGCCCUAUUAGGCCAUUUUGCUCAUAUCUUUACAUUGGCUUUUCAUAACGUUAAACUGAGUGCACCAACGCGUCGGAAAUACCCCCAAUUAGGUUUCUAGAUGGUCAAUUUCACUUUAGAAUCCUCAAAAGCAAAAGCCCCAAAUUUCGGUGCCCUAGCUCAUAGUAUAUCAAAACCUAGGGUUUGAUCUCUUAGAGAAGCAAGAGUAAGCUUCAAAUCAUGUAAAGGUUCCAUUUGAACCAUCCUUAGCUCAAUCAAAACCCAUUUUAGGGUUUUACCAUGAGAGGGGUUGAAGCUUUCCUCUAAGCUUCACCACCAACACCCAAAUCUAUGGUUUUGAUCUAUAAAAGAAGAAAAAGAUAGCUCCAAAUACUCUAAAGGUUCUAUAAAAACCAUUCUUAGCUUAAUCCAAACCCUAGUUUGGGUUCUACCAUGAUUAGGGUUCAAGCUUACCUCUAAGCUUGCUCCUAUGUUGCUCCAAAGAGGAAGAAGAGGAAGUAGCUCUACUACUUAGCUUCUUCUUCACCUUCCUUCUCUUUUUCUUCUUCUUCUUUUCCUUUUUCUUUUCCUUCUCUUCUUUGUCUUCUAGAGAGAGAAAGAGAGGAGAGAGUGUGUGUGAGAGGGAGUGAAAAUGAGAGAAAUAUCCCAUUUGCCCCUUAACAUAACCCCAUAUGAUGCAUAAUUGCAUUUGGGUCCCUCAACUUUGAUCUUAUUAAACAGCCCAAACUGGGCCAUUUUCGUGUUCGGGGACCGGUCUCCCCGACUUGGGAUCGGUCUCAGAGAGCUCUCCCCGCAGCUGGCAGAGCUCCAGCCUGAUGCAACCAGUCUCUCUCUCUCGGGGACCGGUCUCUCCUCGCAGGGACAGGUUUCCGAGAGCUGGUUUUCUGGGACUUAGCCGAUUUUCAGCCUUUCUCAUUUCUCACGCGUUCGGGGACCGGUCUCUCCCACCAGGGAUCGGUCCCCGAGAGCUCAAAACUGCAGUUUGCAGAUUUUUGACUCUUUAGCUCUCGAAAACCUCUCACAAUGCACUUUUGAUCAUUUUAACACCUUCGGACUUUUCGAAGUGUAUCAUCAUCGCACGCGCAAACUCGAGCCUCGGGUUUGCGAGAAAACACACUGCGUACCGGUACUCCCGCGAUGUAGUACCGGUACCAGGUCCAGUACCGGUACUCAGUUGAUGCAGUACAGGUACUCUCCCCUGCAAAGUCAAACCCUAGAGCAGCCCAAAUUCUUCAUUUUAGAGAUUUUGGUGCUAUGUUUUCACUCUUGCACAUCGGGAUGCGAGUCAUAGGUCGGAACACAGUCAACGACCCUACAGAAAAUCCCAAGAGGCUCAGAACACUAAUCAAACACUCGAACCUUGCAAUUUGCUAAAGUCAGUGUGUUACAGAUCCACCGCAUGGGGGUGUUCUUUUUUGAAAAAGUGGUUGGAAGUGCCAGCCCGUGAGCCCAGAGGCCUAGUCUAGGUUAUAUGCAGAUAGAGUGGCAGUGGCACAGGCUUGAGGUUUGCAGACCGACAUGACAGGUUUCUAAUUGGGUAUCUUUGGGACUGAUCGUCCGGUUGAUGCAUGCAUAAUGUAGCGGUAGUGGUAUAUGUAUAUCUUGUUUUCUUAUUUAUUAUUGCUAUUGUAUUACCAUUAUGUACACUCUUAGUAUCUUCCUUGACUGGUGAGUAUCCCUCGCCCCCGUCAAUUUGCGGUAUCCACUGGGAGAGGAGACAUGUGUACAUGUUCUCACCCCCCACCAUUUUUUCAAGUGACAUUGCUGAUCCAAGUCGGGGUAGAGCGUGAGGCGGGUGGUUAGUGGUCGCAGAGUGUUUCGGCCCAGUGACUUAUGGUUAAUUUCUAAUCUUGUUUCCAUAAUAAGUAACUUAUUGUCACGCCCCGGGACCCAGCGGAAGCCCGCCCGGCGCGUGCCCAGACCCGCCAUAUGUCUACAAUAUAUAAGGCGUCUAAAAACAACAAUAAUAAAAGCAAUAAUACAAGACGUCUAGUAGUAUCAGAGCAUAAUAAAAGUCUAAAUGCUACAACAAGGGAUAAAGUUAAAACUGUAAAUCCACUAAAUAAAACAUAAAGUAAGUACAAUAGGGAUCCCAUAACAAGUGCUAAAAGGAGUACAAGGUGGUCUCUCUAUACAGGGUACAAAACCUCUCUCUCUCUCCCAAAAUAUAAAAAGGAGAAGAAGUAACGACCUAGCGCAAAAGAAACUCUCCCGAGCUAGCUACGCGACACCCUUGCCGCGAUCCCGUGCCUCCGCCGGUGCCGAAGGCUCUGAAAGGAAAACAUAGAAACGGGGGCGUGAGAACUAUCAAUAAUAGUUCCCAGUUGGCAAUUACUGACUUUAGUGAAAUGCACCACUAGGCCCAAAACUGCAAAAGAGGGUCAGUGUACAAGUACGGUAAAAAGAGAGAAUGUACAAUAAAUAAAGAAACGAAAGCCCAUAAUCAUGAUAUCUUUAUUUAGCUCUACUUGCAUGAAUAAGAAAGCGAUUACUACGAGUAAGCACAUGAAUACUCAACAUGUAAAAGUAUGAAUAUGCUACCAAUCCAAUGUCCACAGUGUAGUAGUAAAGGUGUCAAUGUUUACUAUUCUAGUCCAGGUUCACAUGUCACUUUAAUUGUUAUAGUUUAACUCUGAUAAGACCCACCCGAAGGCUGUCUGGCUCUGCCCUGCCUAAUGGCCCCGUGGUAGUCAACAUUCCUACUCUAGGAAUGAGCCUUUCCCACGGCAAUCCACUUCGGCGCCCAAUCCCGAACGGCGAACGUAUCGCAUAGGCCAACUCCGGAGUGCCGGCUUGUAGGGAGCGACCCUCACAAGCUUGUGCGAAUGAGCACAAUGGCAAGCAUGCUAUCAGUAUGUCUCAAGUACCAAGUCAUCAUGUCUACAACAUGGAAUAUAUCACAACUCUCACAUAGGCCUAUCUCUAUGUCAUCAUGUCUACAACAUGGAAAAUAAUAGAUGUUCAAGUGGCCUAAUUCUAUGUCUCAAUACGAUAGUCUCAUAAGUGCUAGUCUAAGUGCCCCUUUAUGACACUUUCAUUCACUAAGUUCAAGCUCAUCCCAAAUGUUCAUAAUUACAUAACUGAACCAUUUUAAGCAUAUAAAGCGUGUUUCCAAAUGACUAGCGAGAGCUCUACCCGAAUGCAUGCAACAAUAUCCAGAAUGCUCUACUAUAUCGAGUGAAAAUUUUCUUAUACAUAACACAUGUAUUUCAGGGGUUCCAAAAUUCACAUAAAUACUACUUAGCAUAGAUAUGCAUUCAAAAAAAGUAUACGAAGAGUUUAGAAUGCUUAGGGGCUGUUUCGCCCCGUUUUCAUGAAGCCAAACCCACCGAUGGUAAACGAAAGCUUUCGGUUGCCACGACGAAGGCGUCCACCACACUCCUAGUACCCUAAAGGUAUGAGAAUAAGUGUCAUUUAGUCGAAACGAACGACGCUAAGUUCAAUCUUUAAGCAUAUAGGGCUAGGGUUGAAGAAAACUCACCGAUUGCGAAGGAAGCUCUCUCAAUCUCCAAAUGGGAGCUAGAGUCCUUCCAAUCUAACCUAAACAAAGGUUCUAAACCCAUCAAUUUGGUACAAAAGCCCUCAAAACGAAAAUCCCCAAAAACAACCCUAAAAUGCAAAAUCUAGGGUUGCAACUUCAAAGAAACUAUCAAAACCAAAUCUAGAGGAGAGUAACAUACUACUUACCCCCAAGUAGCCUCAAUCCACGCUCAAAGUCCCCAAACUUCAAGGAUUUUCCCUCACUCAAGCUCCCAAAACCAAGUUCCAACUUCAUCCAUGGAGGAAAAGCACAAAAGAGGAGAAAGAGAUGGAUUAAUUCACCAAAAUCUAGGCUAGAGGGAGAUUAAAACCAAAGAGAAGCAAAGAGAAGCUCUCCUUACCUUACUCCCUGCAGUGGCAAGCUCAAAGAAGAGCCCUAGGGGCGUGGGUGCUGUUAUAGUAUUGCUACAAUAGCAAAAACACCCCUGCAGAACAAUCUGCUCAAAAACUGUCCCCUUGUACCGGUACACGGGCCCUUGUACCGGUACAAGGCCCACGAAAAUGCAAACCCGAGGCUCGGGUGGCUGGGUCUGCAACUCUGUAUCGGUACAAGCCCGAUAGCUGUACCGGUACAACCAUCAACCUUGUACCGGUACAAGACCAUCCUUGUUCCGGUACAAGCCCUGCUGCAGGCUACCCGAGAACUGACCAAGAAUUCCAAUUUUGGAAUUUUGGUGCCAAGUCUCAAACCAACAUCCUCGGGGUUCGUGCCAGGGGUCGGAACACCAUCAACGACCCUCCAAAAACUGUGGGAAAGCUCCAAACGCAGAUCAAACACUCGAAUCUUGCGAUUUGCUAAGAUCCAGUGUAUUACACUUAUAUAUUUAUAGUUCUGUUGGUUUUAUUUUAAUUGGAUAUAUGUGAUUUUGUGAGAUUAAUAAAGUAUUUGUGGUUUUCUUGUGAGAUUAUGAAAAUGGUUUUUCUAUCUAUCGUGGUAGCUUAUUUUUAAAGAAAAAGAUUUUCAUGUGGGAAACGAUUUUAAAAAGGGUUUUUCGGUUUUCAUGAUUUUUAGUAUUUUAAAAUGAGUUUCUGAGUGAGAAACAUUUUUAACUAAUAGAUGUGGUUUUAUGAUGAAAAUAUGGUAAACUUGUGAUUGAAUGAAUGUAAGUUGGUUUCUGUGAUGUGGUGAUUGUAUAUAGAUGUUUAUACAAUGUGGUUGUAUCUUACACUUGUGCGACGCCGUGCAAAUACUGGAUAGACUCUGUCCGUGUGAACAGUAGAUUCUCUGUAUUUGUGGCGAAUCUGACAUCCCCUGGGGUCAAGGUUUAAAAAAAAAAAAAAAAAUUGGGCACUUUUGCAUCGAUUUAAAACUUCAAAGGCGUGAUAAAUCGGUAUCUCAAGGAGAAGAAGGAUCAGACUGGAGUAGGAUCGAAUCAGGAUAAAUUAUCUGUGUUAUCUAAGUUUGAUUUUUCUUCUUUUAUUCAGUUGUGCAAUUUUAUCUUGGUUUAAUUUUACUUGAGUUUUUAGUUGUCAACUAAUUCACCCCUUUUCUUAAUUGCCAUGCAUUUGAUCCUUCAAUCCUUUGGUUACUUAGUAAAUGAUGUCGAAAAAUUAUAAAAGUUAAUUUCUAAAUAAUUCUAAUAAGGUAGAUCAUACUUAACGAAGCCAAUUGUCGAAUCAAAUAUUUUAUUAUCAAGCAUACAGGCCUCCGUAUUUUCUAAAGCGCAGAAGACGCACUCGUUUUGCAUAAUCAAACAUGAAAUAGAUUCUUUAAAAUUCUUCACUUCUUUUCUCUGUUAUCAGAAAAAAUUUAUCAUGUAAAUCUAGUGCAUCUCUAUUUUCAUGCAUUAUUAUGCAUCUAUCAAUUUUAUUUAUCCUCCAUUUGAUAUUUUAAUCUUAGCCUCUAUUAAAUUUCAUUUGUAUUAUAUAUUAGAAAAUUUUGAACACUAGGUUACUCCUCUCUCCGUACCCUCUCUGGCACUUGGUCUGUGUCUCACAAUGUCAAUUUUGUGCUUCAGUUCUUUCUCAAAUAAUAUCCUCUAGUAUUUUUUUUUUUGUUUAUUUUAACAUCUCCAUACUUAACCGACCGUCUGUAGAGCAUGUGGCAAAGAGCUUAAUGAUUGAUAUUCGAGAUCCCAAGUUUGAAUCCUAAUUGAUUCACAUUUCUAGCUAAGUUUAUUUCUAAACUAAAUAAACGAAGUAGCGUGCUACCUAUCUCUCAAAAAAAAAAAAAAAAAAAAAAAACUCCAUACUUACAACAUUAAGGGCGUGUUUGGUUCGCUUCUUUUUCAUCCUGAAAUCGAAAUCGGAAUGGGCGAAUCCGUUUGUGGGUAUUUGGUACGCGGGAGUCCCAUUCUGAUUCCGAUUCCCGAGUGGAAUGGAAAUCCCCCAAUCACCUUUUUUUCUAAUCCGGCCUAGGAGGUCGGAUUGGAAGUUGAAUCCGGGCGGAACGGAUAUUUAUUCGGAUUAAAUUUAUUUUUUCAACUUUUUAAUUAAAAUAUGAGUUUAAACUUAGAAAUUAAAUUUUAAAUUUUAAAUUUUAAUUUGAACUUGAAUUAAAAAUUAAAAUUUAAUCAAGUAUUUCGAAUCUAACUUAUGAAUUUAAAUUAAAUUUUAAUUUAAAUAAAAUUUUAUUCAAAUUUUAUUUAAAAUUNAUUAAAUUAAAUUUAUGGAUUCAAAUUAAAAUUUAAAAUGUAAUUUUAAGUUUGAAUUUGAAUAAAUCGAAAUUUAGUUUUAUAUUUUGAAUUAUCUACUCAACUUCAAAGUUUAAUUUUUUAAAAAGAAAUAGAUUUAAAAUUUUGAUAUUAUUUCAAAAUUUUGAUGUAAAUUUUUAAUAUUUAAAUUUUAAUUUGAAUUUAAAUUAAUAUACUAUAAAGAUAAAGUUAGCAUAUUAAUCUGAUUACAUUUUUUAUAUUUACCUAAACCAAACACCGAUAAUAGAAAUGAUUUAUUCCGAUUCCAAUUCAGGUGAUAUGAACCAAACAGAAUUAGGUAAUGAGUCAUUCCGAUUCCGAUUUCAGCUUAUUUCAAUUCCGAUUUCGAUUCUGAUUCCGACUUCGAACCAAAACACCCUAAAAGGCUUUUUGCCAAAUUUAUAAAUUUAGAAAUGACUCUAUAUUGUAUACGUAGACUCGAAAUAUUUUUAAUGAACACGAUAAUUCAUUCAUUUUAUUUAGUUAAACAACAAAAUAUAUUUUUAAAAAUAAAAUAUUAGUCAUUUUCUCUCUAUAUACUAUUCUAAACACGGCGAAUCAAUCACGUACAGUAUUUACAUUAUGUUUUUUUUUCUUAUCCAUGCAGGGCCUACGUGUACAAAUAAAGAAUCAUUUCUGUAUUUGUAAUUUUGAUAGGAUUAUUUGUAAAAUAAAUUUUUUAAACGACUAGAAAUUCUAGAUCAAUGCUUUUAUGACAAUUAUGCUAAUAUCCCAUAGGCGCGCUUGGUUCGCGUUAAUAUUACAUAUUAUUUCGACAUAAUAAGGUAUCUUCUUGCCAAUAAAGUAUAUUCCAUUACAAAAUUGUCCUUUAGUUAUAUUUGGCAAAAAUUUUUUAUUGUUUACAAAUAAUAUUUUUUUAUUACAUUUUAUUUUAAAAUAAUUUUAAAUUUGAAUUUAAAUUUUAACUUUUAAAUUUUAUAUUUUAAAUCUGAAUAAAAAAUAUAAAUUUAAUAUUUUAAUUUGAAAUAUAAAUAUGAAAUUUAAAAUUUAAAAUUUAAAAUUUAGAAUUUAAAAUCUAAAUUUAAAUUUACAAUUUAAAAUUUAAAAUUUAGAAUUUAGAAUUUAGAAUUUAAAAUAUAAAUUUUAAAAUUUACAAUUUAAAAUUUAAAAUUUAAAAUUUUAGAAUGACAAUUCAAAAUUUUAAAUUAAAUUUUUAAAAAUGACUUGAGGGUUGGAAGGGUAAAUCUAUAAUUUUAUAUAACAUACAAAAUAACAAGCCAACAAUAAUAUGAGAUACCCACUCCCAACUCGGUAAUAUUUUCGGAGUAAUUGUGCAUCACUUGUAAUAUUAUAUUACUAACCAAAUUACAAACUGGAUGAACCAUAUGCAAUAAUCCUAGCAUGAUUCACUAUAAUCCUGGUAGGAUAACCCGAGCCAAACAUGACUAUAUAGCGAUAUAUUUGCAAAACUCUCUAUCACAUCAUGUAUACGUAUGAAAAUCCUUGUCUUCUCUUGUUUCUCUCCCAUUAUCGUGUCAAAAUUCUCAUCACAAACUCAUUUGCAGCAACAGUAAAGAGGCUAUCUUCCAUUGUUUGCUUCAUGCUGCAUCUUUGAACAACCAGGACAUCGGUAUUUUGCAGGUCGAUCUUCCUACUAGUUAUGCCCUAUUAUCUAGGGCUUUUCCUUUGUAUUUAACUUUAGGGUUUGAAGACAUUAUUUAGGAUUAACUUAAUGCUUAGUCUAAAAGCACAAAAAAAAAGUUUUAAUCUUUAUAAUAUUCAUCCAAGAACUGUAGGAUUUACUAACCCCAUUUUGGUUUUUGUUAAGAAUUAAAAAAAGAAUAACAAUAUUAGGCCCCGUUUGGUUCGAGGAUAAAUCAAAAAUAACAAAACUUAUCCCCUCUAUUCCGCCAACGGGGUAUUUUUUGGCAAGGAUAUUUAAUUUCGGUCAAAUCUUGCUAUUUCCGGUUAUCCUAGAAUAGCUUGGGAUAAAUUAUUCCACCUUUUUUGGUGGAAUAGUAAUAUUCCAAGAUUUAAUUUCAAGUUUUUAUUGAAAUUAUAAUUGAAUUACAACUAAAUUAUAUAGAAAUUAUAUUUUAUUUAUUAUAACAAAUUAUUUUUAUUAUAAAUUAUUAUUUGUACUAUAUUAAUACAAAUUAUUUAUAAUUAAAUAUUAUAAUAAAUUAUUUUUAUUAAAUUUAAGUUUAAGGAGAAUUUGAAAACAAAUAAAAUUAUUUUUAUUAAAUCAUAAUUUAUAAUAAUUUUUUUUAAAUAUCAUUAUUAUUUUCAUAAUAAAAUAUUUAUAUAAUAUUAUUAUUUUUAUUAAAUUAUAUUUUAUGUUAAAUUCAACCAUUACAUUUUUUUCACUAUCCUCUGCUAUUGAAUAAAAUUAACAAAACAUAAUUUUAGUCAUUUUUAGGUAUAACAGCAUUAAAAUCAAACACAAAUUUACUUUUAUUCUUUAGUAUCCUGAAAUAGUAAGCUAUUCCAGGGCUAAAAUUUUUUUUCGUUAUUCCCGAACCAAAGGGGACCUAAGAAAAAUUGUAAUAUUUGGAUUAGGGUUGUGAUCAUAGGAUUACAACCAAAAGUGGGUUGUAAACCUAGCGCUCUUGUCCUUUUGUUGUAACCUAGCACUCCUAUCACGCUUCGCGACUGCCACUUUGGUCGGUUCGCGCAUGCGCACAGACCGCCGAAUGGACAGAGCCUUCUCUGUCCGUCCAAGGCGUAAAAAAAAGGUACAAUGAGUUUCACUCAGGAAAAACAACACAAUCCAGUUUUGCACGAGGUCAUCUCACAAGUGCGAGAAUAUAAACCUAACUAUUAUAACAUUGGACAUUCAUAUUUUACAUACAUUUUUUCACUUACAUAAUACAUGAAUUUUUUCUAAAAAUACAAUUACACUCUCAAUUACAUUUCUUUUCCAUAUAAACCUUUACAUUCUUUUACUUGUACAGGGGUGACCUACACUUGGUGACUCUGUUAUCUAGGGCGCAACGCCUACGCCUCGGUCCAGUGCUGCUCCGCAAAUGGUUCACUCAGCAAAACAGGAGGUGAGAACUAAAAGAAGUUUCCAGUGGGUUCGGCCGCCGACCUCGCCGAUUUUCUCACUAGGUCUAAUAAAGGCAUAAGUAGAUAAAUGAAAAGGAAAGUAGUACAACAACUACACUAUGCAUAACUGGAAUAAACACUACUAUGCCUUUGCAAACGAAGCUAAGUAAACAAUUAAUAAUGCUAUUAUGCUCAAGAUGCUUAACAUUUUUACCAUUUACCCAAUCAUACCGGCUCACGAGAAGUCAAACCAAACUCCCUCCUCUAAAUCGUCUACUGGGGAGAUGACCGCUCAACCCAACCUAGAUUAUCCACAGAGGCGGUACAAUCGACUCGUCACCUUACAUGUGAUGCUACUACAAGACUCUACAAGGUAAUAAAAGACAUAAUCUACUAUACUCAACUGACUUUCUCUUUUACCUCAUGACCCAAUCUUACCGGCUCACUCGGAGGUCGAGCCCACUCACAAUACCAGGGCCCGCAGGGAGAUAGCCGCUCAACCAUCUAAGGCCGUCUGCUCGGGAGAUAACCGCUCGACCCAUGUAUGACAACUCUAGAGCUCACUGUUUGUGGUGUCGCAACCACCAAUAUGCCAAACAGACAAUGUCAGUACCAUCCAGUCCUCUUAUCUCGAGGACACCCUACUGACCAGGCUAACAACAUCAGGGGAUCUAUGUCACGCCCCGCGACCGCCAAUUUGGUCGGUUCGGGUACGUCCACAAACGCCGGACGGACAACACCUCUCCUGUCCACCCAAGGCUCCACACAAGUAUCAACAUGUAUAACAAUUUGCGCAAUGAACAUCUAGAUAUACAUGGCUUGCACGAGGGCAAGCAACAACCCAAAACUGAAAGUACUUGCAAGGACUGAGAAUUUGACUGUGUAGCUAAACUCUGUGUUGACGAUGUUUUUGUAUGUAAUUUAAUUACAUAAACACUCGUCAAGUUUCAGGAGAAAACGAGUUAUGAUGGAGAAGUUACGCGACCUAUACUAAUCACUUAAAGUGAAUAGUAACUCCGAUUUUUCGGAGAAGCUAAUCAGUGGAGAUGGCUUCUGGUGCGUAUUGGACUCUGUUCAUAGCAAUCCAGUAGCUCAUUUUUAAUGUUCGGACUAUUCUGAAACCAUUGGCACUGGCGGCUUUUAGAUCUGACACACGAUUUUUGAGAAAACUAUAAAUACAUGUAUUCUAUGUAUUUGUGCGUAGUUGUGCCUUUUGGAGAGGAUGAGUUUCAUCGAAAAUCGGCGACCAAAUCGGAUGAAACAAAAUUGUAGAUUCGAUGCCCCAGUUGUGCUAAACGUGCUGGCGCUAUCCGAUCGGAAAUCCAACAGACGGAUCUCCGAAAAUUGUGAGAUGUUCGCUGAGGGGUCGAAAUUGGCAAAACGGAAAAUCUGCGAGUAAGUCCAAUAUUUUAUGUACUAUUUUGGGUGAUUUCGAACGUCGAGGUGCUUGUGCACAAGUUACACUCUGGCAAGAACUCAGCUGAAAGUAAUCAGCUUUGGGGGAUUUAUCUGUAGAAGUGCACAUGGUAUAUAUGUGGCAGCUAGGGUUUCUAUGCACGAAACCCUAGAUCUAGCCGACCCAGCUCCCCAGCUAUGUCCUAGCCGACAUCAGCAAGUCCCUGCCCUUGCCGUGCGCGCACCCCGGCCAUCGGCGUGCGUCUCCGGCCGUCGAAAAUGGGCAGCAUUGCUUCCCUCUCCACCUUGUAUCCACCAUCUCGGCCGAAAACAACCUUGGGACCAUUCUCAGCCUCGGGCCACCUCCCCUAGCCGCAGUCGUGGUCUCCGGUGCCAUCCCCGCCUGGACGCGUUGUGCCCGAGAUUGGUCAACUCGGGUGGAGCUCAAGCUAGCCCUUAACCUGGGGGCUACCGCCGCCUAGGGUCGGCUGCGCCGCCUACCCCGACCUCCGGCGACCGGUUGUCGUCGCCCGGUGUUACCCAGACCGCCGUGUCCUCGCCAUGUGCCGCACCGGCCACCCUUGCAUAGAUGCGGGCUGGCGCGGCCGAACGCGGGUGUGCCGCUUCUCCUGCCCCCGGUCGCCGUCCCUGAUGCCUCCCCUUGGUCUCUGAGGAGGCCGCGCUCCUUCCCUAGCCACUCCGGUCGCAACCGUGGCCGGAGAGACUCGUCGAGCUCGAGUCAAGCCCGUACGGGCUCAGGAUGCCCAGCGCCGCCGCUGCCGCAUUCCGCCGCCGGCCGGCGUGAGCGCCGGCCCUCCCUAGCUGUCUGCACUCAUCUGCCGCCGGCGCCCCGCCACCGGAGCUCCUCGUCGGCCGGACCUGGGCCGUGCUCUCCAUAGGUGGCUGCGGCUAGGGCAUCAUUGCCCGCCGCCUUCGUCGCCGACCAAUGGACGCCCUGGCCUCCCUACGUCGCCUACGCUUGCCUGCCGCCGAUGCGCCCGCCGUCCCACCGCCGCCGGCCUUCCCAUGCCCUGCCUUGCUCCAGUAAUGCAGUUUGUUAUUUCCUGCACCUUGUUUCGGGUUUCGAUCGCCAUUCCGGCGAUCCGAGGACACCCCGACACUCCUAGAAGUGAGCACGAUGAUCCCUGAUUCAUGCUGAACAUCGUGCUCACCUCCGUUGGGGUCAGUAAUUCUCCGGUUUGCGUGUUAAAUGCUGUUUAGGCGCUAUACGCGCCGUUUUGCUAAAAUUCGCGUCGCUCACACGCUUGCCACAGUGGCUGGCCGUGCUCCAAAGUGUGAGCACGGCCUCCAGCACAUCGAGACCUAUCAACGAUUGUCACAGCCUAGCUAGAAUGUCCUCGGUUUGCGCUGUCGGGUCGUAAAACCCCAAAAAUCAUAUAAAAUAAUGUGAUUUUGUGUAGUUGCAGGGUUUUUAUGUAGUGUUACACGGUGCGGGUGCUGUUGGCAGCGUGUACGGGCAUCGGGUGACCUCUGGACUGGUUGUCCAAGGCCCCAAGCCUUUUUGGAAAUCGGAUGUUGAUUUCCAGUGCGUUUUUCGGCGAAAUCCGCCAACGGAACGUGUUUUCGGUUCGAAAUUAUUCCGACGGUGCCUCAUGGUAGAUCAUGUUGUCACUGAGCCUUGUUGGCUGGUCCCCACGUCAUUUCGAGUGUUCGAAAACGACGGGUGAGCGACGGUGGGUUCCGGUGUCGAAUUAGACACUUUCGGGAACCCGGAUCGGAACGAUUAUCCAACGAUAAUCGUUUAAAAGUGAGGUGGUGUGUUUGCUGCCAAGUCGCACGAAUAAUUGUGUUUAGUGGCAGCGGGUGACUCGUGGCAUGAGUCGGUGAGUUCCGAGACAGUUCAUGGGUCCCAGCGGAGUCCCGGUGCGAGUUUCGGGACUUCCGGCGAGUUACGGCAAUCGGUUUUGGGAAACCGAUUUUCGUGGGUUUACUAGUGGGGAAUGUGAGUUUGUGUUUCGUAUAUGUGGGUUGGAUACUAACCCGGUGGACCCUUCAUAGGUCCGGUUGACUUUCUUCCGCAGUCGGGAGAUCAGUGCUACGUACGUACAGGUGGGUACUUCGACCGGAAGUCGGUACAGUGGUGCACGCUCGUUGACAUUCCCUUCAUUCUUUCCUUGUUGUUUAUCUUGCAUAUUAUAUGGUGAGCUUAGCACCUAUACCAUGUUUCUUUAUUGCUCUACUUAGAUGUUUUGCUUAUCCUGUAUCAUGUUUAGAAGUAGAACGGUUUUGUGAUUAUUUGUGAGAUUGAUGACCUAGUCGAUCAAUGUGUUGCAUCUGGUAUUGUGACCUAGUUGGUCGGUUCUUGUAUCUCGUAUCUGUGACCUAUUCGGUCAGCUUAUUGCAUUGUUAUCGAGACCUGCUUGGUCGGUUGGACUAUUUGAUGACCUAUACGGUCGGUAUAUCCUGAGGGGUAGAAUUGUCGGCUGGUUGCCGACGGUUGACUAUUGAGCAUAUUAGCAUUGAUCGCCCGAUACUCGUACGUAUUUCACGAACACCAGCGGUCUGAUCCACCGUAAGAGGGUGUUCUUUUUCGGAAAAGUGGUUUGGUGGUGCCAACCCGUGAGCCCACAGGCUACCUUAGGUUAUAUCCAGGUAGAGUCACAGCUUGUGGACUGUGGUGCAGACCAACGGGGCACAGUUUGAGGUCUGCGGUGCGGACUAACCGGGCACAGCUUGAGGUCUACGGUGCUGACCAACAGAGCACAGGUUUCAGAUUGAGUAUUUUUGGACUUCUCAUCCCGUUGAUGUAUACAUACAGUAGCGGUAGUGUGACUUACUGGACCUUCGCAAAUUGCGAGGUUCGAGUGUUUGGACUGUGUCCCGAGUUUUUCCAGACUUUCUGGUGGGUCGUUGACAGUGUUCCGACCUAUGGCUCGCAUCCCGAGAAUUGUAGUAUUUUAUGUAGCGCUAAGGUCACCAAAAAGUUGGACUUAGCCUACCCUCGGAUUGCAUUCUGCACAAGAUGUACCGGUACACCCUUGANCUACCCUCACCUUUUUCAGGUGGAGUCUUGAGGUAAGUCUCAUUUCGAGUUUCGCGGACGAAAUUCCUUUUUAGAAGGGGUGAAUGUAAUACACUGGAUCUUAGCAAAUGGCAAGAUUCGAGUGUUUGAUCUGUGUGUGGAGCCUUUCCACAGUUUUUGGAGGGUCCUUGAUAGUGUUCCGACCCCUGUCGCGCUUCCCGAGGAUGUUGGAGUGAGACUUGGCACCAAAAUUCCAAAAUUGGAAUUUAUGGUCAGCUCUCGGAUAGCCUGCAGCAGGGCUUGUACCGGAACAAGACUGGUCUUGUACCGGUACAAGGGUUGAUGGUUGUACCGGUACAUCCAUCGGGCUUGUACCGGUACAGAGCCGCAGACCGCGCGACCCGAGCCUCGGGUUUGCAAUUUCGUCGGCCUUGUACCGGUACAAGAGCCCGUGUACCGGUACAAGGAGGCAGAUUUCGUGCAGUUUGGUCUGCAGGGGGUUUUUCGCGAUUGUGGGCUUUUUAUAACAGCACCCACGCCCCUUAGGGCUUUUUUUGUGCUGGAACCAGAGGAGAGGAAGGUGAGUGAAGCUCCACCUUGUCCCAUUUGAUUUUGAUCUCCAUUUUGCUUGGUUUUUGAUGGAUUUUCUUCUCUUUUGCCCUUUGGUGCCAUUUCCACCAUGGAUGAAGCCUCAAGCUUGGAUUUGGAGCUAAGUGGAGGAUAGAUCUUGGGAUUUAAAGGAUUUAGAGCUUGAUUUGAAGCUUCUAAGAGGUAAGCAUUAUAUUAUCUUCCUCUAGAUUUGAAUUUUAUUGGAUUUCUUGAGAUGAAACCCUAGAUUGUGAUAUUAGGGUUUAUUUUGGGUAUUUUGAAUCUAGGGCUUUUGAAGCUAGAUUGAGUGGAUUAGAGGCUUCCAUUAGGUUGGAUUGGAUGAGCCCUAGCUUCAUUUUGGAGCUUUAGAGGAGAUUUUUGCACUAGAGGUGAGUUUUCCUCACCUAUGAUUGAUUAGCUUAAUGUUUGAGCUAGGUAUUGUUCGUUCGGCUCGUAUGACUCAUGUUCUUGUACCUCUAGGGUACUAGGAGACUAGAGGACACCCUCGUUGGAGCGCACGAGGAGUUUCGUUGUCAUCGGUGGGUUUGGCUUCGUGGAAAUGGGGCGAAAUGGCCCCUAUGCUCUUUCUACUUGUUGUAAAUUAUUUUUAAGUUCAUUUCUAUGCUAAAUGGAAUUUAUAUGAAUUUUAGAGCACUUAAAAUGCAUGCCUCGUGUAUUAUGAAAAUUUCACUAUAUAGUAGAGCUAUAUGAGUAGAAUGCAUGCAUACGGGAAAAGUGUUUAUUUUGCAAGUGAAAAAUACAUCUCUUAUGAGAAUUAUGACUUGGAAUAUGUACUUUGGAACAUAGUUACCAUGUUUUGACAUAGAGAACCAGAGUGUCAUAAAGGGGCACUUGAAACUAGUAAACUAUGAAACUGCAACAUAGAGACAUAUUGGUAGGCCACUACAUAUCUGCUAUAUUCCAUGUUAGAGACAUGACGACAUAGAGAUAGGCCAUCGUGAUACUUGACAUAUUCCAUGUUUUAGACAUGAGGACUUGGUACUUGAGACAGAUCAUUGCUUGCUUGCCAUUUGUGCUCAUUCGCACAUGCUUGUGAGGGUCGCUCCCUACAAGCCGGCACUCCGGAGAUAGCCAUCGCGACACAUGCUCGCCGUGCGGGAUUGGGCGCCGAAGUGGAUUGCCGUGGGGGAGGCUCAUCCCUAGAGUGGGGAUGUUGACUACCACGGGGCCAUUAGGCACGGCGCAGGCCAGACAGCCUUCGGGUGGGUCUUAUAUGAUUGGGACUUAGUGACAGAUCAUGCAAUGUGAACUUUAAAACUAUUAAAGUGGACUUGGACUAGAAUAGUAAACGACGACAUUUUUACUAUCUUUGCAUUGAGGACAUUGGAUUGGUUGCAUUUCUACGCUUAUGCAUGUCUUACACAUCCAUGUACAUUCAUGUUAUAGUUGAUUUAUUACUUAUGCAAAUCAUGCUAAGUGGAGACUCUAUGUUAUAGUAAGUUAUAUUUCACUUACCGUUUAAUUAUUACAUUGUUAGUCACUGACCUCUUCUUGUAGCUUUUGGGCCUUGUGGCGCAGUUCACUGAAGUCAGUAAUUGCCCACUGGGAACUAUUUUUAAUAGUUCUCACGCCCCUGUUUUCUGGUUUUCUUUUCAGAGCCUUCGGCACCGGCGGAGGCACGGGAUCGCGGCAAGGGGAUCGCUUAGCUAGCUAGCGAGGAGCGGUUCUUGCUUAGGUGGUUUGCUCUUUCUUUUUGUAGUUGGGAGAGUGAGAGAUUUUGUAUCCAUGUGUAGAGACCACCUAUGUACCUACUUUUAGCACUUGUAUUUGGGAUUUUCUAUUGUAUUUACUUUAUGUUUUAUUUAGUGGAUUUACAGCUUUAUCCUUAUCCCUGGUUGUAGUAUUUAGACAUUUAUCAUGCUCUGAUACUCCUAGAUGCCUCUUAUUAUUGCUUUUAUUACUGUUGUUUUUAGACGCCUUAUAUGUUUUAGACGUAUGGCGGGUCUGGGCACGUGCCGAGCGGGCUUCCGCUGGGUCCCGGCGCGUGACAUGGAAUGCCGUGGGGGAGGCUCAUUCCUAGAGUGGGGAUGUUGACUACCACGGGGCCAUUAGGCACGGCGCAGGCCGGACUACCCACGGGUAGGUCCUACAAGAUUGAAAUAUUGGUGACUUAGUAUACCGAGUGGACAUUGACUAGAAUAGUAAACAAUGACAUUUUACUAUUUAAUUUGUGGACAUUAUGUUAGUCGUGCUCUUGGACAUUCAUGUUACAGCAGCUUUAUUACUUAUGCAAAUUCAUGCUAAGUAGAGAUAUCAUGUUAUAACAAGCUUUCAUGUUAGUAGCUUAUGGUUUAUUUCAUAUUUGUACUUACCCUUUUUCAGUUUUUGGGCCUAGUGGCGCAUUUCACUGAAGUGAGUAAUCGCCCACUGGGAACUAUUAUUUAAUAGUUCUCACGCCCCUAUUUUCUGAUUUCCUUUCAGAGCCUUCAGCACCGAUAGAGGCGCGGGAUCGCGGCAAGGGGGUCGCGUAGCUAGAUCGCGGAGCUUGCUUUUGCUCCUAGGUGGUUUACUCUCUUUUUGUGUUUUGGUGAGGGAGAGUUUUGUUACCAUGUAUAGAGACCACCUCUAUUGUACUUUUGGCUCUUGUAUUUGGAUUUUGUUGUACUACUUUAUGGUUCCUCCUUAGUGGAUUUUAACCGUUUGUUUAUUUCUCUAUUGUAGAAUCUAGUUGUACUUUGCUCUGAUUCUUCUAGAUGUCUUUCUACUAUUGCUUUAUUUACCAUUUUAUUCUAGACGCCUUAUAUGUUUUAGAUGUAUGGUGGGUCUGGACACGUGCCGGGCGGGCUUCCGCUAGGCCCCGGGGCGUGACACUCACACUAUUUUUAUUUAUUUUUACUUUUAUACCAAAAUCUGGUAUGUUACAUCAAGCAUGGUUUUGAUAGAGACUUAAUUAAAGUAAAUGACAAAUAUUAAAAAUCUAAUUAUCUAUACCUCUAUACCUAUAUAUUAAUUUUCAAAAGAAAUGCCACAUAGUUGUAUUUUCUUUUCUUUUGGACUUCACAUUGCAAAACCAAUCCUUUAUCUUCUCUCUACCCAUAACGUCUAAUUAAUGGUUCACCCACCUUAAUCCAACCUUUCGCCUUUCCUCCUCACAUAAUGUGUAAUUAAUGGUCCAUCCACCUUAACCCAAUCCUUCGCUUUCUCUCAGCACAUAACGUCUAAUUAAUAGUCCACCCACCUUACCCCUAUUGUAAACCAUAAAUCGUAGAAACCCACACAAAAAGCCCCCUUCUCUCAUUCUUUGCUUUCUCUUUCUCCUCCAUGGGCUCUGUAAGGUACCGAACUUCUAAAAUUAUGAAGUUACGGCGGAUGUAGUAUACUGAAUUUUUAAUAUAAAAAUAAAUAUAAAUAAAAAUAGUGUGAGAUACUAUUUUUAUUGGAUUUAAGGGUGUAAAGUAUAAGUUGAAAAUGACCUGUGCUGAAAUCGGAGCGAAAACAGAAGAUUUAGAAUUUUCUGUGAGAGACGGGGCAGAUAAAUUAGCAGAAAAUGCACAGUGUCAGAAAAUUAUAAAAACUGGAGNNNNNNNNNNNNNNNNNNNNNNNNNNNNNNNNNNNNNNNNNNNNNNNNNNNNNNNNNNNNNNNNNNNNNNNNNNNNNNNNNNNNNNNNNNNNNNNNNNNNUGGUAAUUGGCUCUGAUACCAUCUGUGACGCCCCAACUUCCCAGGGGGUCACCCAUCCUAGGACUACUCCCGUCCUAGCACGCUUAACUCUCUUAACCUCUUGGGUCUAGCCACCACCCAAAAUGCUUAAGCCAGGUUAAGAGUUUAGCCCUAUUAUAUCUUAUAUAUAGGACUAUCUGGGGUCUCACAACCCCAAUAUUCUAUCACCAGUUAACAAUGCCAAAAUACAGAUUUUGCAUUUUGCAAUGCACUUUUGCUCUUCCGGCCACUUGUGCUCGAGUAACUUGUCGAAACCGCUCGAUAAUCCUUCAAAAAAAUGUAGAAUAGUUUCAAUUACCAUUCCAACACUCGGAACUUCUCAACUUGCCAAAGUUCAGUGUACUACAACACUAGCGCACGAAGAUUCUUCCAGUGGGAGAGGAACAUGACACAUGCACCCGCGGCCAAGAAUCUUCCAUAGUCACAAGCCUCGAAGUUCUUGCAGUGGGAGAGGAACAUGCCGCAUGCACCCACGGACAAGAAUUAUCGAUGAUCACAAGUUCUGGAAUUCCAGAAUCCACUUUCCAAGUCUUAAGGGUUGGUCACAUACCCUAUGUUGUCAACCUCUCUAGGUUCAAGUUACAAGUCCAAGUGGUCAUCCUACUACUAUAAUUCAUAACCUAUGUUCAACCACACUAGGUCCUAUAUCUUUCCCACCUAGAUUUACUCGACUCUAGGUUCGAUGUCUAACCUAUGUUCAAUGACACUACGUUCAAUGUCCUGUCAUGUUAUUUAUUAUCCUAGUUGUCCACACUUAGAAUUCAUGACAUCUAGUUCUUGUUUCCAAUUGUCGACUUCUGUAAUCUUCCUAGAUUUCAUCAACCUAUGUUCAAUAACCAUGCCUAGGCAUAUAUAUAUAUAUAUAUAUAUAUAUAUAUAUAUAUAUAUAUAUAUAUAGUCCGGUCUACUAUACUCUUAUAAGUACGAUCGCCCUCGUACUCAUAAGUCGUUUUCGAUGAUAGAGCUUCCGAAUCGACGAUCUAUACCGUUAAACAUUAUCUAGAGCAUUUAAAACUUUUAGAAAUCAAAUUUUAUAAUUUUUUGACACCAUUUACCUUACGAUCAAAAGGUCACAAAAUUGUCAAUUUUUAACGGCCGGUAAUGGAUACUUGUUAGUUUAACGGUGUCAAAGAAUCGAAAUCGGUUGAAUUUUUGAUAGAAAAUUCUAUUCACUACCAAGAUAAAGAUCAAUAACUCCGAUCUUAAAUUGAAGGAUCCGAUCAUCUAUUUUUAGGAUAUCCUUCGAUUUUGAAGCAAGGAUUGGUGGAUGUAAUACACUGAUUUUUAGGAUGGGUGAAUGUAAUACACUGAUUUUUUGCAAAUUGCGGAGUUCGAGUGUGUGGCAGGAGUUGUGGAACUAUCCCACAUGUUUUAAAAGGCUUGGACACAUUUUGGGACAAGUUAGAGAGUGAUCGGAUUGCCGGAGACGAGAAAGUGCAUUGAAAUUGCGAAAUUGGCAUUUUCUGCAUUGGUGUACCGGUACAAGCUUAAUGUUGUAGCGGUACAGCAAGCAGCUGAGGCAGCUGGUGCGUGGCAGCAGGGUUUUUUUGGUCUUUUGGCAUCUGAUCUUAUCCCUACAGCUACCUGGUCGACCCCUGAAGUUGCUGGAAGGCCUUAGAACUCAGAGCAAGCUUCUUCCCUUUUUCCCUCUUUCUCUCUCUAGGGUUUUUCUCUCUCUAGGUAAAAUUCGCCGUUUCGUGCCGAUUUCGCACCGUCCGUGUUGCUCGCUGGUUUGGAGACUCAAGGGCAGUGCCUGGAGCGUGGGGAGAGGGAAGUUUGCUGAGUUUUCUGUGAGGUUACAUCUGGGAAGUCUAUUUUGAAAGCUUAGAGAGGUAAUUAACUUUGAUUUUCUCUAGAGUAUUGCGUUUAGCGGCGAAUUUUGAGCUAUUUUGGUAUUGUCGGUGUCUAAAUGAAUUAGAUGAGUUACAGCAGUGAAAGGGUUAUUUUGCUAUAAUUUCCACGCUAACCGAGAGAACAGUUGAUUAAAAGCUAUUAAGGAUAAUUGAGUGAAUUUACAAAUUUUGGACUUAUAUACGGGUUAAUCGCGUAAUGACGACGUUUUGUAUAUUCUCUCGAGGCAGGUUUUUGAGCCUUUGAGGCUAACGUGUACUCUUGGAGCUGGUUUGGAGAGUAUCUAAUAAGGGUAUUGAAAGUUUCAGUUUUAAACUGAUUUUGCAAGAUUCAUGAAUAUUAAUCUAAUAUUUGAGAGUUUUGAUGGCUGUUUCGACGUGUUUGCAGAGAGAAGUCGCCUGAGCUAGAGCACCUUUAUGGACUGUGUGAGAGCUUGGAGACAUUUUAGGUAUUAAUUACCCAAGCAGGAUUCAAAGCUACUACUGUGUACUAGUGGCAAAUUGUGAUGAGGAUCGGACAUUUCCGAUGUAGUAUUAGACCACUUUCAGUGCUGUUGUAAGCAGAUUUGAGACCCGUUGGGACGUACUUUGGAUUUUCUUUGACUGAUGAGCCUAGUAUAGUGGGUUUGAAUAACCAGAGCAAGUGAAGGUGCCACCCUAUGUUUAUAUUUUUGUAUUUAUAACAGCGCGUUUAAUUAUAGGCUAUGUAUUGUUAAGGGCUCGGAAUUAGUCAUCAUGACGUUUAUCAUAUUUGAAAUUAGCGAUUCAUGCAUAAAUACUUCAUCUUUAAAGUAGUUUGAUUUAGUUCAGUAGGAAAAUCGGAGAUCAGUUUUAUGUUUCUAUGAUAUAGAGAACAUAUAUAUUAACCUGAAAGUUCUCUAUUUCAUAUUCAAUACAGANNNNNNNNNNNNNNNNNNNNNNNNNNNNNNNNNNNNNNNNNNNNNNNNNNNNNNNNNNNNNNNNNNNNNNNNNNNNNNNNNNNNNNNNNNNNNNNNNNNNNNNNNNNNNNNNNNNNNNNNNNNNNNNNNNNNNNNNNNNNNNNNNNNNNNNNNNNNNNNNNNNNNNNNNNNNNNNNNNNNNNNNNNNNNNNNNNNNNNNNNNNNNNNNNNNNNNNNNNNNNNNNNNNNNNNNNNNNNNNNNNNNNNNNNNNNNNNNNNNNNNNNNNNNNNNNNNNNNNNNNNNNNNNNNNNNNNNNNNNNNNNNNNNNNNNNNNNNNNNNNNNNNNNNNNNNNNNNNNNNNNNNNNNNNNNNNNNNNNNNNNNNNNNNNNNNNNNNNNNNNNNNNNNNNNNNNNNNNNNNNNNNNNNNNNNNNNNNNNNNNNNNNNNNNNNNNNNNNNNNNNNNNNNNNNNNNNNNNNNNNNNNNNNNNNNNNNNNNNNNNNNNNNNNNNNNNNNNNNNNNNNNNNNNNNNNNNNNNNNNNNNNNNNNNNNNNNNNNNNNNNNNNNNNNNNNNNNNNNNNNNNNNNNNNNNNNNNNNNNNNNNNNNNNNNNNNNNNNNNNNNNNNNNNNNNNNNNNNNNNNNNNNNNNNNNNNNNNNNNNNNNNNNNNNNNNNNNNNNNNNNNNNNNNNNNNNNNNNNNNNNNNNNNNNNNNNNNNNNNNNNNNNNNNNNNNNNNNNNNNNNNNNNNNNNNNNNNNNNNNNNNNNNNNNNNNNNNNNNNNNNNNNNNNNNNNNNNNNNNNNNNNNNNNNNNNNNNNNNNNNNNNNNNNNNNNNNNNNNNNNNNNNNNNNNNNNNNNNNNNNNNNNNNNNNNNNNNNNNNNNNNNNNNNNNNNNNNNNNNNNNNNNNNNNNNNNNNNNNNNNNNNNNNNNNNNNNNNNNNNNNNNNNNNNNNNNNNNNNNNNNNNNNNNNNNNNNNNNNNNNNNNNNNNNNNNNNNNNNNNNNNNNNNNNNNNNNNNNNNNNNNNNNNNNNNNNNNNNNNNNNNNNNNNNNNNNNNNNNNNNNNNNNNNNNNNNNNNNNNNNNNNNNNNNNNNNNNNNNNNNNNNNNNNNNNNNNNNNNNNNNNNNNNNNNNNNNNNNNNNNNNNNNNNNNNNNNNNNNNNNNNNNNNNNNNNNNNNNNNNNNNNNNNNNNNNNNNNNNNNNNNNNNNNNNNNNNNNNNNNNNNNNNNNNNNNNNNNNNNNNNNNNNNNNNNNNNNNNNNNNNNNNNNNNNNNNNNNNNNNNNNNNNNNNNNNNNNNNNNNNNNNNNNNNNNNNNNNNNNNNNNNNNNNNNNNNNNNNNNNNNNNNNNNNNNNNNNNNNNNNNNNNNNNNNNNNNNNNNNNNNNNNNNNNNNNNNNNNNNNNNNNNNNNNNNNNNNNNNNNNNNNNNNNNNNNNNNNNNNNNNNNNNNNNNNNNNNNNNNNNNNNNNNNNNNNNNNNNNNNNNNNNNNNNNNNNNNNNNNNNNNNNNNNNNNNNNNNNNNNNNNNNNNNNNNNNNNNNNNNNNNNNNNNNNNNNNNNNNNNNNNNNNNNNNNNNNNNNNNNNNNNNNNNNNNNNNNNNNNNNNNNNNNNNNNNNNNNNNNNNNNNNNNNNNNNNNNNNNNNNNNNNNNNNNNNNNNNNNNNNNNNNNNNNNNNNNNNNNNNNNNNNNNNNNNNNNNNNNNNNNNNNNNNNNNNNNNNNNNNNNNNNNNNNNNNNNNNNNNNNNNNNNNNNNNNNNNNNNNNNNNNNNNNNNNNNNNNNNNNNNNNNNNNNNNNNNNNNNNNNNNNNNNNNNNNNNNNNNNNNNNNNNNNNNNNNNNNNNNNNNNNNNNNNNNNNNNNNNNNNNNNNNNNNNNNNNNNNNNNNNNNNNNNNNNNNNNNNNNNNNNNNNNNNNNNNNNNNNNNNNNNNNNNNNNNNNNNNNNNNNNNNNNNNNNNNNNNNNNNNNNNNNNNNNNNNNNNNNNNNNNNNNNNNNNNNNNNNNNNNNNNNNNNNNNNNNNNNNNNNNNNNNNNNNNNNNNNNNNNNNNNNNNNNNNNNNNNNNNNNNNNNNNNNNNNNNNNNNNNNNNNNNNNNNNNNNNNNNNNNNNNNNNNNNNNNNNNNNNNNNNNNNNNNNNNNNNNNNNNNNNNNNNNNNNNNNNNNNNNNNNNNNNNNNNNNNNNNNNNNNNNNNNNNNNNNNNNNNNNNNNNNNNNNNNNNNNNNNNNNNNNNNNNNNNNNNNNNNNNNNNNNNNNNNNNNNNNNNNNNNNNNNNNNNNNNNNNNNNNNNNNNNNNNNNNNNNNNNNNNNNNNNNNNNNNNNNNNNNNNNNNNNNNNNNNNNNNNNNNNNNNNNNNNNNNNNNNNNNNNNNNNNNNNNNNNNNNNNNNNNNNNNNNNNNNNNNNNNNNNNNNNNNNNNNNNNNNNNNNNNNNNNNNNNNNNNNNNNNNNNNNNNNNNNNNNNNNNNNNNNNNNNNNNNNNNNNNNNNNNNNNNNNNNNNNNNNNNNNNNNNNNNNNNNNNNNNNNNNNNNNNNNNNNNNNNAAAGAGUAGUAAAUGGCAUGAAAGUCAUUCGAUCCUUUUGCUCUUCUGGUAGUACAUAGAAGGCACCUAUCCUCGGUAUACAAAUCUACCAUACUCGGUCGCAUUGCUCGCGCAGCUUUGCAUUCGCGCGCCCGGCACGUGCCGGUUCAGCCGAACUCUUUGCGCGACAAACCUACGAACGGGCCACCAUUCCAACGAUCGUCUAUUCUGGAGUUUAUUCACGACACAAUGCCCCGAUCGUUUCGAUAUUUUUGGAGGUUUUCCGUGCUGGGCGGCAUCUGUACGCAAAACAGCCGUUCGUCAAAAGCUCGACUCGGUAUCGUCUGAAGCCGAGCGUACCACGAGUUCGUUGAUCCACAAUUAGUGUUUACAGAGGGUUAAAUGAGUAAACCCAUCCAUCUACUAAAAUCUCAUUUUUGAGCCCUAGUGUUGCGACUACGGCAAAUCCGCCAUUCGCAGAUCUAGAUUCAGCAUUAAACAUCUAUUACUUGCUAGAAACUAAUCAACCAUUAUUAGAGCAUUAAGGAUCAAACAUAGAGAUUACAUUGGACGGGUUGAAGCUUAUUGCUAAGAUUGCUCUAUAUGGUGAGAGAAGAAAAGAUGAUGUUGGUGAUCGAUGAUCCACUCUUCUCCUCCAAUUCUUCUUCUUCCUUCUUCUGCCUUUCUCUUCUCUCUCACUUUCUGCUUUACGUUAGAGAGAGGAGAGAGUCUGUUGGGGUGAGGGAGAAGAGAGAAAUGGGCUAAAACCCACUUCUAUACACUCUAAUAAGUGCAAAAUUGCACUUAAGCCCCUCAACAAGCCUCUUCUUGCAACAGCCCGAACUGGGCAUUUUCGGGGUUCGGGGACCGGUCUCUGCAUGAGGGACCGGUCUCUGGGAGACCGGUCUCUCUGCCUGGGACCGGUCCCAGAGAGACCUCCAGCCCAGACUUAGCCAAUUUUCAGCUUCGUCCGUUUUCGCUCCGUUUUCGCUCGUUUUCAUUCGUUUGACCUCCGAUUCGUCUCAAAUCGAACCGAGACUCUCGAAAUAUGUUCUCGAGCAUGUUUUCAUCAUCUUUUCAUCCACACUAAUGCUGGAUUUAGCUCACGGCCCAACAUAGCCUUUCGGGUCCCGUUUCCGCGCCUAUGCGUACCGAAACGCUCGAUUGCUCCCGAACCUCACCGAACUUCACCAGAACCAUUCAAAUGGCUUUCUAACCUCAUAUAAACCAUAACUUCAUGAUUUUAGAAGUCCGGUACCUUACACUGUCAGGCUGAGUACUGGUACUCGGGUUGGCAUACUGGUACUCGGGCAUCCAGUACCGGUACCCGGCUUCAAGUACCUCAAAACCCGAGACCCUAAUUUCCAAUAUUUACAUUGCGUACCGGUAUCCGAUCCCGAGUACCGAUGCCUAAUACAAAUUCCACAAAUUUAGUUCCAGUACCUGAGCCUCGGUACCUCAAUACCCGAGAGCAUGUUUUCCACCCUUUGCAUUGCGUACCGGUACUCACUUCCAAGUACCGGUACUCAAUACAAAAUCUGCCACUUAGGCAGAUUUUAGCCUUCCGAGUCCGUUUUCGCGUCCAAUUUGCACUGAAACACUCGAAUGCUCUCCAGACCUUGCCGGAACUUAUUUAAUUAGCUUUUUAAGCUAAUUCCCACCGAAACUUCAUAAUUGUAGAAGUUCGGUAUGUUACAUGGGGUAACUCUAGAAUCUAUCUAGAUACUAUCAAACACCUACAGUGGGGGUGAAUAUGUGUAUAUGCCAAACACAAAUCUCUAUGGGAUAAAAGUCAAUGCGGAAAAUUAAAUAGCACAUCGAGAUUCACAUAGGAAAACUCCAAUUUGGAGAAAAAUCCACGGUACCAACAAGUGAAAAACUAAUCCACUAAGAGUAAAAGAUUAUAAGGUGAUUACCAACUCCACGGACUCGACCUCUAUUUUACCUUCUACGGAUCUCGCGCACGUCACUGGGUUGUCCACACCCCACGUCCGAAUCCUCAGACGUCACGCCCUACGUCCGAAUCCACGGACGCCACUCGAAUCCUCGAGCACUCACGAUUCGAAUCCAUGAAUCGCCUUGAUCACGCCGAAUCCACGAUGCCGCUCAUAAAGUGUAAAUUCAUGUUUCUAUGGUGAUCCUCUACUUAGAGUGUCAUUGAAGAACCAGAGAAAAGUCCCUAAGCGAAACUUAGAUCAAUUCGACAUAUAUAUAUUGAAUUCCAAUAUCUCGAAUUGACCUAAAAAGGCUAUCGGGUGGAAAAAGGUUUAGAAUGAAAAGCCUAACCUCUAGGGUUACUCUCUCAUGAAUUUCGAGUGCUUCCACGUCAUAAAGAACUCUACUAUUGUAUUUAUAGACUUUAGAAUCAAUUAGAAUCGGAUUAGAGUCAUAUUAGAAAACCUGUACACUGAGUAUCGGUACUCGAAUGUGGGUACCGGUACACCAUGACGCAACAGGAGUUUCCUAAUGCUGAGUACUGGUACUCGGCCGAUGCAAUACCGGUACUCGGUCGAUAUAGUCCCGGUACUGAAAUAUGGUAUUGAUACACAAUUUAAUUUGCAGAAUUGUUGCUCUCGGGUUUUGAGGAACUCAAUAUUGGGUUCCGGUACUCAGUAUAAAACAUUAGGUUUUUCAACCCGGUUUUGAGGAAUUGGAGCCUGGUACCUGAACUCAAUAUAAAAUAUUGUUAUAAAUGAUUCAAAAGUUUCAAAAAUCACUUCUAAUGCACUAAUUAUUACCUAUAUGAUUAUAAUGUCAUAAAUCCAGAUGAAUCACCAUGGGAAACAUCUAAAUCAUACCUGAGCAUCGUGAUUCAACUUGUGAGAUGUUUUUGAGUACUUCUCGGAAGCUUAGAUUUUUCAACCGUUGACAAUACUUACCGAACCCUUCAAGACUCCGGCUCAAAUCACGAAACUUGCCAAUACAAAAUCCCUAACAUUAGGUGCUCUCUCUCCACCAACCCGCUCUGCUCCCUCACCUCGAUGAAACCCUAAAGCCACGUAUUCUCUCAUCUCUUCUCUCUCCUCAUUCUCACCAACUUUCUCUCGUCGCGCUCAACCCACUCUCAACCUGCUCUCUUGCGAGGAUGACGAUGAGGACGAGGAGGAGAUGAUUGCGGUAUCUUGGGUUUCGUUCUCUCAUCCUCUCUUCAUUCUUUCUUACUCUCUCACACUCUUUUUCCCUCCCCUUGUUUUGUUUUAGUCUGAAUCGCGCUCGACCCUUUAGGGCAAAGAGGACAACAAGGUCAAGAAGGAGGUGGUUGUCACGCCCCAGCUCGGAAGCUAAAUCUAUGUGCACGCAAAGACCUGCCACCUAGAUAGAGUUGCCUAUACGUGCAGGGCGUCGGAGAACAGAACACUUGUAACAGAGUUGCCUAUUACAAUCUUUUGUAUACGUGAGAAGGCAGUUCCUUUCAUAAACUAAUUAUAUCUGUUUUAUUGUUGCUCUAUUUCUUAAUCAAGCCCUUCGUUUAGUCAAUUUGAUCGAUCUAUGGAAUAAGGUGAUUUAAAUUAUGAUUGUAGUUGGUCAAUCUCUCUACUGAUCGAUUUAUUUCAAAUUGUGGUCUAUUACAUUUCGGAUUUGGGGCGUGACACUUAGAUGAACUUUUUUUUUUUUCGCUUCUCUCAUAUUUUCCUUUCACUCUUUUAUCCCUUUUUGAAUUUUCGGGUACUAUCAAUUUUAGCCCAGAAAAGGAGAAAACGUCGAUAAAACUAGAAAUGAAGGAACUUUGGACAGAUGGGUUAAAAUGUACACCUAAUCUAAGGAUAUACAGGUGGCAGUGCUGCCCCAAAUAACUACUUGACCGAGUGAAACCUGACUCCCAGCCUAAAAAGCAAGAGAGAGGGAGGGAGAGUGAAAGAAAGAGUAUUCGUAGCGAAUGAAUGAAAUUUCAUUUGCAAUAAACAUAAAUUAAUGUAGAAUUUCUACCAUCAUCAUCAAAUAAUAUCACACUAAUAUGUGAAGCCAACAGGAAGGUUAAAAUUAAAAAAAAAAAGAGCAAAUAUAUAUUUCGUUACCCUUUUCUACCAUUACAUUAUUUUUCAUAAGAAUUUUAUCUGACAUUUGUGAUUCACACCAAGCUCAAUUACCAUACUGAACAUGGUUGGUCUGGCGUCCAGCUGUAGUAUCAUCUGAUAUGUUUCAUUGGCAGUGGAAAGAACUCCAAUGAAGUUGGAAACCCAGCAUGUUUCGUUUGCAGAGGGAAGAACUCCAUGAAGUUGGACUCCCAUGACAUUAAGGUACGCACUAGACGGUUGCAGCAGAUGCCAACACUAAAUUCAUCACCAUAUAACUUGAAUUGUGGGCGAAGAUCAAAUAUCAUCGACCACAGCUACCGCUUGAUAUAUCUCAACCAGAUAAUCUCGCAAGAGCCAAGCCCGCUGCGGUGAAAAGAACGUACAACCCAACAAGGCAGUAUCCCCAGAAUCUUGGUACCCGAAAUCCAUACCAUGUAAUCACCAAUAGCGAGCCCAUCAAGCUGCAAAGGAGGAAUACAAAAGCAACCACAAUCCCAAUGUUGAACUGGAGUUCAUAUGCUUUCGGGUAUACUCUCGCUGUCUGUACCACAAACGCCGUUCCCAGCCCAACCAGCAUGUUAAACAUAGGGCCCGCAAAGCACCCAGCCAUGGCCAUCGCCGGCUGGCCAGCCUUGGCCAACGCCACGUCAGCAACAAGGUCGCCCACCGAGUUCCCCCAUGCCAAGACCGUCAAGCCAAGGAUCGCCGGCGGGAAAUUCAUGAUGCUUCCGAUUGCGGUAAGGCAGUUCAAGAGCUCCCCCGCCAUUGUCGAGAUCCAAAACACACUCAUCAUGAAAGAGAUUAAGGUGAUUGCUACUGUCCACUCUGUCUCUGGGGGUUCUUUCUCGAAAAUGAAGUGAUAUAGUGCGAGACAGAGGCUUACAAAUAGGAUGAUAGACCAGAGUGGAAAGCGGGUACGUGGGAGAAAGAAUACUAUUUGGCUGUCCAAUGCGACGAACGAACUUAACGAAUAUAGAAGAAUGAGAGGGCAUAAGGCAAUGUUAGCUGAGACAUAGAACCUGUUCCAUUCAGCCCGUGAUGACGACGGUAUAGUAAGCUUGAGGAGGACUGUGAUAGGAACUUCCCAAACUUUUGUUAUCUGAGGUGUAACAUGAAGAAGGUUAUUGUCAAUGCAAUCUAACCAUAUGAAAGUACUUCUAUACUAAGCUCUGUAAUGAACAAACUACAAAUUAGUGACAUUGUUUAGUCUUCUGAAUUCACAAAUGUCGAGGCAAAAACAAAGUACAGAUAAUCAUUAAAAUAAUGGACCAAUAACUACUGAUGCACCAUAGAUUCACAUCAUUAAUUGAAAGUAAAGAUGGUUUGGUUAGCUGCUAUUCACAUUGUUAUGAUUUUCAAUGUGAGAACAUACCUGAAUUCAUUCCUAUCAGAAAAAAUUUCAGUGCCUAUGUGCCUGUAGAACUGACUGAUGUUCUCUCUCCUCAACAGCAUUGAAUUAUCAAUACUCUCCUCUGGAGUCCAAAAACCUCUAUCAUGCCUGGGUAGUGGGUAAUGAUUGCAGUCUUAGAAUAGUCUCUAUACUCUCAAACUAACAUCUGAAUCAUCUCCUUGAGGUCUAUCCAGCAGAAACUAUCUGAGAUUUCGUCAUCUGAAGUGCUCGAAAACUAGCAGAUGCUUCACAAAAGAAAUAGCUAGCAAUUUUUGGAAGCAAUGCCAAAUUUCAUAAAAGAAGAAAAGAGGACGACAAAGUCCUGCAUAACUAUUAGCUAGGUUGAAGACCCUUGAAUGUUUAAAAUACAUGACAUAUCAAUCCUUACCUCACAUGGUAUGCAACAACACUGACAGCCUCAUUAGGACAAAUGUUCUCACGAAAUCAAUGGAGUAAAACGACAACACCAGAACAUGGAUAAAAGGCAUCAUCUAGUAUUACAAAAUAUACCAGAAACUGUACAACUUCGUAAUCCUAGAGCUGAAGUAAUAUUAAUCCAUAAAGGCACAAGAAAUGCUGAAGAACUUGGUUAUUAUUUUCACCCCCUCGCCGGUUAUUUGAAGUAGGGCGAGGACUGAAGACUACUUUACCUGUGAUGGCUAACAGGUAAGCCUGGAGCCCGCUACGUUACACUUAAAUUCAAUGCUUUUACCUGGUUAGCUUAUCACAUCUAAUUAGACAUAUCUUUGUAAGAACAUGCACAGCCUACAGAAGGAUUUAAGUAGAAUUAUUUAUGAUUUGAGACUUGGGCAAAGGUUACUCUAAAGAGAAACGAGGGAUGUAUUGCACUACAAAAUUUUAUGUAAUAGAUGAUGAGAGUUCUGAUGCACACCAUGGUCAUGCACUAUUAUACUUGUCCAACAUAAAAAAUUGUAGUAAUACUAAUACAAAUUUUUUUAUUCAAAGUUAUCUAAAUUCUAAGGGAGUAAGAUAUGGGUCAGGGCGAUGCGUACUGUGCCCACUAAUUACAGGGAUGGUCUCUCUUGGCGCCCUUGUGCUGUGAUACCUUCUGAGUAUCACACGAGACAGAGCGAUACCCAGAUGGUAUCGCAGCACGUCCCGUGUGGGCACGCUGUGUUUUUCUUUUUCUUUCGUUUUUUUACUUCUGGCUUCUUUUCUUUUUUUUCCUCCCAUAGGCCUUUAUAUCUUUCUAUUCGAAUUUUUUUUAUAAAUGAUCCUACCAAUUUUUACAAUUGCAAAAAGUCUUUUAAAAAAAUAAUUAUAAAAAUAGACCUCUAAUAUGUUAUAUUGAAUUUUUGAAAAAAUAAAAAAUAUAAGCGGUGAAUGAAUCGUCGCUUUUAAAUGUGGCGAAUCAUUCACUGCUUCCAUAACACCUCUUAAAACCAAUAAAGUUAUUUUAAAGGUGGUGAACCGUUCACCGCCUUUAUUAUUUUCCCCUCCUCUCUCCCAUUCUUUCAUCGUAUAUCCUUUUAAAAGCGGUGAACCAUUCACCGCUUUCAUAAGCCGUAAAUAAUUUGACGAAUGCGGUGAACCAUUCACCGCUUUCACGUAUUUUUUUCUCCCCACCAUGCUGGCACCCACAUAACAAAACAGAGACUACAUUUACAAAUAAAAUUUUGACGGGUCUAAUUUUAGAAUAAAAUUUUUGAAGAAGCCUAGUGUACUAAAAUCUCCUUUCUGCUCUCUUCUCUUCACUUCUACCUUUUCUUCUCUUCUACUCUCUCUUUUUCUUUCUUCUCACAUUUCUUCCACUUUUUUUUCUUUCUAUGUUUUCCUCCCUUUUUUCUCAUGAUUUUUUCUCUAAUUUCUUCUUUUAAUCCCUUCUUCUUUUUUUUUUUUUGAUCACUUCGAUCUUAAAAGAAAAGAAAAGAAAAAGAAAUAGCAAAAUCGAAGAUCUACUUACUAGGUAAGUCAAAAAAUCUACACCUAUUUUUUUUUUCCAUACAUUUAGAAUAUAUUUAACUUGUAAAGUUCUUUUUGUGAGGAAAUAUGAAAUUAUGCAAAUUUUUAUUUACAAUUUACAAAAAAUCUAAAAAUAGAUUCACUUGAUUUAGUCAUUAUAUGGUCCCAUUUUUAAUUUUCUUGGAUGAAUUUAGCAUUUUUGUAGUGUACCGUAUUUCAGUAUAGCAUACUAAAUUUUGGCCAAAUUGCGGGAAGUACAGUUGAGAAAUAAUUGUGGAUAUAUUUAGAAACGAGUUCCGAGGGUUUCAGAAUGAUUAGAAGUGAAUUAGAGCUCCAAGGAGCGAAAGCAAAAAUUUUUGAAAAAAAUGUUUCUAGGCUGUUGGACUCUCAAGGUCCGAACCCGCACUUGAGAAUCCGAACUUUGAUCUUUUCUGUACGUGCCCAAACGAUCCCGACCUUGACUGCGAAAAUUCUAAAAUUUGGCUACAGGUCUAGACCUUGAGGAGGGUCCGGACCUUGCCUGCACAGACAGGAAAAGUGAGGUUUGGGGUCAUGACCUUACUGGAGGAUUCGGACCCUCUGCCUAGUAGAAAAUGCUGUUCAAGGGGUUUUUGGCAAUUGUUGCAACACCUUUUAGAGGGAAAACCUCAGCCCUUCCCCCAUACUUGUGAAAACACAAGAAACACCCUUUCUCUUGCGCUCUCACUCCUUUUUACUCUCUCUCACUCUAGAUUAUCUCCACCACCUGGAGAUUGUGGAAAUCAAGCUUGGGAGAGCUUUUCGAGGUGUGGAGCAAGCUUCAUGGAGCAAGAAAAAGCUUGGAGAGCUUGAGGUAGAGGUGAGUUCUUAGAGUUUUAAGUUAAGAGUUUCGAAUUUUAUCUUAUUUUUGGGAUUUUAUCAAACACUAGACAAAUCUAGACUACAAAUAAUAGAGAUUUACAAUGAGCAAGGAUUAAAGUGCCGUGGCACGCGGUCGUGCCAGAAACUUGCUGGCAUGGUACGGCACGGUGCAUGUUAAACCAUGCCGAUGCAUGCUGGUCACAAAAAAUACGUGUGCUAGCACAUAAUGGCAUGAGCUAUUUAUUUUCUUUAGCAAUAAAAUACUCCAACUAUUUAUUAUGUAUUUUUAUCAAAUAUUUUGAAUUUUAUUGAGAAAAUUACUUACUAAUUUAAAAAAUAAAAGGUUUUGAACUGUGCCAUCGACACGAGGGCUGUAUCGUGUUGAUAUCUUACUGGCACGAUACAAAACGAUAGAUACGACCCGUGCCGAUAGGCACUUAAAAUCCUUGGCCAUGAGAUUUAGGUUUUGGCAUUGUUUGGAAUACCCUAAGUUGAAAAAGGGCUUUUAUUAUUGAUGGGUUAAAAAAAUUAUUUGACCUUUUAAAACCCUAAUUGGGGUUAAAAAAUCAUGUGGGACAACUUGAUUUCGUGAAAUAAAAAUGUUUGGGGUUCAAAUGAGGUAACGAACCGUUUUUGUUGUUUAGGGCAAGGAAGCUUGCAACUAAGCCUAUAGCCAAAGAGAGCCUACUAGCAAGUGUCUACAAACAGUUAGGAGCAUUCUAAGGUGGGUUGUGCUCUACCGAAGUGAAUAGAUUACUUCAAUGUCUAGAAAGUACAUAACUAAAUUAAAUUUUAUGAGUUGCAUGAUAGUUUAAUUAAGAAAUAUGCAUGCAUGAGGCAUAUAUUACUUGCAUUAAGUAAUUUUACUAUCUAUGUAUGAGUAAAUGAGCAUACAUGUGAUAUAUGUUUAUUAAAGGACUUCUCAUUUGAUAUGUAAAUGCAUGCAUUGUCAUAUUGCAUUCCUAUGUUGUGGACUAAAUGUAGGUUGACAUUCUCUAGGGUUGGUAGAAAACUCAACAUGUGAGCAUAGAGAACACAGUGCCAUUGAACAUAGGUGAAAAAUAUAGUGGUAGGAUGACCACUUGGGUGUGAUUGACUUUAAACCUCGAAAGGUUGACAUAUAGGGUGAAACAUAUGAACCCUUGAUGAGACCAUGAAAGUGGCGAUUACACUACUUGUGGAUUUGGGGCAAAAAUGGGGAUGACGAUUCCAUUCCCCGGCACGCAAUGAAUGCGGCGAUUCCGCGACUUGUGGAUUUAUGGCUAAGUGCUGCAGCGAUUCCACUAUCUAUUGCUGUUACGAUAUAUUUAGUAUAUGUUACGAUAUAUUUAGUAUCUUAUGGUAUAUUAGGAUACUGUAUAUUAUUAUCAUAUAUAGAAUAGGAUUGUAUGGUAUGUAAUCCUAAUUGUAGUAUUACUAUAGUAGGCAAUGUUACUAUAGUAGACCUAUCUUUUAUACUAUAUAUUUUCAUCAAUUCAACCCAAGAAGGUAUGUUCUUUUGCCCUUCUUACAAUUGCCUAGACGAUGACGGCGAUUCUGCAUGUGAUUGACUUAAGAUUGAGUCGGGUGAUAUGAUUAGGAUGAUGAACCUAGUGAGUAAAUGUAGUUUACGUCACACGAGUAGCUUCAUUAUCAUGAAUAGAGGCAUAAGCAUGUUUAUUUCUUAUAUAGUUAUUUGUUUUUAUAGAUGGUACUAACCCAUACUUAUGUUGCCUCCUUUAGACCUGGUAGGUCGGGCUUUUAUCUUGGGUGGCCGUACCCGCUAGAAACUAUAUUUACAGUUUUCAUCCCCAUAUUUUUCAAAUCCAUCUGCGGGCAACGUCGCGGAGCAAGAAAAAGGCGUAGCGCGGGUGAGGCGGCGGAGGAGGGUGAGGGCGUACGUGUGGGCAUAGACAGAGGGGUGAGCGAGGGUGAGGUGGCAGAGGGCGAGGCAGCGCGGCCGAGGUCGGUAAGGAAGGAUGAGGGUUUCAAGGGUAUUUUGGGUAUAAAAAAUAGAAUAUAAACGGAACACUGACAGCGGGGGCCAAAGCGAAAUUUUUUAUUUUUUAAGGGGGCAAAGUGUAGGUUUUUGAAAUUACAAAGGGGGAAGUGAAAAAUCGGGUAUUGACAGAAAGGUUUUCUGUAAUUUAGCCUUGAAAAAAUUACUCACUAAUUUAAAGAAAGACUUUUGAGCCGUGCCAUCGGCACGAGAGCUGUAUAAUGUCGAUAUCUUGUUGGCACGAUGCGACACAGUAGAUACGACCAUAUGGAUGGGCACUUAAAUCCUUGAUAUUUACAAAAUAAACACUAAAAAAAAACCAUAAAUUCUAAAAUCUUCAAUGGGAAAGGGAUGAAUAUUGCAACUUCGUAGGAAGGCUUACUAGAAGGGUUGUGGAGGAGAGGCGAAGAUAAAACAUUAUCGCUAAAGAGGCAAAACUAAAAGCCUACUAUAGACAUGAUAUCACCGUGGAGGAGAGCAGUAGAAGAGGUGGCGAGAAUGGGUCUAACUGUAAUUAGAGUAGGUCCUAGGGCAUCAAAUAAAUAAUUCUCACAUUUGUGUAGUCGUAGAAGAAUGAUAGCAUUAACGAGUCUAACUGUAAUUAACAGGCACACCGAGUCUGCAUCGAGUUCGCGUCGAAUCCGUGACAAGUCCAAACCAUGUCCAACCCACGUUUGUGACACCCCCAGGAUUUGAAAUAGUUCUAUAUAUAAGAUUUACUAGGAUAAACCUCUUAAUCCAACUAUAGCAUUUUAGGCAAUCGUUAGGCCCAAGAGGUUAAGAGGGUUAAGCGAGUCUAGGCUAGAGUAAUUCUAGAAUUUGUAACUCCCCUGAGAAGCAGUUGUGUGAAAAUUGGUAUCAGAGCCAACGACAAGCCAAAAGUGUGAGACGAGUCUUAGUUGAGCAAGGAUUAUACAACAGGCAAGAGCGCGGCUCUCCGACUGACGAUCAUUGUGGAUGGAACGCAGCUCCUCACAAGGUAGGCAAAGGCUUGCCUGGUGCUUGUGUGCUUGAGCCUGACGAGGACAUCAAAACUUAAAGGAGGAGAAGAAUGAGAAACCCCCAGAAUUUAAAAUAAUCCUAUAUAUAAGGAUUAGUAGGGCUAAACCUCUUAACCCGUCUAUAACAAUUUGGGUGAUGGUUAGACCCAAGAGGUUAAGAGGGUUGAGCGAGUCUUGGAUUAGAGGAGUUACACAAUGGGUGACCACAUGGGAAGUGAGGCGUCACAGCAUUCAAUAUUGAAAUUUAAACAACGAAGCGAGACACGCAUGCGACAAACGUCGUAGGUGCGUCCACUCCGAUUGUGGGUGGAAAAGUGUUGGAUGCUGAUGCGAAUCUAGAUGCGGGUGUGCAUAGGUUCCAACAUAUGGCUGGCUAAGACCAUUUUAAUAAGAAAUGGAGCAUACUACGGUGUCAGUGGAAGUAAGUCGCAAGCAUCUCCAUAUCACGUAACAAGAAACACACAGGUCGAACAAAUAUUCAUAUAGCAAAAACUGAAUUGAAAAUACAUCCUACAUCCACUGGCAAAUAGGAGCAAAACAUUUCACUAUAGAGGAAUAAAGUAGUCAAUCUCUCAAGAAACCUUAAUCCCAAUACACUUUGAAACUCUCGUUCUUACAAGAUGGCAACCAUAAUGUAGCGGCUAAUCCUAAUACAUAUAGUAAAGAUCCUAAUCCCCUGCUGUAAUAAAGAGCACAAAGAUCUUUCCCAAUUGGAGUAAUCUUACUCUAAAGUGGACCCAAAACAGUAGUGAUCUGGUAAUAUCCCUUACUAAAUUUUUCAACCCAUUCACCAGUGUCUCCAAUGCCAUUAGAACCAAUCACGUACAUCGUGUCAACCAUACUUCAUUUUCAGAAGACAAAUUUUAACUUUAUUGCAUCUUGGUGCGAUUAUGAUAAAAACUAUGAACAUUUGGGAAUUUCAGUGUAAGUAUUUAAUCUUCAACAGGCUUAUCGCGUGCUGAAUAAUAUCAAUAUCACCACCAUGAAAGACAUUAAUUAACUGCGAUAAGUUGAUCCUGGAUAAUUUCCCCAAAUCUUUACGCUCAAAAAGAUAAGGUAGCUACCUGAGGUGUUAUACCAAGCUUGUGUCUUACAUAAGAAAGGGGUAUAAUAACUCUAAAAGUUGCAAACAUCAAGCACAAACUCGAGUAGUAGAUAUUAAGAAGAUCCUUUAACACCAUGAGUAUAGCACUUUAACCCAGUCUUCAAUAUCACAAGAAAGCAAUAGGUCUUAGUAUAUAAAUUGUGUCGUUAAGGUGGCAACUUCUAAAAUAUAAACCCAGAAUUUACUUUUAGUAUUUAUCCUACCGCAAGCUUAAAUUUGCCCUAGCAUGGCUAUAUUACCACCGACCCCAGCUGCCGCCCCCAACCCAAAAAAGGAAAAAAGAAAAAAAAAAAUCCUUCUGAGUAAACUAAACGGGUGUUAUCAGUUCUCGAGAGUGGAUGAAUUUCCAAGGUAGCUUGCAAAACGCAGACAACUGGCGUAAUAUAGAAACCGAACAUACCUUUCUGAUCAGGCCACAAAAUCCCGGGCCUGAUUUACUAUCCUCCGCCACUUGCUUUGUUUCCAGCUUCAAUGCAUGGGGCAGAAUCAUCCUCUGCCCACAAGCCUCUUUCUCAUCCACCAUCCUAGCCUGCACCUCCCUCCCCCUUGUAUCAUUACACUCCGCGGCCAAAUCCAUGUAGAAUACGAAGCCGACGAAGAAGAGGUAGAAGAGAAUGAACCCUACGGCCUGCCACAGGAAGAUCUCGGCGCUAAGGUAGAUGUAGAAGAGGGCGGAGGAGGCGACGAGGUAGAAGAAGACGUCACGGACGAAGGGGGCGGGGUCGAGGGGGAAGGGGGCGGCGAGGAGGGUGACGGCGCCGACGACGAAGGCGGAAACGAAAGUGCCAGCGGAGAGGAUGGCGGCAAGGCCGGUGCGAGGGAGGCCGCCGCGGAGGGCGGCGGCGGAGGCGAAGGCGUCGGGAGCGCCGUUGCCAAGGGAGAGGAGGGUGACGGCGGCCAUGCUGGGUGAGAGGCGGAGGCGCGCGGCGAGCCGGGAGACGGCGGGGGAGAAGUGGAGGGAGGCGGCAGAGGCGAGGAGGCGGAAGUGGAGGAGGAGGAGGAGGGAGAGCGAGGGCAGCGAGAGGCGGAGGUCGCCGGAGAGCAGGCAGAAGUGGAGGGCCGCGUAGUUGAGCAGGCCAGGGGGGUCGCCGCCGCAGUGGGACGACGACUGGGAUGAGAAGGACUGGGGAAGGAGGAUGCGGCCGCGACGAGGAGAUUUGGAGGAGAAGGAGAAAUGGGUCAGGUGAAGGGGAUGAGGAGGGGGGAAGAAGAGGAGGAAGAAAGUGUAGGACAGGAGGAGGAGGGAGAUGGGAAUCAGCUUUAGAGGAGAAGAAGACGAGGGUGAGGAGAAAAAGCAGGGGGCGGCCAUGCCAUUCACUCGUUAAGUGUCAAGGGAAAAUGGCGAGUGAGGAGAGACUACAUCGAGGGGGACAGAGAGAGAGAGGGGGGCUGCCAUGGGCAGUCGGGACUUUUUUUUGAAAAUAACCCUGUGAAAUUUUAUAUUUGCCAAACUAAUCCUGUGAAAAUUUUAUUUGUAAAACUAACCCUCCUCUCGCCACCUCAGCCGCCUGAUCAGCAUUUCUCAUAAAGACGGUGACUCGUUCACCGUCUUUAAGCACUCUCGUGAAGGCGGUAAAUGGUUGACCGUCUUCUCAAGGGUACCUAGAGAAGACGGUCACUCGUUUACCGUCUUCACAAAGGCGGUAAAUAGUUUACCGUCUUAUCUUGUCAUAAGCCAUUCUACCUAGCCAGCCUAAUUUCGCCUAGUCCUCGAGAGUCGCCUAGUCCUCGAGAGGGGGCCUAAAACACAAAUAAGACAGUGAGUGGUUCACCGUCUUAAUCAGACGGUGAGUGGUUCACCGUCUUAAUCAGACGGUGAAAACUUCGCUGUCUUUAGAGUAAAUUGCCACCUCUAAAAUGCAGAUAAGACGGUGAGUGGUUCACCGUCUUUAGAGUAAAUUGCCGCCAAGUCGUGGUGGGGCUAAAACACAGAUAAGACGGUGAAUUGUUUACCGUCUUAUCUGUAGAGACAUAAAGACGGUGAAUGGUUCACCAUCUUAUCUGUGUAAAAGAACCCAGUCCAGGACUUAGCCAUUUUUUUCGGGUUUCUGGAGUUUGCACUAAAGGCGGUGAACCAUUCACCGCCUUUAGUGCAACCAGCCCCAGGUUGAGCUCAAUUCUAGCGCCUAUUUCAACAAGUUUGAGGCAAGUUUUUUCACGAUAAGAAAUAUUCAAACGAGAAACACAACAUCACGAGUGGAAUAACAAAAUACAAUCAACUGGAUAAAAAUAUCAAACAAAAUACUUACAAAUANGUUUAUACUAGUUAAACUAGUUUAGGGUUUAGGGUUUAUACUAGUUAAACUAGUUUAGGGUUUAGGGUUUAUACUAGCUAAACUAGUUUAGGGAUUUUAGAGUUUAGGGUUUAUACUAGUUAAACUAGUUUAAACUAGGUUUAAACCUAGAAACUUGCUAAGAUAGAGUAUUACUUGCAAUGUGGGUUGCUGUGGCACGGGGGAAGGCUCGGUGGGUCGACAGCGACCGGCGGCGGCGACGUCGGCUGGGGUGGCGGCGACUGGCGGUGGCGAUGACGGGGUGCGGCUCUUCGUUGGAGCGGGAUAGGCAGAGAGGGAGAGAGAGACAGAGAGAUAAGAGAGAAAGAGAGCGAACAGUGAGGGAGAGGUGUCGGGGCUCCGGGUAUACCUAGGUAAGACAGUGAAUUGUUCACCGUCUUCAUUAAAAACAGUGAAGACGGUGAACGAUUCACCGUCUUACCUUGGCCCACCUCAGGUUACCAAUAAAGACGGUGAACAGUUCACCGUCUUUACUCCACCACAAAUAAAACGGUGAACUAUUCACCGUCUUAUCUGUGUUUUAUGUCUCCAGGACUUGGCCAAAGUUGUCUCCAGGACUUGGCCAAAGUUGGGGGGUGUGGUCGCUCUAAAGACGGUGAAUAGUUCACCGUCUCAUGAAGGCGGUGAACCAUCCACCGUCUUCAUGAGAAAUGCGCAUAGACGGUGAACGAUUCACCGUCUUUACGAGAAAAAUCCAGGCUGGCGCCGACAUGGCGAAAGGAGGGUUAGUUUUACAAAUAAAAUUUUCAGAGGGUUAUUUGGCCAAAUAUAAAAUUCUAUAGGGUCAGUUUAAAAAAAAGUCCGGCAGUGGAUCUUCAAACACCGCGAUGGGGACAUUGAUUUGGUAUUUUCUGUUGCAGUUUAAUUGGGUGUUUCCAAUUUGCCAAGCAUAUCGGUUUUUUUCGUAUUUUUAUUUAGCAGUGCUGCCGGUACAAUCCCACAGCGGGUGUAGAUACUACAACCAGUAAAUUCAAUGGUUGAGAAUAAUAGAUUUUUUUUUAAAAAAAUAAUGACGGGUGAUGCUACUGAUACAACCCACAUAGGGUUGUACAUUCUACAACCCACAUAUCUAGGGGUUGUUUGGCCUAGCUAUUCAAAAAUAAUUCUGAGCCCAAAAUUACUUUUGAUCUCAGUAGAGCAUUUGGAAAUGACAUUCUGAAAAUCCGAUUCUGUUUUCUAUAAUCAGAAAACUAAUUUUGAAGGCUUCAAAAUUAAAAGCAGAAAAAAACUGUUUCUCCAAAACUGAUUCUGAUUUUGAACUCAAACUUCUAAUUUUUAUUUUUAUUUUAGAUUCAAAGUAUAAAUUUAACAUUAAAUUUAAAUUUUGAAAUUUUAAAUUCAUAUUUAAAUUUUUAAAUCUCAACUUUUCAAAUUUAAAAUUUAAAAUUUAGAUUUAAAAAUUUUAAUGAUUUAAGUUCAAUCUCAAAUUUUAUAAAUUAAUAUCAAAUUUUAAAAUUUAAAAAUUCAAAUUUUAAAUUUCAAAAAUCAAAAUUUUAAAUUUAAAAUUUUAAAAAAUUUUAAAAUUUAAAUUUCAAAUUUCAAAUUUCAAAUUUUCAAAUUUCAAAUUCAAAUUUCAAAAUUUAAAUUUAAAAUGUCAACUUUUAAUUCAAAUUUAAAAAUUUUAAUUAAAAUAAAAUUAUAAUUAUUUUAAAAAAUAAAAUUUAGUAGAAAUAUUAAUAUAUGCAAAAUCAAAAUUUUUUUACCAAACAGUUUUAGAAAAUCAUUUCAGAAAAAUCACUUAUUUCUAAAUUCAACCAAAGGCUCUACAGCUUUUAACCAAAAUCAAUUCUCCAAACUAAAAUCACUUUUACAGAAAUCACUUAUCCAGAAGCUAGGCCAAACAGGCCCCUAAAGGCUAAAAAAAUUUUGCUUCUGAAAAAAAAAAAAAAUUAGUAUUAACCUCACUCCCCUUUUUUGGCCCCUCACUCUUUCCCUCUUUUUUACUUCUGUGGCCUGCAAGCUAGAGAGAGAGAGAGAGGCCUGCGAGCGAGCGAGCGAGAGAUAGGAGAGCUCGAGCGAGAGAGGGGCGAUGGUGCGAGAGAGAGCGAGAUCAGCGGCUCUGUGCAAGAAACAGAGAGAGAGAGAGAGAGGCAGAGAAAGUGAGAACGAAGCUGGAUUCUUCCAACAAACUAGAUUCUACCAGCUCCUCCCUCCUCUUUUCUCCGUCUCUGCGAGAAACAGCGGCUCUGUGUGAGAAACAGAGAGAGCGAGAUCAGCGGCAAAAUUGAUCGACAUGGCUCACCCGACAACGAUUCCUACACCGCCACAUACACAAUCAGGUAUGAGAUGUCUGAUUCAAACACUCGGUGGAAGAUAACAAAGGGAGCAAUUCUGAGAUCAUUGAUUACAACUGUUCUUUUUUCUGUAAAUAAUAAUCCUAUUAGUUAUUAAAAUAUGCAUCUGCUUUGUUGUGGUCAAAGUGCCUAAGCUAGCCCGAUCACUAUCCAAUAUUUAGAGUUUUAUUCCCAAAUGAUAUUAUGAUUUGUUGUCUAUUGGUGAACUGAUGUUGUGUUUUAGUUCUAUUUAUAGUGCUUUAUGUAAGAUUCAGUUGGUAGAUGCUUAGCUAAACACCCUAAUAGAGUGCAUUGAUUGAGUAAUAAAGUUGGUAUAAAUUUUGUGCUUUGAAAUAUCCAUGUUGAAGAUUACGUAUAAAUUUUUUUUAGUAUAAAUUUUUUCCUUUAAUUUGAACGCAUUUUGCCAUUUGAGCUAAUUAAGAAGUCAUUGCUUCAUUUGAACUCAUUGAUUCACUUAAUUUUUUAAUAUUUUGUAGCAAUUUUUGAGUAAAUUAAUAAUUUUUAAUUAUGAUGAAUUAUUUGAUUAAUUUUAUCAUUGAUUUGGACUAUGAUCUACUAGUUAACAGAUAAUGUAUUUUUAGGGUAUAGUAGAAUGUGGUGUAUACAUUAUUAAUUUAGAUGUAUAGAUUUUGAUAAAUAGUUUGCCUGCUCACCAUUAUUCCAAUUUUGUAUUUCGACUGCAUAUGAUGUCUUACAGGUGAGCAAUUUUGUUAAAUGUCUGGGUUGACUGAUUAUUUGAAUUGAAAAUUUUUGAGAUAGAUGAAGAAAGAAACAGUGAGGUCAGAGAUAUAAAUAUUUCGACACUAAAAAUUGGAAUGUCUUUUAUCAAUUUUGAAGCCGUUUUUAAUUUCUAUAAGCAUUAUGCACAAGAAAUAAGAUUUGGAGUUGUAAAGAGGUCAACAAAAAUGACUGAUGGUAAGGCUACAUAUAUAUACUAAUCGCAUGCUCUCGUCAUGAAAAAAUGCAUCGGACCGUGACGAAUCUUUGUUCUCGUCCAGCGGUAGUGAAGACGAACUGUCUUGCGAGGAUAAAUGUAGUAAUAAAUGUAGAUUCAUCUUGUAUAAUAAGCAAAAUUAUACUUGAGCAUAAUCACGUCCUAAGUCCUUAUAAGUCUCGAUUUUUUUCCUGCAAUCGAGUUAUAAAUCCAAGCGUCAAGAGGCGGCUUGAUCUUAAUGAUCGUGCGGGAAUCAGAUUAAAUAAAAGUUUUAAUUUUAUUGCUGUUGAGGCUGGUGGGUAUGAAAACUUAAUAUUUGGAGAGAAGGAUGCUCGUAAUUAUAUUGAAAAAGUCCGUCGGUUACGACUUGGUGAAGGUGAUGGCGAAACAAUUUGUAAUUAUUUUAGAGAAAUGCAAGAGAGAAAUGGAAACUUUUUUUAUGCCAUAGAUCUAGACGAUGAUUUUCGGCUUCGCAAUGUCUUUUGGGCAGAUUCUCGGAGUAAAGCGGCGUAUGAAUGUUUCGAAGAUGUAAUUACUUUUGACUCGACAUAUCUAACAAAUAAGUACGAUAUGCCAUUUGCUCCUUUCGUUGCUGUUAACCAUCAUGGAUAGUCGAUCUUGUUGGGAUGCGGCCUACUCUCCACUGAAGAUACAGAAUCGUUUGUAUGGCUCUUUCGGAAUUGGUUGUCAUGCAUGUCCGAGCGUGCCCCCAAAGCAAUAAUCACAGAUCAAGAUAAAGCGAUGCAAAAUGCUAUCGCACGUGUCUUUCCUGAUACUCGGCAUCGAUGGUGCUUAUGGCACAUAACAAAGAAGAUACCGGAGAAGCUGCAUGUAUGUGAAUGCUUGUAAUAGCAUUAGUUGUUUAUGUUUUGGGUACUGAAAUUCAUUCAACAUACAUGAUCCAACAAGCGAUGAUACAAGCACCACAAGUGCAAUACAAUUAAGAGCAAGAAUCACAAGUAACAUACAAAUGAAAUAAAGAGAGAUGCAUCUAGCUAUUACAUCACAUUUAACCUUUACAUAUUGGUUUAUAUUUUCAUCUUCCAAAAUGAAUACACAUUCUUCUCAUAAUACAAAAUGGCUCUCCAAAUACAUAAGUAACUCCCAAAUACAUCACAUCUCUAUGUACACGAGGGUACUCUAAUGCAAAAGGGAAAGCUACUAGCUACUAGGGCGCUAUGCCCUUUCCACGGUCCUUUGCCGGUACUCUCUCGCUAGGCCCUGCAAUAAAGUGGGGUGAGAACUAUAUAAAUAUAGUUCCCAGUGGGUUCGGCCGCCGACUCCGUCGAUCUUUCCACUAGGUCCAAGCAGGUCCAAGCAGAUAGAUAGAUAGAUAAAUAUGGAAUUGAAGUACAACAUAGUAAAGUAAUCUGCAACAAUCUACUAUGCAUUCGAUAAUCAAGGAUGUGAGCUACAACAUAGUAUAUGAUCUAUGCCUCAAUGAUCCGAUAUAUGAGCAACUACAUAGUAUGCAAUCUACAUAUGCUAGUAUGCCUCAACAAUAAUGAAAAUGAGCUACUACAUAGUAAUGUAAACUACACAUGGUACUAUGCCUCAAUAAUAAAAGAAAUGAGCUACUACAUAGUAUGCAAACUACACAUAAUACUAUGCCUCAACAAUAAAAAAAAUAAGCUACUACAUAGUAUGCAAACUACACAUGAUACUAUGCCUCAACAAUAAAAGAAAUGAGCUACUACAUAGUAUGCAAACUACACACGAUACUAUGCCUCAACAACAAUGGAAAUGAGCUACUACAUAGUAAUGUAUCCUGCAACAUGCUACUAUGCCUCAAAUAUCCGAAUGCCAUAUCCAAGUGAAAUGCAUGAGCUACUACAUAGUAUACAAUCUACACAUGAUACUAUGCCUCAAAUAAUCACAUGAAUGUACGAGCUACUACAUAGUGCGUUAUGCAACUAUGCCUCGAUAAUAUCUAAUCUCAUGGCCAACCCGAAGGUUGUCGACUCACUCUCAAUCUCAUAGGUGAGGAGAAGCUGCACUCGCACACCGAGACCGUCUGCGGGACAACCCUAUCGUGAAGUACUCCGGAGACCACUGCUUUGGUGGAGCGACCACCGACAAGCGAAAACAGACUAGUGAGUAUGAUCCAAUCCUCACAAGAGGAUACCCUAUCUACCAGGGUCACAAUGCCUCAACUGCACUAAUGCAAAAUGCAUAAUGUCUACAACAUGACAAUUGGGAAAAUCUAUUAUCCCUAGGUUCAAAUGCCAUAGUGUUCCACUACACUAGAUUUGAUGCCACUCAUUUAUGUCAUGAUGUUAUAUGUGUCUCGAUACACUACAUUGACAUGCCACUCGUUCUUGUUAUAUUGUCUCUACUUUACUAGUUUAAUGCUACUCAUUAUGUCAUGAUGUUGUACGUGUCUCGAUACACUAAAUUGACAUGCCACUCGUUCUUGUUAUAGUGUCUCUAUUACACUAAUCCAAAUGCCACUCAUCUAGGCCAAUUACAUGUCCAAGUUCAUCAUCAUUCUUGUUACUAUAGGAUUCUUGUCACAAGACCCAAUCC
rnacentral:lncRNA from 1 species